GCAGUCCCCUUUGCAGCUCGGUCGUGGCCACCAUGCAGCUUGGUCAGGGCCCCUAUGUUCGUGCAUGUUCACCGUCGUCUCUCGUCGUCAGCCACGGUGCAGCAACCGCCGACCUCGAUCAUCCUCUCAGAUUGCAGCUGGGUCUGGUAACCUCGGCCACGGAUCCAUGGAUACGACUCAGUGCCCACCUCACAGCAUUGCAGUUUGCUUGCUACUGCACCGCCGAUGGUUGCCCCGUGGUCCAUUUUUCUAGUUCGUGCAGCUCAUAGCCUGCCUAUGUGCAUAUUAGGGGUGGGUGACAAAACACACACGACGAGUAGUUCUCGUGGUGCACCCGUGCGGUGCAGAGCGCGUGUGCAUGCAAUUCCGGCGUAUUUUUUUUGUUUUAUUUGUACUCUUUGAAGUGCAAUAUGCUUCUGAGAGAGCUCCCGUGCUGUUUUUUGUUUCGCUCCUGCCUGACAGCGACGCCACUUCCUGGCCGUGCAGUUUGGUGGGUGUAUGGGCCUUGCAGUUUUCCGGCGAUUGGCUUGUGCGUGCAGUCAACUAUUGGGACCCCGAUGCAUUUUUGUUUUGAGUGGCAAAGGAGGGAUACAGUACGACUAUGGCUGCUAUUGAGGUUCAUUUUACUCAUCUUUGCAGGAAAAGAUGAAAUGAUGCAAUUCUAUUAGAUGCCCCAUUACUCAAUUUUGUUGUUGUUGAAAAGUGCACUUCAUUAGUUCAUUGUAAAAACUACAGUUCAUUACCGUGAUUUGGCUGGUGGAGAGUGCAGAUUUUGUAUGCUAUAAAACUCCUCUGUUGUCCAUUUAGUAAACACAAAACAAAAAAGAUCUCAAAAUGAAGCUCACUUCUAUAUUAGAUGUAGUUCACUCGAUCAGUCCCUGUGGUACACUCGCUUGAUCAACGCGCAUAAAAAAAUUAGUAAGUACGAAAAAAGGACAACAAAAACUCAUGAGGUUCACUUUUGGUAGUGUUGCGUCUCACUUUCGGGAGUGUUGCGGUCCACUGUCGUUCAAAAAAAAGUUGAAAAAAGAUAACAAAAACUUGUGCGAGAAAGUUUAUGUCCAACAAAAAGAAAUGAUGCAGUGCACUUGACUGUCUGUUGCAGUGCGGUUUUCAGUUUGAAGCAGUGCGUUCUUCUGUCCCACGACGAUUUUGGUGUCGCGAAAAAACAGAGUGUCCAUUUUUCACUAAUUUUAAAACUGCUCUUAAACCGUAAAGAAUUAGAGAGUGUGUUCUACAUGAAAAAGUUCCGUCUCGUCGAUAUCUUUCCAACGGCGUAUAGUUUGAAUCAUUCCGACCAGCGGUUUGCAAAAAUUUUGCAAAAAAACAGCCGCUACCUCUCGAAGUCAGCCGCACGAUUUUCAAAAUUAACUAAAAAUCGUAAGGAAUCUCAAAACCAUUUCAACAUAUGAAAGUUGUGCCUUGUCCGUAGCUUUCCAACGGCAUAUCACACGCCCUGUUUCGACAAACGGUUCAAAAACUGGAGCAAAAACAGUACCGAAAAAUUUAAAAAAUUUGAAAAACAGAGUUCCGCGAUUUUGUAAAUUUGAAACUGCUCUUAAACAGUAAUGAAUUAGAGAAAGAUUUAUAUAUGAAAAAAAUGCACCUCGACGAUAUCUAUCCAACGGCGUAUCAUUUGCUUCAUUCCGACAAGUGGUUUAGAAAAAAACGCGAAAAAACGCUCGCUGCCACUCGUCAUCCGCCGCACUAUUUUCAAAACUGCUCUUAAACCGUGUGGAAUCUCGAAAAGUGUUCAACAUGUCGAAGUUGCGCCUAAUCCAUAGCUUUUCAAUGGUAUAUUACACGCCUCAUUCCGAUAAACGGUUCAAAAAUUAGAGCGAAAACAGUACCAAAAAAACACCGCGUGCAAUUUUUUUCGACACGAAGUUCACUAGUCUCUAUUGCAGUGCUCGUCGUCAAAAUGAUGCAGUGCGCUUCUGUUAAGCAUGCAGUGCCGAAGUGGUGUGCAGAAUAGUUAUUCUACUAAUAUUAGCAGAAUAAGUAUUCUGCACACCACUUCCGCACUGCACGCUGAACACAAGUGCACUGCAUCUUCUAGACGACGAGCACUACAAUAGAGACUAGUGAACUUCUCGUCAGAAAAAACUGCACGCGUUAUUCUUUUGGUACUGUUUUCGCUCUAAUUUUUUAACCGUUUAUCAGAAUGAGGCGUGUAAUAUACCGUUGAAAAGCUAUGGAUUAGGCGCAACUUCGACAUGUUGAACACUUUUCAAGAUUCCACACGGUUUAAGAGCAGUUUUGAAAAUGGUGCGGCGGAUGACGAGUGGCAGCGAGCGUUUUUUCGCGUUUUUUUCUAAACCGCUUGUCGGAGUGAAGCAAAUGAUACGCCGUUGGAUAGAUAUCAUCGAGGUGCAUCUUUUUCAUAUAUAAAUCUUUCUCUAAUUCAUUACGGUUUAAGAGCAGUUUCGAAUUUACUAAAUCAAGGAACUCUCUUUUUCAAUUUUUUUGAAAAUUUCGGUAUUAUUUUUGCUCCAGUUUUCUAACCGUUUGUCGGAACAAGACGUAUGAUACGCCGUUGGAAAUCUAUGGACAAGGCGCAACUUUGCUAUGUUGAAAUGGUUUUGAGAUUCCUUAUAGUUUUUAGUUAAUUUUGAAAAUCGUGCGGCUGACUUCGAGAGGCAGCGGCUUUUCGUGAAAUUUUUACAAACGGCUGGUCAGAAUGAUUCAAAUCAUACUCCGUUGGAAAGAUAUCAACGAGACGCAACUUUUUCAUGUGGAACAUUCUCUCUAAUUCCUUACUGUUUAAGAGCAGUUUCGAUUUUACCGAAAAACGGACACUCUGUUCUUCGCGAGACCAAAAUCGUCGUAUGUACUGCAUCGGACAGAAGAACGCAUUGUUUCAGACAAAAUACCGCACUGCAUCAGAUGGGCAAGUGCACUUCAUGGUUUCUUUUUGUUUAGACGUAUUUUUUCUCGGACAGGGAAAGAAGAACACACUGCUUCAGUCGAAAUACCGCACUUCAUUAGAUGGGCAAGUGCACUGCAUGAUUUUUUUGUGGGGACGUAAAUUUUCCCAAACAAGGUGGAGUGCACUUCAUGUGGAGGGUUGGUGAACCGCAACCUCGAGACUACCGUAAACGGGUUGCAACACUACUGAAAGUGAGCUUCAAAACAUAUAUAUCCAUUCAUUAUUUUUACACAGCUACACAUCCAUCCCGUACAUAGCAGAAUCAACGACGGAGUACCCAACUGAAUUGCACUAGGCAAAGACUUGCUUGUGCAAAAUUACCAUCCAUUUUCUUACUACAAAAUGAACUUCAAAUGCACUAGGCGGUACCCUUUUUCUCUCCGUGUUUCUCCUAAACAACAAAAUGGAACUUCAAAUAAACAGUGGAGCAACAAACUUGGGUACUAUACAAAGCAACAAAUGUUGUCAGAAAUCUAUAGAAAAAAGAGCAAAAGAAGCUCUUCUGAACUGCGCAUGGGCGGCUAAUGUUCUAGGGCGUCGUCGCCGGCGAACUGCAUGUACACACCGCACGAAAUGCUCGCAUCGUGCGCAUGGCUGCUUCCACCCACACAUUGGACUGCACGGUGCUGAUGGUUGUGCUGCUUACACUCAUGCAGUGGGCUGCAUGACCAAAAUCAACAGCAAAAAAACUAAAAAAUACACAAAGAAGAUUGUGAGCUCCAAGCCCAGGGACUGAACGGUGACGACGGGUGUGCUGCUUACACUCACGCGGUGGACUGUAUGACCAAAAUCAACAACAAAAAUACUGAAAAAUACACACAAAAAUUGUGAGCUCGGGCAGCAAUCUAAAAAAAUCGAUGCAAUGGCUCUUCACAGACUGAACUCCACGCUGAUGUUUUUGCUUGCCACGCGCCUGCCCAAACCGAACUGCAGCUGAUGAGAGGCCGCCUGAAUCAGCAAAGAGGAAUCUUGGGUCGGGAAGGGAAGUCGGACUCUACCUCUGUUCGUCGGGGAAGUUGGUGCUUUCUAUUGGAGGCUAAUUCCCAGAGAACACCAUUAGCAUCGGAUCCAAGGCCAAGGUACAGAGUGUGGCGGCACUGAUGAGGAAGAUGACCGCCGAGGGGAGCAAGCAAGAUCGGGGGCAGAGUGGUCGAGGCAGUCACCGGGACGGCGCUGUGGACCAGCGGUGGCUGGAUCCGUCGGCUGGGCGGCGCGGAGGGGCUGGAUCCGUCGUCUGGGCGGCGCGGAGGCGUGCGGGGUCGUGUUGCGGCUGGGAGGAGCUCCGACGCUGGGAGGAAGUGCGGCACGGGGAAGAAAGGAGCCAUCGGCCCUGCGGCGGUGGGAGGAAGGAGCCCCAGGGGCACUCUGGCGCGGAGAAGUAAGCUAGGCGGCGGCGCGGCACGGCGGCGGGAGGCCGGGGCAGGCGCGGGAGGAGGAAGGUGGAGAAGGAUUUCGCCGGAUCCGGUUGGGGAAAUCGGUUGUGCUCGACCGGCCGGGGAGGAAAGGAGCCAGGGGAGUUCUCAAGGCCGGCACGACGGUGUGGGUGGGUGGCGGUGCCAGGAGGCCCGCGGAUCUCGCCGUGCGGGUGAAUCCAGGGCGCCGAGGGGAAUGNNNNNNNNNNNNNNNNNNNNNNNNNNNNNNNNNNNNNNNNNNNNNNNNNNNNNNNNNNNNNNNNNNNNNNNNNNNNNNNNNNNNNNNNNNNNNNNNNNNNNNNNNNNNNNNNNNNNNNNNNNNNNNNNNNNNNNNNNNNNNNNNNNNNNNNNNNNNNNNNNNNNNNNNNNNNNNNNNNNNNNNNNNNNNNNNNNNNNNNNNNNNNNNNNNNNNNNNNNNNNNNNNNNNNNNNNNNNNNNNNNNNNNNNNNNNNNNNNNNNNNNNNNNNNNNNNNNNNNNNNNNNNNNNNNNNNNNNNNNNNNNNNNNNNNNNNNNNNNNNNNNNNNNNNNNNNNNNNNNNNNNNNNNNNNNNNNNNNNNNNNNNNNNNNNNNNNNNNNNNNNNNNNNNNNNNNNNNNNNNNNNNNNNNNNNNNNNNNNNNNNNNNNNNNNNNNNNNNNNNNNNNNNNNNNNNNNCGUGCGGGGAAGAAGGUGGGAGGAGGGAGGUCGUGCCGUGGGAUGCGCCGACGGGUAGGGGUGUGAGGAAGAAGGUGGGGUGGGUUGCUCCAGGUUCUGUAUGUGGUUCAUUUUAUCCGCGGCACAGUUUGUUUGGUGUUAGCAGAAUAAGGAUUUAGUGUGCAGAAUAAGACUCUAGAGGGUGUUAUAUAUAUGGCUUCUGCACAGCUUCUCCAUCAUCAUUAUCAGUACAUCCUACGCAGGUGAGUUAGGAUGCACUUGAUCCCAUGAAGGUAUCUAUCCUUCAAACAAGAGGAGUGCUUCAAACUAACAACAGUACAUAAUAUCCAACAAAAGAGGGUCGUGCUACAGCUGCAGAAUACAUGGCUCAGUCUAGAUAUCAGUACGAAUCAAGUUGUGCAUAUUUGCUAUUGGCAUGAACCACAUAGCUGCAUGUCGGGUUUGCAAAAGCCAUCCAUCGCAUGGAAGCUUGAUGCCUUUCACACACUGAAGAUUAUAUGGCAACAAGCUGUGUCGAUGAAUCUCUAGAUAUGGUGAUUCAUGAAACCCAUGGUAUGAUGUGUAAACACAGUCCCCCCUGGCGAAUGGAAUUUGCAUAGCAUGGUAAUCAUCGCCGGUGAUAUGAUCGAUGAUUGAUUGGAUGAUCGGAUAAUUGAGCCCGAGGAACAUGGAGUGGUUGCCGAGGCUGUAAACCCGCCUCCAGUUGAAUACGCCUGGCCCAACGGAGCUGGGAUCUUUCUCGAACACGAAGCAGCCAUAGCCAUCAAUGUCACGAACGCCCCAUGCAUUGUACUGCAUGUGGUUUGAUGUAAUGGUUUGGUAAAUUUGGUACAUGCAAAUGAGCAUCAAAUGACCGCCGUCAGCUGAACAAGCGAUAAACCACCACCCAUCGGCUGGUAUGAUUGCAGGUCCUGGAAUCAUGAAGGCCAGCGCAUUUGUGUCUGCCGCAACAAUUCAAAUUAGAGACCAAAAGGACAAAAAUAAACAAUCAUGUUCAGAGUAUGUGUGGAAUUAAGAUUAUUAUAACAGUGACACAUAUCAUAGACAGAGAAUUGCAAUGCCGUGGUCAUAAUCAUACCCCAAGUUAAAAAAGUAAGCCAAUGGCUUUCAUAUUCUAGCAAUAUGUCAUGGUUCAAACAUCAUGUAACAAUGAUAGGAAAACAGCUAUAACAGAGCCUACCCAUACUCUACCAUAGAACUUACUACUACUGUUCUCGUAUCAACUCUAAGCAAUAACAUGUGUUGUUAUAAAAAUCUUGGAAAUGAGGGUAACAUAUAGCAAUUAUGAUGUUAUUCUCAUAAUAUCUAUUCUAACAAUCAUUAGAUGCCAAUUGUUCUCAUAUCAACUCUAACAAUAACAUGUGUGGUCAUAAAAAUCCAGGAAAUGGGAGGAAUAUAUAGCAAUGAUGUGGUUAUAGACAUACUGUCUAUUCUAAAUUUGUAACAAUGAAUAGGCAGUCAUAUUCAUAAGGAAAAGAUGAGUUGAGAUAGAACAAUUACAUGAUGAUAGAUUCCACCAGUAUAGGCAGCCAAUCUGUGAAUCGACCGCGUAAACGAUGCCAUCAUGCACUAUAGCAUCAUACAGAAAUGUUGCCUCAACAGGAUUGACGAUGAGCCAUAACCAUGUAUGGCGACCAGAUUCCAGAUAGACUAAUCCCAUGUUGAACAAGGCAAUGAGCUUGUAAUGCAUGUAGUCUUCUGAUGGUGUGGGCACUUCGUAGAUUACAACUUUCAACAAACAGAGGUCGAGCCAAAAGCUUGACGCGUCUCGUGCGUAGUAGGCAGGAGUGUCCGGCGGGCCGCGAGGCUCAUUGGCGGAGGUAUCCAACAAUGGAAGGGUGAUCUCUCGCUGGGUGUAGAUAUCCACGAGAUGCCACGGACUUCCGAAUUGGUGGAUGAGGAUGAUCCAGUUGGCCUUCAUGCCCACCCAGUAGUGGCCGCGCAUGAAGGACAGGUGGACAGGUAGUGGUAGCAUGUCGAGGGGCACCAUGGCAACCUCCGUAGGAUCGUCAACUCGGUGUCUAGGCCACCUGCGAGGAUCGGGCAUCAGCAAGCAGGGUUUCUUGAAAAGAGCCGGCCGGUUGUAGACGAGUAGACGGUGCAAAGACACCGAGCAUGCAGCCAGGCGGACGGUGCUGAGUAGGUCCAUACGAUUACAGAUCUGCUCCAAGAGAACAUUGGGGAGGGAAUUCCAUUCGCGGCUCUGCGUGUCAGUCGGUUCUGCCAUUGGGGUUUUUGGUGCCUGCGAGCCAGCGGGGAAGUGGAUUCGGGCGGGCAAGCGAAGAAGCUUCUCCUUGUGUGGCUGAGCAGUGAGUGGGGGGAUAUGGUACGCGCGAGCUACCAAGGAAGAUGGCGCGGGCGGGCGAGCAGUGAGCGGGGGUAAAUGGUGUGUGGCCGACGAUGGGGAAGAUAGGAGGAAUAAGAAGAGAAGAGGAAGAAGAGUGGAAGACGGGGAAGAAAGUGCAUUAAAUCUCAAUUCUACUAGUACCACUACCAGGAUAUACCGUCCUUCGGAGUGUAAAUAGUUACACUGAUGACAUGUGGGUCUACCACAAGAGGGCCCAUAUGUCAGUUAAUGGAGGACAGAGGUGCGUAGGCGUAUUUGUGGAAGCAUGCUCUACUCGCAAGCAUGAUGGAAGUACUGGGUAAGGGUGAUUUAGUAACACCAAAACGCUGGUUCAACUUAUUAAUUAAGUGUCCCAUCUACUGCAACAUGUAUUGUCACUUCACUGCGAAGACUAGUUGAAUAGUUCUCUCUGACCGAGAUGGGGAAUAAUGGAUCUCGAAGACUUCCUUUCUACAGUAUCCCUAUGCCUCUACGCUCAGUUCACUUAUUUUGCUCAGUACGUAGUCACUUGUUGAAAUCUCUAGAAAGAAAAAUACUCCUUAUUUGGAACAAAGGAGGCUUUUACUCCGUAUUUGGGAACAGAGGGAGGCUUUUACUUCGUAUUUGGGAACAGAGGGAGUAUCACCAUAUGGAGGGAACAUAAGAAGCUUGAAAUAUGAACAUGUCAAUGGGAGGGAGUAAGCCCCAUGCAUGCAUGCAUGCAUGCAUGCAACAUGCAACACUCACACAUACACAUGGACGCACGCAACACUCAUGCACCCAUGCGGCACACAACACACGACGCAACACACACGCUCAUGCUCAAGUGCUCAACCUACUCCCUACGUCCAUGAAAGACUGUACAUUUAGAGAUUUACACAUUGACCAGGGCAUAAUUAACGCCCAAAAGUAGUAGACUUAUGUGUGCAUGCAACCAUUGAGAGAAGAAGAUUAAAUGAAGGCCGUUGGAUGCUGUAAUUAAGGAUAGACAUGUAGCCUAUACCUAGAGCACAAGUUGGUGCAUUACUCAAUCAAUAUCGAUUUAGAUUAUAGGCUAAAUGCAUUGGAAGUGUAGAUGUACUACACUCUUUGUUUUUUUAGCCGAUGUACACUCUUUGUUGGAAGACCGAGGGAGUACACGUGCAUGCACUCACAUACACAACCAGGGUGGUUCGGGCGCAAGGGUUGGACUCCUGUAGUGCCUGCGUAAAGUUUUGUUGAACUGAUUUCUUUGCUCUACCAAUUGACAGGUGGGACCCAGAAACUAGGUGACAAUUUAACCAGUCAACAAAGUGCCACGUCGACUAUGUGGCCGGUCAGUAGGGUGCAAUAGAAUGCUCUAUGAUGAGCUAGUGAUCGUAUAAUCACCGCAAAACUAUAUAUAGUGAUCGUAAAGGGCGUAUUGUUACAUACGUUGACCGCCAGUGUAUUUUUCUCAUUUCAAAUUAAGCCAUAUUAAUCGGAAAGGACGCAGUAUGGACUAGUACUAGUACUGCUUUGAUGUGUCCCAUCAACUCGCCGAACGAGGAGAAGCUUGCUUACUACGCCUCUCCCUCUUCCACGCGCGCGGUGGUUCGUAGGACGAGGAGAGGGUUUUGACUACAGCGCCCUCUCCCUCUCCCUCUCCCUUGCCCUCACCCUCGCGGUGGACGUGCAAUAGUUCAAUCGGUGUCAGAUUGCCUGAAGCAUAUUGUACUGUAGUAUCAUCAUUGUUGGACCUUCCCAAGAGGCAAAGAGCCAAGUCAACAAAGUGCCACGUCGACUAUGUGGCCGGUCUGUAGGGUGCAAUACGGUGCUCUACGAUGAGCUAGGGAUCGUGCUGCAAAACUAUAUAUAGUGACUGUAAAGAGCGUAUUGUUACAUACGUUGACCGCCAGUGUAUUUUUCUCGUUUCAAAUUAAGCCAUGUUAACCGGAAAGGACGCAAUAUGGACUCGUACUAGUACUGCUUUGAUGUGUCCCGUCAACUCGCCGAACGAGGAGAAGCUUGCUUACUACGCCUCUCCCUCGCCCACGCGCGCGGUGGUUCCCAGGACGAGGAGAGGGUUUUGACUACAGUGCCCUCUCCCUCUCCCUCGCCCUCGCCCUCAUGGUGGACGUGCAGUAGUUCAAUCGGUGUCAGAUCGCCAGAAGCAUAUUGUACUCUAGUAUCAUCAUUAUUGGACCUUCCGAAGAGGCGAAGAGCCAAGUGCAAGGUUCACACGAGUACGAACUGUUGAACCUCCCGAAGAGGCAAAGAGCCAAGUGCAAGGUUUUAUAGGAGUUGUCGUCCUAGUAGGAGUGUACUACAACUAUAGCAAACAAUGCUACUGUAUGAUGCCGCCACGUCACGUAUAUCCAAAGCCGUGCCGCCUUUUUUUUCUCAAAGAGUGUGUUGGAGCCCGUGCAACAACCACACAAGUUGCAUGUACACAUAACACAUUUAUUCGUAAUAAAUUCUAAAGGACAAAUGCCAGUAUGCCACACAAGUUCAUCUCCAAUUCAUGUGAUAAAUUUGUGCACGACUAGUCUACAUAUAUUCACAGCGCUACUGUUCACAAUUUACCAUACACCACCUACACGUUAUAGAUGGGCUACAUGUCCUCCUCCAGGUUCCAGUCCCAGGUGUUCUUCAUGGAUGGCACGAUCCAUAGCGGUGGGCAACAGGAAUCAUUGUCACAGCUUUCUAGUCCGGUUCCACAUGAUGGAGACUCAUCCAAGCUGAAGCGGCAUAAAUCAGGGAUAGCGUGUCCCCGCAUGUCGUUCAUCCGGCAGUGGGCACUGAAGACACAACCAUGCUUCAUGAACGGCAGGUCUUCCGUGUCGUGCACGAAAGGUGGCAUCCGCUUCAAAAUGGGGUAGCUGUCCCCAAUGAAAAGCGAGUACUCUCCAAGAGUGUUCCUCGGCACCCAUGUAGCAUCAUGGGGGUCAAACUCGGCGCCAUUCAUCUGGUACACGCGGCAUCUCAGAUCUGGACAAAUGGUGACGUACAUAGUCAAGGUCCAUGCAUAAUAAUGUUGUGCUCAAAUAUGGCGUCAUUAAUACUGUGCAGCAAAUAGUACUACUCUGGUAUAGAGGAAGUAAAAUAACCGGCUUAUUAUAUAUAGCCACUCUUGGCUACAUGGAUGAGAUAGUAAGACAUGGAAAAACAAAAAUGGUGGCAGCUAGUGGGUUCAAGUCUUCAAGGGCCUAGCUAGCUAUACGCGUCCUCCAAGGUAAAAAGUACUCCUACUAGUACUAGUAAGUACUAGUACAACAAUGAAAGAGAAGGCGAGAGGGUAAAAAUGGAAUACCUGGGUAGAUGGUGACGGUCCGAUCGUGGUAGAUUGUGUGACCAUGUUGCACAUCAGUGAUACCACGGGUAACGACUACUAAGAUAGUUGAUCCCAAUAUGCCAAAGUUAGCUACAAGGUUCCAGGUUAGACCAAAUCGCGGAUGCAAAUGCACAUCCAGGAUCGGCGAUCUUAUUUUGAUUAGGGGAUGACUGGUUCCUGAGUACCGUUAGGGAUACAAAUGAUGGUUUGUGCAUUCCGUUUCUAAUCUCCCAUACCGUAGGAUGGCAACCAGAUGAAACAAGUCCCCUGGCUUGUCACCGCGAAGAUGCGGCCUAGAUGGCGCACGACGUCUUCGAACGUGUAGGGGUACAAAUCUGCCGCCGCCAACAUGCGCCACCCUCUGCUGUUACUGCCUCUUGCAUUGAUGGCAAUCCUUAUGUCGAACACCGCGAUGAGAUAGUAAUCAUUGUAGCCGCGUAGCUUUGUCGGCGGGUCCGCAAUUGCUAUCUUAUUCAAUCUCAUGUAGGCAUCAUCAUACGUAUUCAAGCCCAGCUAGUCUGGAAGGCCAAUCCCAAUGGUGGAGAAGGGGUCUACCGAAACGGCCGCACUGCUUUGGAUGUUGUGCAAAAUGAUGGUGGUAUCCGGCCGGAGGUAUGCAAGCCAAUCUUCAUUGGCACCAACCCAGACCUAUAUAUAAGACGGUGGGUAGCGGAGAAAUUAUGGGAUGGAAAUGAAAUAACUAAGCACUACAUGAUCAAACUCCAUUACUGACCUGCUCAUCGGACAAAAUCCGACUACCUCUCAACAUCGGCAACUCUAGCGGAGUCAACGUGCAACCAUGGCCAGGGAGCAGUGUGCUGUUCGAAGGAUUAUCCCAUAGAAGAACCUUCUCCUCGAGGACGCAUGGAAUACCAACAAGCAUGGCCUUUUCCCAAGCCUGUUUAAGCACCAUCUUGAAAAAGUUGGUGCAGGAAGCACCGAGUCUUGCAGCGAUGAGGAGGUCGGAGCAGCGUGCGAUUUCUCCCAGAGGAUCAUCGUCCAAGGUCUCCUAGACCUGACGAGGAGGAGAACUGCCUGGCGAAUCCAUGGGAGCAGCGACGAACUGCCUUCUCUUCGGGGGGAGGGGAACUGGCGAGGAGGAGAUAAGAGCGUAGUAACCACAGGGCCUCGUCCCUUCCAACUGUAGAUCGUUCCUUAGAGAAGGGGUGAGGCUAUUAUUUACUGCUAGUACUAGCAUUAUGGGACGUUAUUGGAUUGCAUUAUACUAUAAAUAAUAGCACUAGUAAGAAAUUUUUGGCACUAGCUAGGUAGUAGUUUUUGCCGUGGAUUAAGAAACUUUGGGUAUGUUUUUGCUAUUUUUUGUACACGCCAACUAGUGUCAAAAAACGUCUUACAUUAUGUGACGGAGGAGUACGUACUCGUACUGUAGCAAUACUAGUACUACUUUGUCUCAACUAGUAGUGCGAUGUACUAUACUUCUAGUCUAGUCUAGUAUAGUGCACCAGUUUUGAACUCUUGAAUCUCAGGGCUAAGGAGCUACAGUUGGAAGUGGAGGGUACUACUGUUCUCUAGAACCAUUGUUGUACUAUCAAUUCAGGGAAAGUACACCUGCGUAGUGGCCUAGUGGGUACUCUCAGUGCUCUAUUCAGCCGCUCCUCUAACAUAGCUGGCCUACUCAGCCGCUCCUCUCACGCACACACUAGCAGCCUAUUUAUCACCGAUGGUUACUGCGGGGGCAGAACAUUUGAGUUAUUUGAUACAGUGGGACAAGGCUUUUUGCUUCCAUAUGUGGAGGUGUGAUGGAUCUCAUCGAACUUUGUUAGUAGUUCCUUCUUUAUGAAUGAGAUGAAGCAAAGCUCUUGCCUCCGUUUCAAAAAAAACACAUCAAGAGGAAUUUCUUUUAUAGUAGAGACGAUAAUGGAGUGAAGUCCAUGCGUGCAAUGCCACAAGCUACAGAAUAGUAAUAGAGCACUUUACGUACAGAGCCAUAUUGCAUAGUUCCCAAUGCCCCGCCUGGCUUUUCCGGCUCCUUGGGUUUAAUUGGGAGGCACUAGUUUAAAUAUGCUACUAGCUGAUAAGGAAGCUGCAAGCGAGGUGCAGCUAGGGCGAGCACGCGAGCUACGGGAUGCUGGGAAGGAAAACCUGUUCACAUGGCUAGGCUAUCAAGUGCACCCAGAUUGUGGUGCCGCCUGUCCGUUUGACUUCAAAACUCAAACUACCCGUGUAAAAUAUUGGCUCGCAGCAAAGUUACUAUUUAUAAAAAAGGCCGCCAUGCGUUCAGCCGGGAUCGAACCCACAAAACGAGGUAUACACUCCCGCGACCACUAGUAGUACUCGUUGGAGUACAAUGCAACCUUGAAUCGCCUUUUGUCACUAGUAGUACAUUGUUCCUUACAAGAAACCCCUAAUAAUGCAAGAAACCACUAAUAAUGCCAAGAAACUACUACCACUUGCAUACGUGGCAGACUUAAGAUAAGACUACCUUAUCAACCAUUGUACAUGCUCUUACCAGCCAGCCUUACCAAGAAACGACUACUCUACAAACUGCCGUUAUAGGCACGUUUCAACCCAUGGCCCUGUUUGGAUACAUUUGUUGUCAAUCUAACCCUUCCAUCCAAACACCACUUUGGUUAGAGUUACUUCAGGGUUAGAAUCUAACUCUAACAUCUGACAGGGCCCAUGUCGCCCAUUAAGUCAAUGCCUUCUAUUCGACCGGGCGUUAUGACUUGUGGGACCUACAUGUCAGUCUGCACAAAAAUCCCCGAGUGACCUCCUACCUCCGGCCCGUCCACCUAGUCAUCCUCGGCCAUGGGACAUGGCUACCACCGCCGGCAGAAGGCAAGGUGAAAACCACUGGCGGUGCGGAGCCCAUCUUGCAGCAGCCUGGAUCCCAGCUCCGUCCGGCGCUCGCGGUCGCUAGCUAGCCAAGAUAGCUCCGUCCAGCUGCUUGUCUGCAAGGUUUGCUAGCAAGAUUGGCACGGCGGCGUGGUGGCUUGCUCUCUCACGCCGCAUUAAGGCCAGCCAUCUAGCUCGAACAAAGGCCAACGUGGCGGCUUGCUCGCUCGUAAGUCACGCUCGGGCCAGCCUGCCAACCCUUGCGGAGGCCAGCGUGGCAUCCGGCCCGUUCGGCGGAGCGGCGGCCAACUCGCUCAUCACCGGCGCCACCAACGAACACGCAUCAGUACUGUUUGAAGUAAUUUUCAGGAAAAGUAAUGAUUUGAGGGGGAAUAAUAGGAUAGAAGGUCAGGUGUGGGUCCCUCGUGUCAACGGUCAAACAAAAUGUGUUGGUUUAAGCUGCCUCGUCAGCACGGACGUGUGGGCCAUCCCUGUCAUAAAUGGGUUUAAACGAACCUAAUCGGUAGGAGUACUAGGUAGUAGUUUUUGGCGUGGAUUAAGAAAUUUUGGGUAUAUUUUUGCUAUUUUGUACAAUAGAUUCUUCCUAGGCCUGGUUGAAAGUGGUAGUUUUUUGUUAAAUACUCUACAUAUUGUAAGUAGGAGUGAAAGUUAAGCUUUGGAAGCCAAUAAGCAAGGCUAGUUACAUAGUGCAUAUGUGUACACGAUUGAAAGUAAAUAUCAACCAUGAGUGACUAAUAUCUUGAUGGAAAAGUCGAAACUAUGGAAUACUUGGAAAAAAAUUGCAUGGUUGGAAAUACUAGCAAUGUUCAUGUGCGUUGCAAUGGAUCAUAAUUAGAAUAAUACUUAUUCACAAACUUGAUACAAAACACUCUAAUUUUGAUAUACAUAUAUCACUAGAUAUAUAUUAUGUUUCAAUUAGAAUAUAUUCCUUGGGCUGUUUUGGUGAGGUCACGGAGGGAUGUGGUUGGUUUUAAGAUACUAAUUAUGGGUUUUUCUACAAAUUGGUAGACAAGUGGGAUGUUGGUGAGAAAAGGCAACAACUUACCUCACAGUCGUUAGAUGUAGAUCUAAUGGUCAGAAAUGACGGAUUGCAGACACACCAUCAUCACCAACUUAGUCUUCUGUAGGAGUACUAGCAAGAUCCAUGCAUUGCAUGGAACAUCAAGAUGCAUUUUUUAUAAAACACUUGUUGUGAUUGACCCAUGCGGGAAUAAUCCCAUGUGUAAAAACUAAUGAUAUCUUGAGAAAUAUGAGAUAAGGUGAAGAGGAGUGGGGCGUGGUGGUGAUUGGUGGUCGGAAUGAGCGGAGGCAUGGGGAUUGACGACGCCGGCAGCGGCCACCAGGCCAGUUUGUUCCAGAGGCUUCCUUUCUUAAUUGCUCAACAAUGAGGUUGUUGGAGAUAAGGAUGAACGAGGGAAGGCAUUGUCUGUAAAUGUGGAGAGGGGUGCGGGUACCUUUUAGUUUAAUUUCCAUCCGUCAGAUAUAGAUCGGACGGUCUAUAUUGCAAGAUGGCACGCAUACCAUCAUCACCAACUCAUUUUUUUAUAAGAGAAGAAAUAUAAGUAUGGAGAUACAAACGUAUUAUCGAUACUUGUUUCCGUAAACUAGCAUCUACAUUCUAUUCAACGCCUCAGCAUGUGGGUCCUUAGCACAAUGACUUCUCGACUGUGUAAAACAAAGGUUUUCCCGUCGCCGAUAAGGAGGGGGUGACGGUGGAGCGCUUUUUGGCUUGCUCUAGUCCUAGUAGUCAUACUAGGUGGUCUAAGCACGUGUAAAUUUAUUCUUUUUCACGUCUCGUGUUCGCCGUACUGCCACGAUUGUUGAUGAAUAGCCGGUAAGUUAUUCACGGGGAAACCCUUGUUGAGCGUGUUUGCCAGAGAGAGAGAGAGAGUGUGUGUGUGUGCAUGUGUGAUAUGUCUAGAGACUGAGGCAAUGAUAACAGAUUCUUUGUGUCUAUGUGUGUGGAGGAUAGAGAGAGACAUGUACAUGGGGCUUUGUGUUGUGUAACAUGGAGACACAUAUACAUAAUUAGAGAGUGAGUGUGUGAGAUACACAUGCGGACACGGGGAGAGAUGAGGAUCCAGAUAAAUGGGUGUUUGUGUGUGUCUGUGUGUGUUUGUGCAUGCAUUUGUGUGUGAGAGGGAGUGUGUGUAUGUGGAGUAGAGGGACCACUAUUGAUGUAAACCUAGUAUAAGGGAAGGGGGAAUGGUGUGACUGUGUAGUAGCGGGAUAGCAUGGGUGCGGGCGAGGGGAGCAGACUGUUUGGAAGAGACAUCGAGUGUGUGUGUGGGAGAGGGGUGUGAGAGCGAGAGAGAGAGAGAGAGAGAGUUAGCGACAGAGAGAGAAAGAGAGAGAGAGAGAGAGAGAGAGAGAGAGAGAGAGAGAGAGGCGAGAGGGGUCGUUUGUGUCCAUAAAUGGUGUAUAGGUAGGGAGACAAUGUUGAUGUUGUUCGAAAUUGGCCUAUGUAUGGAGACGCAAGGGAAGCGAGUCAUCAUGUGUGUGAUAGGGACUUCAUGAGAGAUCUAGAAUAGAUGGUGUAGAGAACAAUGUGCGAGAUCGAGAAUGAUGAUAUAUUAGGGAGCUAUGGAAAGAGUCACGACAUAUAUGUAUACCGGGAAGGAGCUGGGGCGGGUCUGCAUGUGGGAGAGAUAGAAAGAGGAGAGUGGUGCACAAGGAGACAAAGUGUGCUUGUUUGUAGUGGGGGUGGUGUGUGAGGUGAGUGUGCGAGAACCACAUAACUAGGGAGAUAGACGUUUGGGGGCGACGUUUUGUGUGUAUGGGAAAGAUACACUCUACAUAGUGCGUGUGCUUGGGAAAGAGAGAUGCUAGGAGACCUAGAUAGUGGGAGAAGAGAUGUGUGCAUGCCCGAGAGACAAACUGACAGGGACCUAUAUUGGGGUCAGGACUUUAGAAGAGAGCAGGGUGUUAAUGUGCUCCUGUGUUGGUNNNNNNNNNNNNNNNNNNNNNNNNNNNNNNNNNNNNNNNNNNNNNNNNNNNNNNNNNNNNNNNNNNNNNNNNNNNNNNNNNNNNNNNNNNNNNNNNNNNNNNNNNNNNNNNNNNNNNNNNNNNNNNNNNNNNNNNNNNNNNNNNNNNNNNNNNNNNNNNNNNNNNNNNNNNNNNNNNNNNNNNNNNNNNNNNNNNNNNNNNNNNNNNNNNNNNNNNNNNNNNNNNNNNNGAUAUAGAGUGAGGUGUCUAUAUUUGAGGGACUUUAGCGUAAUUGAGAUAUGCAUGGUCAAUAGUUUGUGCACUCAUGGUUGAUCAAUUUGUUUCAUAGUUUGGACUAUGAGAUAACGAUACUUUUGAACAUGCGUGAUAUACCUUGAUGUACCAGAAUUACAAAGCUAAGAUUGGAAUUUUGGAAUUCGAAUCCAUCAUUAGCUUUUGUAAUUCAUUUAAAUGGAGGUACAUUUUUUAAGCCGGGAUUUCGUGAUUUUAAAUUCAUAUAUCAAACCUAGAGAUAUACACAUACGAGCAUGUUCAAACUUUAUAAUCAUCCACUUUGUUCAUACACAUACACAUUUUUGAUUUUGUCAUCAUAUUCAAGAUAAACACAUUUGGAAUUUCAUUUGAAUUGGACCGUAUGAUGGUAUUUGCUUGUAGUAGCUCAAUGAUCCAUAUUUGAAUUGAAUGUACAAUCUAAGUUUUGAGUUGGAGACAUUGAUUUUCAAAACUUGCACUUUUUUUUGCGUGCAAAACAAACAAAUUCUCGGCCAUGAUAUCAUAGUUGGCUGUACAAGAGCAGAAUAUAAUUUCAGGCGCCAAAAGCUUUCAAACUUCCCACUCACAUCGAAAUAUCUCGCGCCCGAAAGUUUAGUCCUGCUAUAUUCUUGUUUUACCCCUGCAACAUGAAUGGAAAAGGGCUGCUUUGGUAACUCCAUUGUUUUCCCAUCUUUGCCCCCAAGAUUAUUCCCCAGAGCCCCUCCCCUUCCCCUCCCUGACCCCCCACCCAACCACGGCAAGGCACCGAAUCUAGUCCUCUGCCGCAGCGGUGGACCUCACACCCCGCCGGAUCUACCUUCCGCACCUUGGAACCCCCAACUACCAACUCACCACUUCACCGGAGCCGCUUCAGCGACUGGCUUGUCCACCGCUCCAGAUCUCCUUGACCUCCAUCAUGGUCCAUCGCACCGGAUCUUCUUAACCGACACCCUCGUCCACCACAAUGUAGGCCCUUCACUGACUCCCUCGUCCGCCCCUUCGCUGGCCCUUCAUACAAGCCCUCGUCCGCCGCAACAGAUCCGCCUCACCGAAACCACUGUACAAUGCGCCGUCGAAGCCUUCGUCCACUGCACCGGACCCGCUCCACGGAUGCCAUAUUCAACUCCACUGGCCCCGCUUUACCGACGCUGCAGCCUCAUCAGGUUAUUUUGAUUUGUACUCCUUCAGUUUUUUUCUUUAUCGUGUAACUGUUCACUUACCACAGAUGAGCUUUCUUGUAUCUCGACAGGCGCUGCAACCGUAGCACUAGAGCCGCUUCAGCAAUGGCGAUAGCUGGCCCAAACUCAACCGCAACACAAGCACCAUCGACAAUCCUUAGCUAUCAAGUAUGAUAAUGAUACCCAUAUGCCGUGAAGAAUCAGGUACUAUUAUCCAACGGCCGGCACCUAUGUUCACUUUCUUAGCAUAAGCACCGCACCUUUUAUUUUUUUCAGGGCAUCAUUCAGUUUUCAUGAGACGCAUUAUUCUGCUUGCACCUGUAGGGCCAUACUUCUGACAGUGAACAUGCUACAUGUGCUAAAUUACAUACCAGUGCACAUAUAGUUAAUAUGAUUUAGUUUUGUCCUAAGUAUUACUGUACUUCCUAGAUAUCACUGCCUACUAUUUUACUUCUUGAAUGCUAUAUUUAUGAUAAUGGUGUGGUUCUGAUGCCACCUGUUGGUUCCAUCGGACUGCUUAAUGUUCUCUAUGCUUAAUUACACAUCAGCAAACUAGCAUGUGGUUCCGCUGCUUUUUGUUUGUUUUACCCUACAUUUUCCAAUGCUAGCUAUUACAUCACUGCUCCGAGCCUCUAUUCAUUACUUGAUUGUGUGUUCUUGAUCUUCCCAAGUUGCAUGACUAAUUUGAUGCUUCUAUUAAUUAUGGAGCUGCCAACCACAUCAAGCAAAAUAUUUGUUCUUUUGGGGCUGGCACCUCGAACAAGCAUAAAAAUAGAGGGAAGCAGAUAUAUUGUUGUGUAUCCACACACCCUUCUUUCAUUAGUUUAGAUGAACCAUUGAUGAUCAAUUCAGACCAGUGCAUGCGAUUAAAAUUAAUUUUAUCUAAAUAGAGGGUGCAGAAUAAACUACAACAACUAGAUUUGCAACCACGGGAUGCUGACGAUAUCUUCAAAGAACAUUGCAAUAGCAGCGAGGCUUCACAGCAACAUAUGGUAAGCCAGUGUGUUUUAGUACAUGUGAAAUGUAAUGCGAGUGGGCUGCUUUCUUGGCUUGUGCCCUCAACCUGUAAUCCUACAUAAUUACAAAUAGUUCAGUUGUCUGCUUUGCUGUAUUGCUUGAUUUGAAUGCUUGUUUGUUGGUACGCUAUACCUGAGUUGGCCAAUAUGUCAGCAGUGCCCACUGUACUAUCGUAAAGAAAUGCAUGCCUAGUUCAUUUGAGUCCUUAACUUUUCCUCUCAACUUCAUCACAAGACUGUAUUUGUAGUUUAUAUGAGGCCACACUGUUAAGUGCUUUCUCAGAUUAUUUCAACUGCUUAGAUGCCUUGGCAACUUAAAUAUAGCGGUGGUACACUCCCUUUCAACUAGGGAUGUCAACUGGGUCCCGCUUAAUCCCGAUUAAAGUCCACUAGUGGUAUGAUAGUUGAAAAGAGUUUUUGUUUUUUGAGGAAAAUGAACUAGGGAGCUAGCAAAAACUAACUAGAUGGGACUAGCGGAUGUCAUUUAUUUGCCACUUACAUCCCUAGUUUCAUCUUACCAUUUUAAUUUCUUUUCGGCUGAUGCUACUUCGAACCAUUUAAAUAUAGCUUGCCAUGCUCGGCAAUAAUUCGUAUGUCGUUUACCAUCUAAGCGUACUGCCUGGUUCAUAUGAUAACUAUCUCUUAGUUAUGUCCAGCAGAAACCUUUCAGGAUGCCGUUCACACUAGGACACAAUGUACAAGCCCAGAAUCUAUUUGUGGAAGCAGUGCACCAUCCAUGUUACCAGAUGGUAGCAGUUCAGAGGCAGCACCGCUGUAGAGCAGUCUGUGCACAUAUAUUAUAGUGCUUGAGGCUCUACUAGAGGCAGAAAGAGAUGGCAUGGAUGCCAUUAAUGAGGUAAUAUUUAUCUUGAGGCUGGAAAUAAUGGAAUUAGCGGCACGCAUUAUGCAAGCAACCCAAGAAUUGGAGGAAGUAAGAAUGUUGCAUUCGAAGACGGAGGAGGUCCUGCUGUUUCUGCUAUCUGAAGCCCAGGGUAAUCCUGGUUCUUCUUUAGAUACAAGUUGAAAUUGUCAUUAGAUUAUUGUACUUGCAUGUUGUGUCAUGUCUCUGAAUGAAUUAUGUUGCAAGACCCCCUAUGUUGUCCAUGUGUUGUAAUGAUCUGAAUUUUUUAGGCGAGGUAAUCCUCAGUACUUGUAUGAUUGACAUAAGGUGAACUAUUUUUCGUGUGAGCAUAUUGUAUUGGAUGAAAUAACUGUUUGACUCAAAGUGUAUCCAACCUACUGAAUUCAAAGAUCACGGCAUUUAUAAAUCAUAAUCAUAUAUAAAGGUGGAAGAAAUCUUUGUUGUGGUUUUGAAGAAAUAAAUAACAAAACGUAGAAUUAUCUGUGGAUAUUCAUAAUCGAAUACAAAUUGGAUUUGAAUUUAGUUUGCCAGGGCCCAGGGCAAAUGUGAAUGCUAAUUGUCCCAAGUUUUGAACGAAGCGGCUAAACACCCACUAUAAUUUGUGGGCUGCCCGAAGCAAGUGUUUGCGAGAUGGAAAUUACUGUCUACCCCUGACACUUGACGUCCUUGUCGGCCGGAUUUACACUGCUGUCGAUAGGGGUAGACUAGUAACUUCAAUCAGACGUGACACGACGGCCUCUGAGCCCAUUCAGACAUGGUGGGAGCCAAACAUGGGCGGUAAAACACAUUUGAUUCAAGCUCGUCCAAAAGACAUGUGUCUCUUCCUCCAUUUCCCCAUUCAUACACGGUUGGCGGCAAAACAAACUCUCCUCGUCCGAAAUUGAUGUAGGCUAAUAUUUUAAAUAGGGGCAGAUGUGUAACUUCCCUCAGACGUGACACAACCGCCCUACCUGUCAGCCCAGUUCAUACACCAUGGGGGCCAACCGUGGGCGUAAAAACACCCUCUCCUCACCGGAAAUAGUUAUCGGCAUAUAUUUGGGAGAUGCGAGAUUACCGUCCUAUCCCCAACCGAUGCAAUGUCCGAAAUUUUAAACGGGGGAUAAGUUCAUAACUUUCCCAUAUUUCAGAGAAGCGCGCCCCAAAGUUUGAGAUCCCCCUCCCCUCCAUUUCCCCAUUCAUACACCAUCGGCGCCACGACAACCUCCCCACUGCGGCCAGCCUCCUCUGUCCGCCACCCCAUCCUCCACCUUGCCGGAGCCCUACCCCUACCCCGUCGUUCACUGCAAGAGAUGGACGUCUCUCAUCCAUGGCGCUGGACUAGGAUCCUUUCAUCGCGUCCUCUCGCUUCAUCAGCGCCGUCGUCCACCUUGCCGUUACUGCUCCUACGACCGCCUCGUCCACGACAAUAGGAUUUAUCCCCCGACCAGGCCGUCUGCCGUCUAAAGUCUUCUUCCCCACCGCGGACAGCCAUCGCACCCGCAACACCCUCAACAUAUCAGCAGAGGCCUACACGGUGUCGCAAGAGAGGUGGUACUCUUCCAUAUGUGGUUAAGUUAUUGAUCUCACCCAGAAAAUAGAUCGUAAUUUGUUUACUGUACUUUUCUUGUCCGUACCAAAUCGUAGUGGCUAGUUGAAAGCAAACAUUGGUUGCGAAGUAGCUUUGUCCGGUUUGCACCUUACGCCAUGGCACGAGCACUAUACUCCUAAAGCUUAUGGUUUCCCCCCUUUAUAUUCACUACCAUCAUCAGAGGUGCUUCGUGUCGUGCUAGCACUGCUCCUGAAGACCUCAACCCAAAGCUUACGUGUUGAAAUACGAAUCUGAUAUGAUGCUCAUAUCAUUAAAACAGAGGACAUUUAAUUGGUCACCUAAUGUUCCUAUAUUCGUUUCGAACAACAUGUGCACCACCCACUGGUCCAGCUAGUUCCACUUUCCUGAUUUUUCACUUGAUGCUUAGGGUUUCCCCUUUUAUCUACUCUACUAUGAUCUGCAUAGGUGCUUUCUGUCAUACUAGCGUUACUCCACCCUUCAAGCUAAACAACACAACACUCAAAAUUUGAGAGCUUAGUUGUUCAAAUAUGAUUGUGAUAUGAUACUGAUAUUAGUUAACAGACACAUUUAAUUGGUUAGCUAAAGGUCCCACUUGAGUUUGCAAAUGCAUGUCGCGACAUAUAGAGAGACAGCAGAAUUGCAUUUCUUUAUCACUUGUUGACUGUACUUUCUUGUCCAUACCAAAUCUUAGUUGUUAUUUCAAAGCAAACAUCUAUUGCUAACUACCCUUUGCACGGUUUGCAGCUUCAGAUCUGCCAUCCCACUGCCACGGUCAACACUGUACUCAUCAUGCUUAUGGUUUCCACAUUUUAUGAUGACCACGAUCAGCCUACGUGGCUCGUGUCGUAAUAGCACUGCUCCACCCAUUGAGCUAAACAAAGUUAGCUGUACAAAUUCAUAUCUGAUAUUAUGCUGAUAUUAGUAAAACUAAGAGAUGUUUAAUUGGUCAACUAAAUGUUCCUACUUUAGUUUCGAAAUGCAUGUGAGCCACAUAUGGAGAGACUGGAAAGAAUAGUAUUUCUUUGUGCACUCUUGUUCAUCAUGGGUGACCAACCGACAUUGUAUUGAAAGACUUGUAAUAUCUUCAAUUUGCUUGCUCUUCUGCUCUUCUUUAAGAUGAUCCUCUUCUCUUGUUGUCGACUGGUCACGUCGAGUUGUUCUCCCUUAGUAUAUUUUGAAUCUGUCAGGUCAGGUCAACUUGUUCUUCUUUACUAUAUGUUGAAGCUGUCAUCUGCGAAGUGUCAUCACUUCUGGAGCUCUCAUAUUUUGAGUAGUAGGCCACAUUAUAUUAAUGCACACACCAAAUUACAGCAUGCAUGGCAUCUCUUAAAAGAAUUGCAGAGAUAACACACUUCUGCAUUACAAAGAUAAUCUCACUUGUUUUUAUGUUUUCAUGCAUGUCAGAUAUUGAACAUUAUCAAAAUGAAUAUGAGAAUGGACGCACGAGAGGAAUAUUGCUGAACAAUCCAUUGGCUAACAAACUGGGCAUGGUAGAGGAUGGCCUAUCUUAUUCACCCAUCAAGGUGCUUGCUCUAACUUGGCAAGGUUGUAUUGGUCGCACAUAUUUUGCAUCUGACCUCUUGCAUUACUUCUACUUUGUUACACCAUCUGCUUAGUUUAAGCAUCAUAUAUGAGUAUAUGCCAUACCUAUCCAUUUUCUGUACCUAUUCCAUGUGUCGUCACACUAUGUUUUUCCAGUCAAAUGUUGUUCUUUCGUAAUAGAUGUCCAAAAGGAAGAGGGUGAGUGCAGAUCCUCAAGGAGUACAAACUAGGUAUUUGGAAAAGGUUGUGAUACCUGUUAAAUUAGAUAGAUCAGCAGCCACAAAAAACACAUGCCCAACUAUACCACACUUUACCCCUACUCCAGUGGCCAAACCCCUAUUAGAACUGCUAAGAGCCCAGCGUCGGGUAAUGUCUAUGAUAUCAAUUCAAAAUUUGAACUCCUAAAUUUCUGCAUCUGCCUUACCUUCUCUCUUGUAUGAAAACUAAUUUCAGAUGAAUCUCCUUGCUCGAAGGACCACACAGUCUCACAACAAUACUGGGCUCUGCAUUGGUCUUGUCAGUACCUCUAUCCCUUUUGCCUUGUAACACUGUACUUAAUUAAUUGCUAUUUGAUUAUGUAUCAUCAGUCUGCACCUGAGCUUCAUUAUCCUCUGUUUCUUCCAAUAUUAUUUGAUCUAUAUUUACUCUUUGCAAAAUGUAGAAUAAUGGCAACGCUAAUAAAUAAUUUUCUUUGGGGAACUUAUUGAAUUAUCCUUCCAUCAACAUGGAGAAGGGCUUCUUCCAGCCCGUGUUAACAUGUAAUGUAAGUUCGUCCUUCUCAAGCCUUCAAACUUUUUUCUAGUAUAGAUUUGGAUAGGCAUCAUUUCCUCCACUACUGCUUGCAUUAUUGUUUACAUCUGAUUGGAUGUUUGCAACAACUACCAGUUUCAAAUUGUAGUUGUAAAAACAUGUUCCUUAUGCAGAACAGAUCCAUUUAUUUGCUUAUAUAAUUGUGAAACCUGUUACGUGUCUCCUUGUUUCUCUUUUAGAGUCGUAUCUCUUAUGCCAGGCAGAACUUUAGGGAAGAUAGUGAGCCAAACCAUCUUGGGGACAGUGAGAUGACCCCAAGGUCUUGUCUUGAUGAAGACAAUGAGUUGAAGCUACUCAACAGCAGGUGUGAGACAAUCUCUGUGCAGUCGCUGCCUCAAUCAGUUCGACUUCUUCAAUCGCAAAUUAAAGCAGAAAGGCGUGCUUCAGCUCAGCUCCAACUUGAAGUCAAAGAUGUAAUGAAGAUGUCAGAGGACUGCCUUGCGCACCAUCAUGCCAUACAGCUACGGGUGAUGCAGCUAUCGUUGACACAAUUGAGGUCUAAUCAGCUUGUUCGGCUGUUUGGGGGGCCGACCUGGCCAAGCCUAGUGCCUUCUGAAGUGCUCUGAGUUUUGUAUAUUCUUUUGUCGACGCGUUUAUUUGCGCUGGUGGUGAACUUUGAUGCCCAGUGGAUGUAAUAUGUGUAAUAGUUGUGAUAGCCUAGCGUAAGUUUGCUGCUUAUUUAUUUCCUUGUUGUCUUGUUUAUUUGUUUGUUUGUAGUCAGUGCAGUUAUUUUUCCGCAGUUUGCUAGUAGCCGCAGUAACCUAUUUUUUAAAACUAGGCCACAAUAACCAUGGGCUUCAUAUUUACUAUAGUGACACUGGGCCUCCUUUGUGCCGUAGAAACAAUGGGCCUUCUACGGGCCAUAGAAGCAAUGGGCCUUCUAUGGGCCCUAGAAACAAUGGGCCUUCUACGGGCCAUAUCAUCAAUGGGCCUUAUAUGGGUCGUAUAAUCGAUUGGCCAAACAUGGGCCAAUAACAGACCGCAUUAUGGCCGUAAACGGGCUAGAGUUGGAAUCCUCCGUUCAUGGGCCGACCAUAACGGGCCGUCGUUAAUAGGCCAUAUCUGAUGACGCUAUGAAAACGGCCCAACGUAUUAACGGGCCACAAACGGGCCGAAUGUAACCAUGGGCUGAAUUUGGCCCACAAGCAGAAAAUGGCAGUAAUGGGCCGUAAGUAACCGAAUGCUGGAAAUGAGCCCAUGAAUAAAUGGGCCCUGAGAAGGCCAAAAGAUAACAUGGGCUGCAAACAGUCCAAUGGAUUAACGGGCCGUUAAUGGGUAUAAAGCGAUACACUGUUCAUUACGAGUCAGUUUCACCAUGGGCCGUUAAUGGGCCAAGAGUUACAAACGGCCUCAUAUGGGCCAAAAGACGUCAUGGGCCAUACAUGGGCCGGAACUUAAAAUGGGCUGGAAUCAUAUUGGACGGCCCAUAUGACGAUACUGGGCCUAAUUCGGAUAGGUCGUAACGGGCCCUGGGUUAGUGGGCUGUAAAUGGAUUAUAUGCGAACAGGCCGUUAACAGGCUUUCCUUGGGCUGGCCCGCCACCUUUUGACCAAGUCAAACGGGCCGGCCUUUUCACAGGAAUGGGCCUCUGUUGGGCCGUGCCACGUGUCGACGUAUCAUAGGCACCUUCGGUCCAAUGAGUGGAUGACAUCUGUCCCAAUGGUGAGCCAACAUGUGUUUCCUCCAGCCAAUGCUGAUUUUACACGUGGAAAAUCCUCAUUGGUCGGGGCUGUUAGCGGGUUAUCGGAUCCAAAACUGGACCCGAUAGCUUAACGGCGUUCCGUCACAGUGGAUGCCACGUGUCGCUAACCCUUGACGCAAGCACUUCUGUGACGCGAGAUUUAUCGUCAUAGAAGUGGACACUUCCGUGAUGAUAAUUUUGGUAAUGUCAUGGAACACUUCUACGACAGGACAUGUAUGACUAUCUUGAUUCUGUCAUAAAAUCGUCAUGGAUGUACAUGCAUGAAAAAAACGCGACCUACUAUGACAAACACGUAUCAUCACGGAAGUGAAUUUUUUGUAGUGUUAUCAAUAGGAGCAACAAGUACUGGCGGCUCAGUGAGCUGUCUCUUCAAAGCCUCAAACGUGUCAUUAGCAGCAUCACUCCAGACAAAGUCAUCUGUUUUCUUCAUCAUCUGGUACAGCGGUAUGGCCUUCUCACCCAACCGGCUUAUGAACCGGCUUAAGGCAGCAAUACGACCCGCCAGACGCUGAACAUCAUUAAUACACGCCGGCUUUGCCAGGGAGGUAAUGGCCUUGAUCUUCUCCGGGUUAGCCUCAUGCCUCUGUUAGAAACCAGAAAACCCAAAAGCUUGCCUACUGGCACACCAAAAACGCACUUGGUCGAGUUAAGCAUCAUCUUGUAGACCCGGAGAUUGUUGAAGAUCUCUUUCAAAUCAUCUAUCAAAGUUUCCUUAUUUCUGGAUUUCACCACAAUAUCAUCUACAAAAGCAUGAUCAUUGCGCCCAAUCUGAGUGUGGAGACAGUUCUGCACACACCGCUGAUAAGUCGCCUAGGCACUCUUAAGCCCAAAGGGCAUAGACACAUAGCAGAAGGCUCAAAAGGGAGUGAUGAAAGUUGUCUUCUUCUCGUCCUUAACUGCCAUCUUGAUCUGAUAAUAACCAGAAUAAGCAUCCAAAAAACUCAAGCACUCACAAACCACCAUAGCAUCAAUGAUUUUAUCAAUACGAGGGAGAGAAAAAGGAUCAGCCUGACAAGCCUUAUUUAAGUCCGUGUAGUCCACACACAUACGCCAAGUGCCGUUCUUCUUAAGCACCAGCACUGGGUUAGCGAACCACUCAAGAUGAAAGACUACAACAAUGAACCCAACCGCCAAGAGGCGAGCCACUUCUUCACCGAUGGCCUUACGCCUCUCCUCAUUGAAGCAAUGAAGGAAUUGCUUAACCGGCUUAAACUUCGGAUCAAUGUUAAGAGUGUGCUCAGCGAGUUUCCUCGGUACACCUGGCAUGUUAGAAGGUUUCCAUGCAAAGAUGUACCGGUUUUAAUGGAUGAACUCGAUGAGCGUGCUUUCCUAUUUUGGAUCCAGUUUAGCACUGAUACUGAACUACUUGGAUGAUUCACCAGGAACAAAGUCAACCAGCUUAGUGUCAUCGGUAGACUUAAACUUCAGCACCAGAUCAUGCUCUGUAGUAGGCUUUUUCGGAGAUGUCAUAUCAGCUGGAUCAACAUUAUCUUUAUAGAACUUCAACUCCUUUGUUGCACAGACAGACUCAGCGUAAGCAACAUCACCCUCUUCACACUCCAAAGCUAUUUUCCGGCUCCCAUGCACUGUAAUGGUCCCUUUGUAACCCGACAUUUUGAGCUGCAAAUAAACAUAACAAGGUCGUGCCAUGAAUUUAGCAUAAGCCGGCCGUCCAAACAGAGCGUGGUACGGGCUUCUGAUCUUGACCACUUCAAAGGUUAACUUCUUGGCCCUGGAAUCAUACUCAUCUCCAAAAGCCACUUCCAGCUCAUUGCCUAUAGGGUACGCCGACUUACCAGGCACCACUCCAUGGAAAACAGUAUUGGACAUCUUAAGAUUUUUACCAGUUAAUCCCAUACGACGGAAAGUAUCAUAGUAAAGGAUAUUAAUGCUGCUGCCUCCAUCCAUGAGUACCUUAGUGAAUUUGUACCCACCAACUUGAGGCGCCACCACCAAAGCCAAGUGACCCGGAUUAUCAACCCGGGGCGGGUGAUCCUCUCGGCUCCACAUAAUGGGCUGCUCAGACCAUCACAAGUAUGGGGAACUGCCGGCUCAAUGGCAUUUACAACCCUCUUGUGAAGCUUCUAGUCCCAAUUGCAUAGACUCGUGGUGAAAACGUGGUACUGCCCGCUAUUCAACUGCUUCGGUUCACUUUGAUAUCCAUACUGUUGCUGUGGCUGACUCCCUUGGCCAGAUUGUUGAUUGUAACCACCCUGAUUACCUUGAUUAUAACCACCCUUAUUACCUUGAUUAUAACCACCCUGAUUACUUUGAUGGUGUUGGUUGCCCUGGAAGCCGGAAUUAGAACCGCCACCUCCGUAGCCCGGGCCAUGAGAACCGUCGCCACCGGAACCCGAGCCGCCGCCCGACCCAUGGUUGUUGUGAAACGAGUUAGAAUUUUUGAAAGCCCUCAUAAUUGAACAAUCUUUCCAAAGGUGAGUAGUUGGCUUCUCCUGCGUGCCAUGCUUUGGGCAGGGCUCAUUCAGCAACUGCUCAAGAUUAGGACCUGAUCCACUGGUCCGAGGAGGCAGCCUCCCCUUAUGAUGCUGAUUAUUGCUCCGUGCAUUGGUGUUAGCCACAAACUCCGAGUUACCAUCAGCCUUGCGCUUACAGUUGCCCCCCUGAUUCGCCGGGUUAUGUUGCAGACCCUUGGUGUUGCCAUUCUUCUUUCCCUUUCUCGGUUUGUCAUCAUCAGACUCGGGGUCCUUGGUACUAUCAGAGUCAGCAUAUUUGAUUAGAGCCACCAUCAGCUGCCCCAUAUCAUUGCAAUCACGCUUGAGUCACCCCAGCUUCUGCUGAAGAGGCAAGAAAUGACAAUUUUUCUCAAACAUUAAGACUACAGAAUCGGCAUUCAUGUUAUCGGAUGAGUGUAUAAUAGCUUUGACCCGGCGCACCCAAUGGGUCGUUGAUUCAACCUCCUCUUGGGCACAAGCACCUAAGUCCAUAAUGGACAUAGGCUGUUUGCAUGUGUCUUUAAAGUCCUAAAUAAACUGGGCCUUUAGCUCAGCCCAUGACCCGAUGGAAUUAGCUAGCAGCCCUUUUAACCAAGUACGGGCCGUUUCAUCCAGCAUCAUAGUGAAGUACUUAGCACAUGCGGUGUCACUGACCUCCAAUAGUUCCAUGGCCAUCUCAUAAGUUUCAAUCCACGCCUCAGGGGGUAAGUCGGCUAUGUAAUUAGGCACCUUGCGAGGUCCUUUGAAACCCUUGGGCAAACACUCAUUACGUAGAGCCGGCACCAAACAGGGUGCACCUGUAGUUCUAGAGGUCACGCCCGCCUCUACCGAAGUCGUUGGAUAAACCGGAAGGGGCUGGUCAGCCGCCCGCUGAGCCGCCUACUCAGCCUCUUGAUGCACUCUGUCUUGAUCGACAAAGUUAUGAGCUCCAUAACAUGCUGGGUCAUGCCCACGCGGCUGGUUACGGCUUUGAGCAUUGCUUGAAACAGCUGGUGAGUCCAUGUGCCUACUAUAACUCCGGCUCCGGCGAGGUGUUGAGUGAAUCCUAUCUCGACUAUAAGAAUAUGUCUCCUUCUGCACCAAUGUUGUCUGAAGAAGUUCUCUAGCCCUUCGUGUUUCAACCGCCGCUGGAGAGUUGCCAUCCACCGGUACAUCCACCAAUCGUGCCGCCGCAACAAUCAUGUUCUCCAAAGUAUUGGAAUAAUGACCCCAACCGCUUCGCCUAGCAGCACAACGCUUGUAUUGCUCUCCCAUAACCCUGUUUUCAUGUUGGCGUUGGUACAUGUUGAGGCGGAGCGCUAUUCAGACAAGGGGGUUCUGUCAUGUGCAGUUGAAUCGGCAUUCCAACCCCAGGUGAUGCAGCCUGGUUUAUCUCCAGCGGGUUACUGGUCCCCGCUCCAGGCGUGCAAAAUAAGUUUCUCGCCUCAUAAACCGGAGGUAGACAAGACUUGUGCCUCCUCCUCAUGAUUUCAUUUGAAGCUUUUGAUCCAUCGUAAGCCAGAAAGCCUCUGACUGAAUCCGCUGGGCUUGAGCAUCCAGGGCAGCCCGUUCCGCGACCAUCCUAAUGUCCUCUGCCGCAAGGUUCUUCUUGGCUUGCGCUACCUCAUCACGCAGCUUUGCAAUUUCUGCGCUAUGCUGAGCAUGAUUUGUCGGGUUAACUUCUGCUGUUAACAAGGCUGUGAGUCUAUCUAGCAACUCCGUCAACACUUGUGCCAACGGGCGCACAUGACCUCCUGCCCCGGCUGCCAUCACCGCUGCUGACCAGGAAGUCAUUACUGCUGUGGUUGAAGAAUUUUGCCCAGGCUGCGUACCAGCCAUAAAGAUUGCAACCCGGUUCUGUGGCUCAUAGGGGUCCGGAAUACUGUCGCCAUCGGAACAACCCCCAAGCCCGCCAUCUUGCAAUUGGUACAAGGAAUUAGUCUCGCUUGUGGACGACUCACCAUCAGAAUAGAUGGCCGUCUCACUGCCAGACAUUGACCCUUCAUCAAAUUCUGCUCCAUGGAUGAAUCCCACGUAAGGCACGCUUCACGGCGGGCUAAGCCCGGGCAGGUCUCGCACGCCGAGCCGUCUCGAUGAUGUCGGUGCAGAUGUCCGGCUCAGGGCCCGGCUCGCCGAUCUUGCCAAUGAAGACAUGAAUUCCGCUGAAGGGGACCCGGUACCCAUACUCAAUUGAGCCGACCUCGGGGCCCCAGCCUGCAUCGCUGAUGUAGAGCUUGCCACGACGACUCUUGGUCAUCCGGCCUAUAGUGUAUACCUUGAGCCCUUCGAAGCUGCCCUUUAAGAACUCGAAACCACCAUGCGUUGGCCCCAUGGUGGGCGCCAACUAUCAUGGAAUAGUCACGGCAGAUGUCCUAGCGAAAGGACUUGGUCAUGGAGCCAUCGCAACUAGGUUAGCUUAAAGGGGUCAAACGGGACAAAGGACACAUGAGUUUAUACUGGUUCGGCCCCUUGCGGUGAAGGUAAAGGCUACUCCAGUUUUGAGGUGGUAUUUCUUAUGUCUCGAUUACAAGGGAGCGAAUCUGCUUCACCUAGCUUUCGAUCUAUUGUUUCUUGCCCUGAAUCGCCACCGGUCCGUGACUUUAUAUACACAGGUUGAUGCCCAGCGGCUCACAGAGUCCUAGCUGGCUCAUAGACAACGUGUCCAGCUCGGUGACUAUCUAUACAUGCCUUACAACACAUGUCUUAAACAUAUGGUGGUUUACUUCUACGGGCCUUAAGUCGCCCUUGGGCCUUGGGACCUUGCUUGUGAACCGCCAUCUUCAAUAUCCUCGUGGGCUUCAUAUCAUGAAUCACCACAGGUAUAACUCGGCCCCACCUGGGCGGGUCAUACCUAAUAGUUAUAUCCCCAAUAGUAUUGAUUUCCCACGAUGUAAAAAACAAGCAGAAGACAACAAUUGACACUGGGCACUAUGUCAAUAGGUUAGUACCAAAAAAUGAUAUAAAAUGACUAUAAAACGAUUGUAAAACAUCCAAUAAUGAUAAUAUAAUAGCAUGGAACAAUCAAAAAUUAUAGAUACGUUGGUGACGUAUCACCUUUCUUGAUGAUAAUGUGCCAGGUGAAUUUCUUGAUGAACAAAUUGCUAGAGUCAAAGAUAUUGAGAAUGCUGAAACUAAUGAAAUUAUUGAAACUAAUGAAGUACUUGAAAAUUAAAAUCUUGAAACACCUAUUAGACCUAGCUCUCCUAGAGUUGAAUUGCCUUAGAUACCAGAAGGUUAUAUUAUGGACGAGGAGAUAGCUACAGACUUUUUGCAUGCAACGAUAGAGAUGAUCUUAAGAAAUUACUAUGCAAACUGAAGGAAGAAUCUUCGAAUGCUAGAAUGAAAUGUGAUCCUAAGUUUGCUACUUCACCUAUCUUUGUUACCGAUAAGGAUUAUGAAUUCUCUGUCGACCCGGAGUUAAUUACUUUUGUUGAAUCUGAUCCUUUUCAUGGCUAUGAAACUGAAACUGUAGUGGCACAUCUUACUAAAUUAAAUGAUACAGCCACCCUAUUUGCUCAUGAUGAGAAAAUUCGCUACUACUAUAUCCUAAAACUAUUUUUGUUCUCAUUAAAGGGUGAUGCUAAGAUAUGGUACAAUACCCUUGCUCCUGGUUGUGUGCGUAGUCCCCAGGAUAUGAUUUACUACUUCUCUGAAAAAUAUUUUCCUGCUCAUAAGAAACAAGCUGCCUUACAAGAAAUAUUUAACUUUGCACAAACUGAACAAGAGAGUCUCCGACAAGCUUGGGGGAGGCUUCUCCAAUUACUUAAUGCUUUGCCUAAUCAUCCUAUUAAGAAAAAUGAGAUAGUUGAUAUCUUCUAUAAUAGACUAACCGAUGCUUCUAGGGACUUCCUAGAUAGUUCCGUUGGCUGUGUUUUCAGGGAACGAACUGUUGAACAAGCUGAGGAAUUAUUGAACAACAUAUUGAAAAAUAAUGAUGAUUGGACUCUUCCUGAACCACCGCCUGAACCAACUCCAAAGAAGAGGGGUAUCUUAUUUCUCAGUCUCGAAGAUAUGCAAGAGGCAAAGAAAUGUAUGAAGGGAAAUGUGUUAAAGCUAAAGAUGUUAAGAAUUUACCACCUAUUGAAGAAAUACAUGGACUUGAUACACCACCACCACCACCGGUGGUAGAGGUAAAUUCUUUAUUAAAGUUUGAUGAAGGUGACAUCCCUUAUAAGGAACAUCCUAGUCACUGCCUUUAUGAGUUCGACAAUUACAUUAGGAAACAAGAUCACUUCAAUGCAAAUGUAAUGAAACAAUUGAAAUAUAAUUCUGAUAUGAUUGCUCGCUUGAGUGACUUGUUAUUUAGAAUUACUAAUGAUGUAAGAGGUGUAGGAAAACAUGAUUCUAUGGUUCAAACUCAGCUAGAACAAGUUGCUAAAUGUUAAAGAGAUUUGCUUAAUGAAAUGAAUAAUAAUAUGAAUGAUUUUGUUGUUAGAGUAGCAACUAGAGGAGGCAAAAUGACUCAGGAACCACUUUAUCCUGAGGGACUCCCUAAAAGAAUUGAACAAGGCUAUCAAAGAAUUAAUGAUGAUGCAUGAUGUCGCUUGGACUACGUCGAUAUUUCCCCAAAGAGGAAGGGAUGAUGCAGCACACCUACGGUAGGUAUUUCCCUCGGUUAUGAAACCAAGGUAUCAAUCCAGUAGGAGAACCAAGCAACACUGUGUAAAUGGCACCAAAACACAAAGAACAAAUACUUGCAACCUGACGCUUAUGAGGGGUUGUCAAUCCCUCUAUGGGUAAUUGCGCCAGAAAUUGUCAAGUUGACGGGAUAAAAUUUGUGACAGAUUGGAUAAAUAGAUCCCGAUAAAAUACGAAAUAAAAUAAGUAAUGAAAAAGUGCAGCAACGUAUUUUUGGGAUUUUGGAAUAAUAGAUACUAAAACAAAAGCUAAUAAAAAUAGAUCCCAAAGCAAAUAUGAUACAUAAUAGACCCGGGGCCCGUAGAUUUCACUAGUGGCUUCUCUCAAGAAAUAGCAUACGAUGGGUAAACAAAUUACUGUUGGGCAAUUGAUAGAAGAUCGAAUAAAAAUGACGAUAUCCAAGGUAAUGAUCAAUAUUUAGGCAUCACCCAAGAUUAGUAGACCGACUCCUGCCUGCAUCUACUACUAUUACUCCACACAUCGACCGCUAUGCAGCAUGCAUCUAGUGUAUUAAUUUCAUCGAGAAAUGGAGUAAUGCAAUAAGAACGAUGACAUGAUGUAAACGAGAUAUAUUCAUGUAGGAAUAGCCCCCAUCUUGUUAUCCUUAAUAGCAACGAUACAUGUGUGUCUUGCUGCCCCUUCUGUCACUGGGAAAGAACACCGCAAGAUCGAACCCAUCACAAAGCACCUCUACCCAUGGCAAGAAAAAUUGAUCUAGUUGGCCUAACUAAAUGAAAGAUUUGAAGAAGAAAUACAAGGCUAUAAAUAAUCAUGCAUAUAAGAGAUCAAAGAAGACUCAAAUAAUAUUGAUGGAUAUAGAUCUGAUCGUAAACUCAAAGUUCAUCGGAUCCGAACAAACACAUCACAGAAAGGGUUACAUAAAAUAGAUCUCCAGGAGACCAUUGUACUGAGAAUCAAAAGAGAGAAGAAGCCAUCUAGCUACUUCCUUCGGACCCGUAGGUCUAUGAUGAACUACUCACACAUCAUCGGAGAGGCACCAAUGAGGAUGGUGAACCCCUCCAUGAUGGUGUCUAGAUUGGAUCCCGUGAUUCUGGAACUUGCGGUGGCUGGAAUUGUGUUUCGUCGACUCCCUUAGGGUUUCUAGAAUAUUUGGUAAUUUAUAGGGCGAAGAGGCGGUGCGGGAGGUUAUCGAGGGGGGCACAACCCGCCUGGGCCUCCUGGCAUGCAUUGGUGGGUUGUGCCCACCUCGGGCCUCCCCUUUGGUAUUUGUUUGGCCCACUGGGUGUCUUCUGGUCCAAAACAAAUCUCCAAAAAGUUUCGCUACAUUUGGACUCCAUUUGGUACCAAUAUCCUACAAAGUAAAAUAAAAGGCAAAAAAUAGGAACUAGCACUCGGCACUAUGUCAAUAGGUUAGUCCAAAUAAAUGAUAUAAACUUGCUAUCAAAUGAUUGUAACACAUCCAAGAAUGGUAAUAUAACAACAUGGAAAAAGCAAAAAAAUUAGAUACGUUGGAGACGUAUCAGCAUCCCCAAGCUUAAUUCCUACUCGUCCUCGAGUAGGUAAAUGAUAAAAACAGAUAUUUUUUUUUGAUGUGGAAUGCUGCCUAACAUGUUGAUCACAUAUUCUUUUCUUUUGUAGCAUGGACAUUUGGAAUUUUAUAUGGUUCAAAGAAAUAGUCUAGUUUUGACAUGAAGAUUUCAAUACUCAAACAUAUCAACAAACAACCAUGUCUUUCAAAAUAUCAACACUAAAGAAAGUUAUCCCUAUCCCAUCAUGCUCAAUCAUUGAUCCAUUCAUGAAACACACUCGCAUGUUAGCUACAUCCAAUGCUCAAGUAUGAUCAUGGUGCCCCUAGUUGGUGCUUUAUUGGAGAAGAUGGAGACUCAAAUAAAAAUAAAAAUUGCAUAAAGUAAAUAGAUAGGCCCUUCACAGAGGGAAGUAGGGAUUCGUAGAGGUGCCAGAGCUCAAAGCUAAACUGAGAGAUAUUUUUUUAGAAGCAUACUUUUCAUGUCAAUGAAAAUGAUCGAGUAAUUCCUGACACUUUCCAAGCUAGAUAUAUCAUAGGCGGUUCCCAAACAGAAAAUAAAGUUUAUUCCUUUUUCCACCAUCCGUUCACAACCCAUGGCUAGCCGUAUCCACGGGUGCCUUCCAUACCAACACUUUCCAAGGAGUUUAUUAUUUGACAACAUAAAGUAAAUUUCUUUUUCAUUUCAGGACUGGGCAUCCCUAUUACCGCCCAACUCUCGUGCAAUGACAAGUGAACAAACACUCAUCUUCAGAAUAACACAUCUAGCAUAGAAAAUAUUGGCCACCCCCUGCCACUGCAUGAGCGGUACAGGCACACAAAAAAGGAAAUUCAUUUUGAAAAUUAGAGAUGGCACAUACAAAGUUGCUUAGAAUGGCACGGAAAUACCGCAUAUAGGCAGGUAUGGUGGACUCAUAUGGCAAAACUGGGUUUAAAGAUUUUGGAUGCACAAGUAGUAUUUCUACUUAGUACAAGUGGAGGCUAGCAAAUAGAUUGAGAAGCAACCAACCAAGAAACGAAAAAUCACAUAAGAGAGCAUUAAGCAUAAAUAACACCGAAUAAUGCACCACAAGUAGGAUAUAAUUUCAUUGCAUAACUAUUGACUUUCGUGCUUGCAUAGGGAAUCAUAAGCCUUAACACCAAUAUUCUUACUAAAUCAUAACUACUCACCAACAUGACUCACAUAUCACUAUCAUCAUAUCUCAAAACUAUUACAAAUAAUCAAGUUUAUUUUGUCCAAUGAUCUUCAUGAAAGUUUUUAUUAUAUCCCUCUUGAAUAUCUAUCACUUUGGACUAGUUUCAUAUAUUGCAAUUGCUUUUGACAAGCUCAAACAAAUUUAAGUGAAGAACAUGAGCAUAAAAAUUUUCUUCUCUAAAAAUAAUAUAAGUGAAGCAUGAGAGAAUUUCUUCAAAAAAUUACUAACUCUCAAAUAGACCUAAGUGAAGCAUGAGAGUAUUUCUUCAAAAAUAUUAAAGCACACCAUGCUCAAAACGAUAUAAGUGAAGCACUAGAGAAAUUCCAUAGCUCAAAAAUUUUAAGUGAAGCAUAAAGAGCAGUUCUAUCAAAUCAUAGAAUAAUUUUGGCUCUCUCAAAUAGGAGUGUCCAGCAAGGAUACUUGUGACAAACUAAAAAGCAAAACAAGCAAAGACUCAUAUAAUACAAGACGCUUUAAGGAAAACUCAUGAUAUGUGACGAAUAAAAAUAUAGCUCCAAGUAAAAUAACGAUGGUUGUUAGAAGAAAGAGGGGAUGCCUUCCGGGGCAUCCCCAAUCUUAGUUGCUUGGCUCUCCUUGAACAUUAACUUGGGGUACCAUGGGGCAUCCCCAAGCUUGGGCUCUUUUCACUCCUUAUUCCUUCAUCCAUCGUGAUCUCACCCAAAACUUGAAAACUUCAACCGCACAAAACUUAACAAAACCUUCAUGAGAUCCGUUAGUAUAAUAAAGCAAAUCACCACUCUAAGUACUGUUGCAAACCCAUUCAUAUUUUAUUUUUGCAUUAUGCCUACUAUAUCCAACUUUACUAUGCCUUAUACCCCCGAUACAAUCCAUAGAUUCAUCAAAAUAGGCACACAAUGCAAACAAAACAGAAUCUAUCAAAAACAGAACAGUCUGUAGUAAUCUGGAAACUUCGUAUACUUAUGUAACUCCCAAAAUUCUGAAAAAUUAGGACAAGGUAGGCAAUUUGUAUAUAAAUCUUGUCUAAAAAUUGAGAAAUUUAUCGCACUUCUGUGCUUGUACAUAAUUCUGCUACUGGACACAAAAGUUUCUGUUUUUCAACAAGAUCAAAUAAACUAUCACCCAACAUAAUCCCAAAGGCUUUACUUGGCACAGACACUAACUAAAACAUAAAAAACACAAUCAUAACAGUAUCAUAAUUUUGUAAACACUCAAGAACAUAAAGAAAAGGCAAAAAUAAAAUUGUUUCAUUGGGUUGCCUCCCAACAAGCGCUAUCGUUUUAUGCCCCUAACUGGGCAUAAUGCAUAGGUUCAACUAUUGUCAUCUUUAGUUUCCAAUUCCUAAACCAAUAUUCUUCAAAUAUUUAGCAUAUAAAUUUUCAAUAACAAUACUCCUAGGAACGAGAUUGAAAAAUUCAUUCUUGCAAGUAGGAUCUUUUAUCACUUCAACAAAAUUGGGGUGAAUACUAAUCAUUUUAAGAUCUUCCUUGUUGUUAUUAGAAGUGGCAUCCUUUUCUUAGUGGCUUGAGUAAACUUGCAAAUUUUUACGAGAGUUUUUUCAUUAGUUUUAAUGUAAGAAAAGGUUGAGCUUAAGUUACUAAAAAUUUCUUCAAACUUAUCAAUCCGAGAGGGGCUUUCCUCUAUUCUUUCGUUAACUACGAUUUCCUUUUCCCUUAGUAAAUUUAAAACAUCACCCACUUUUGACCCAAAUUUAUUAGUAAGAUUCUGCAUCUUUUUAUCCAAAUUUUCAAUUUGCUCUAAGGUGACCAUCUUCUUUUCAAUAGCAUCUAAUCUUCGCAUAACAUUCUCAAGAGUUAAGGUUGUUUCAUUAAUGAUGAUAGGUGGUGCACCCACAAGAUCUCCCAUGGCAUUAAAAGGAUCCAAACAUGGACACAUCAAGAAAUUGCCACCAGUUAUCGUAUCAAGCACAAAUCUAUACAACUAGUUAUGCCCACAUAAAAACUGCGAAGAACAAUGAUAGAUUGCUUAUGAAUAGAUCUAUUGUGGCACCCCGGCUCAGAGUACUCCGGCCCAGAAAUCGAGGUGAAGUCUUCUGGAAUACGACAUUGCUUAGCAUAGAACAGGCCAGCUCUCUAUUACAGCACGAAUAUGAAUACAAGGUCUCUGAUAUUACAAUGAAUAACACCAGCACGACAACACUAUGCCAACCACAGUUGCUCUAUGCAAGCAUCACAACAACUCGAUGCAGCGGAACCUCUACUGGUAGCAGAAGAACUAUUGGCAGCGGAACAACGAACGACAAUGAUGGACUCCAAUCCGCAAGGACUCUGGCUGGAACAUUUAUCCUAGCUCGCGAACAUAGGAACCACACCAAACAAGCAAGCAAUCCAGGCACGACCUGCAAACUGGCAUGACAUGCCAGGUCAGUACAUUGAAUGUACUUGCAAGCUCACAAUAACCGAAAGGAAUCAAGGCAAACAACAACAUGGCAUUAGCAGGUUAAAGCAAUCAUGAGCAUAAUAUUAACCGAACAACAUGGAGUGCACAACUGAACAUGAAAAAACUUUAGCAUGGCAUAAGCAUAUGAACAUGAUGAUACUACAUGCAACAGUUUAACAUAUCAUGCACCAACUUACUCUACUCGGGCUACCUCGUCACCAACACAUGCAUCAACUUACCAACAUAUGUAUCCAUGAUACCACGGUGAUCCUCUCACGAUCACAUAAAGAUCAACCAACUUCUUUCAUCAUCGAACCGGGGUUGUUAUUAAGCACAUCAUUAUUAUUACUGUUGACCCAUAGUGUGACCGACUUUGAACUGGGCCCAUAUCCACGGGCGCGGCUAUCGAUAGAUUCAACACACACUCUCUAGAGGUUAGCACAUUGUACCCACACCACAGAAACCGUGGCCUCGCACUCCCAUUCGGGUGGACCAACGACGUUCCGAUAAAACCAAUCUACUGCCAUGACACUCUCCCAACCACUCCGACAAACUCCCCUCUGGGAUAAGUCAUGGGUGGCCCCGUGCCUAACAAAGGCAUCAAUGGCCACUGUCGUGGCAAAACAAAAACGGUCCCAAAUGGGGACAACCUGGGUACACAACAACAACGGGCACGCAUGGCUUAUGUCCGCGUACCUGAUCAGUGUAGCGCACGCCCAUAACCUUCCCUCGUUGGAGGCACUGGCGAGAGACAUGAGAAUAAACUGUAUUAGGGCCCUUCCCAUAAAAGGCAAAUGUGGUUGCACUGGUCAGGUCGAUUCAGGGGCACCAUGACUCAGCCAAUAGUUGUUCAAGUUCAUUAUUAUCCGGUUAAACUUGAAUGCAAUAAGCUGAGCCAUAAUAAAAUAACAAGAUGCAACUACGAUGCAUGAGCAUGAUAUCAACUUAAGCAUGGAGGUGCAACAUAAUCAUCGAGCACAAUCACAAUGAAUCAUAUAUUCGAAUGAGCAUGGCAUACUGACAAGCAUGAAUAACACAAGCAUAACUCUACCAUAAGCACAUCAUGAACACUAGCAUCAUGAAUAAAUACCAUGCAAGAACAUAGCAAGAACACUACCAAGUAAACAUGUAACAAACUAGAUGCAAUAGAACCAACAUAGCAACAGGACUGAAUAACAGACUAAGCAUGCAUCUGAAGGACAUCCCAACUACCAGCAUGUAUUACUACUACCAAGCAUGACUUACGAACAUGAUGCUAGCAAGUAGCGCAAGAUAUCACGAUGCAUCAUAACAUAGCAUGAAGGUGGACACGAGUCCAUGAGUGAAACUGAAACAACGAAAGUAGCAAACAAGCAUGCAGAUAAUGGCAAAAUUUUAUUAAACAUUCAAGUUGAAAACCAAGUCUACUGCAUGACUAACAUGCAAGUGGCUGUUGUGGUUUGCCUGGGGGUGAUGGAGACUCCGGGGAGAAGUGUGGUGAAGCCGCGGAACGAAACGUCGGACGGUUCUCUCUCAGAGGGGGCUGGGCUGAUAAGAGGCAAGGGCAAACUGGUCAUUUUCAUUUGGGACCACCUAGUGAAAACAGAACCAACAAAAAGAGCUCGACGAUACGAAGAUGUGAGCGUUGGUUUCAGCUCAAUCGGAGCUAUGGUUGAAGAGUUGUGAAGGGAUGAAGAUCAGGGACUAAUUUGUGAAAGAUCCUCACAAACAGGUCCCUCGUGGCAGAAAAUAGAAAUCACCUUUGGGAAGAUUAUGUUUUCUGAAAAGGAAAACAUAUUUUGAGCCGAAUUGCAAAGUGAAUACGCUUUCAAAACUGAGAAAGCGCAUUUCAUAUAAAAGAGGAAAGAAAUACGAUUUCAUAUAUCGAAAAUGCAUUUCAAGAAACAUUUCCACUUACAGACGCGGGCCCGGGGCGGGGUCAAUGCCGAGACACUGCUAGGUGGGGCCGGGGAAGGCACGGGGCCCACCUGACCUUGUCUUCUUCCUCCUCUCCCUGCCCCUGACGGAAACUGAGGAGGGAGCAGGGGAGGGUGCUACCAGCGAUGGAGCGGGCCACUCCGGCAAUCUCCGGCCAAGUGGAGACCACUGGCGAGCUCGUGGGGGUGCACCGCUUCUUUCCAGGCCAAGCAUGGGCGCCAGAAGGCAGCAGGGAGACGGCGGCUCGCGGGGAUAGAGGACACGACCGAGGAUGGUUGAGCUUGGGGACAACGACCGCCAGGCUCCGGAGGCUGGAGAAGGGAGUGGGGAGGGUCUACGGGCUCCGGGGAGGCUGGUGGAGGAGGAAUGGAGAGGAAAGGAGCUCAGGAUUGGGCUAAUUAGCCGAAGGGGAGUGGCGGCCAUGGCGGCAAUGGCAACCACAGAGAGUUCCUCGAGCUCGAGGGGGUCGCUAGGCGGGGCUCUGGGAGUGAGGGAGGAUCGAUGGUGUGCUUGGAGUGCUCGGGGACGGGCUAUAUAUAGCCGAACGAGGAGAGCCGAGAUGCACGGCCACGGCGGCGCGUGUUCCGGUGCGCUGGCGUGAGCAGAGCCACGGGGAGGGAGGGGGACUUAUCAAGGAGCUUCACGGAGACGUGGGAGACCUCGGGUGAGCUCGGGAAGGCUCAGGACAGCGCAGGCAACCAGACACAGCGGCGGCAGAGAUGGGCAUGUCACGGGCAAGCUCGACGCAACGCAACCACGGCGAGUCCGGACGAGGCAGUGAUGCAGGGCAAAGCAGGGGAUCACGGGGGAGCUAGAGGACAUGAUGCGGACACGAGAGGCAGAGAGGAGCGGACGAGCACAACGCCGUGGUUGGCAGAUCGUGAAAUUUGGCAUGUCUGCCCCGUGGUCACCAUGCGCACUGGUGCAAACGGCAUGUUCUGGCCAAACCGACCAUGUCUAGUAAGAUGACCAUGGUACCCUGAGUCCAAACGAUGCAACAAGUCGGUCCAGGGGCAAAGAAGUGAUUUGGAGGAGGAGCCAAAAGAUUGUGGCAGCAAGGUGUUUGUGUUGCGGGGAGACAAACACAGAAGGAGGCAGAGGUUGGGCUUUUGCAUGGUGUGAUCACACACUAAGAUGAUCACCUCUACCAAUUUGCAGCUCAUUAGGAUGAAGAUAAAUGGCACUUGCUGUAGAAAGUGUCAUUAUGGCCAGAAAUGGAGAUUUGGAUGGUGCACUCACAUAGUUGCAUCAAAUGAGCUGAAAAUGGUUAUGGCCCAAUGAUUUGAAUAUAUUAAGAUCCCAAGGAGUUUCAUGGGAUGAAUCAAAAUAGCACUUGCUUCACAAAGCUUUUCUCUGGACAGGAACUUGGAAAAUUUCCACAGGGCAAAUGGCUAAACGGAUUGAGCCACAAUUUGGUGGAGGGAGUUUAUAUGGGUAAGAAAAUGUCCUGAUAAAUUGGCAGCUUAAAUGAAGCAAUAUAAACUAUAGUUGCUUCACAAACUGAAAAUCUGAUCAGAAACUAAGAUUUGGAGAUGUGCUCACAUAGAAAGGUUACAUGAGCUCAAUUGGGUGGAGCGUGAUGAUUUGACAAAGUUCAUCUCAUUUGGACAUGCCUAGAAUAUACUUCCUUCACAAAGUUUCUUCCUGGGCAAAAACUUUGUAUAAUCAUAGAAAAAAUAAUUACUAGGAAAAUGAGGUUGAGCUUUGGCACAGGGCAAUGAUAUGGAUAGGAAAAGGUGUCCAAGAAGUUGGGAGUCAAUUGGGCAAAGAUAAAUAGCACUUGCUUCACAAACUGCCAUUUAGGGCAUAAUAGGAAAAGAAUUAUUGGAGGAUUAUUUUAGAAUAUGGCAAUGAAAAUUUUUGCCAUAUUUGAGAAGGAUAUGACCCAAAAAAAUUAUGAGAAUUAUUUGGGAAUUUUAGGAGUGACAGACAUAUGGGUUGCUUCACAACCUAGGGCAAAUAUGAUAAUUCCUUUAUCAGAAAAGGAAUAUUCUCAAUAAAAAGUAUAUUGGGAUUUGGGCUAGGAUGGAAAUGACAUGAGCUAGGGAUGGUUUUGCGGAUGACAAGCCACUAUAAAACCUAGGAAGACAUGAUCUUCCCAAGUUUCAGAACCACACAGUCACAAAAAAGCAAAUUAAACUCAGAAAUCCAAGAAAAUCCUCAGAAAAAGAAAAGGGCAAAAUCCAGGCUGUUACGAACCUUCCCCCCUUAAAGAAAUAUCGUCCUCGAGAUUUGGUUGCCCAGGGAUAAAUAAUUUUUCUGACUUGAAGAAACCGUUUCCAACUCGGGUUUCUUUUAUUCAUUCUCAUAUAAUAUUCCCAUUGAAUUGGAUCUAACUGACUGCCUUGAUAUGGCGUGGUCUGCUUCACCGUAUCUGACAUAAUGACAGUACUUACCUCAUAUGUUCAUGCUUAUACUGGAUCCAAUUCUUUUUAUAGCUGCUGACUUAGCUGACUGUGAUAGAUUAUCAUGACUACAAUAUAUGCCUGUCUCACAAAUUCAAGAGUGAUCCCCGAUUGCUGUGUCUGUACUAACAACCUUCCAUGAAGUGGUGAUUAGAUUUUUCCUGAUGAACACCCGAGCUUUGACUCCUCGCAUUGGGUUUCUUCACUAAAUGCAGGUCCUUCGGGUUCCAAACAGUGAAUUGAGGCAUAACCGUUUCCUGACAGAUUCUGACUUAUCGUAGGAAUUUCUGAAUCGUCCUGACUGGCUCCACUGUCUGGAUUGUCAUAUCUGUACCAAAUGUUUGACUGUUGCUUGUCAUGGCCAGCAUGAAGGGGUAUGACCGUAUAUGAUAAUAUCCUGAGACUUGAUUGAUGGUGGUUCUGGAAGAAUUUUUUUGCCCAUGACAAGCUAUCCAUGAUUCACGUAAGUGAGUGCACAUGCUUUGAGACUGUCAUUCAACAUUCUGAUUGCUCAUCCUGUCGGUGUAUCCAUGUGGAUAGUAUGUUUUGCAAUGCUUCACCAUGGUCACUGAGGUUAAGCUGUUGAGUUGACCUUUGGUCGGACUUGCCAAACCCAGAAAUUCGAUACUGACCAAUCUGAGCACAUACUAUUAACUAAGCGGGUUGUCUAGAUAUGGGUCCCUUACCAAAAUUAAGUAGACCUCAUAGGUGAAUAUUGAUGGUGAUCAGUUCACUGACUCAGUCUGUCUAGGGUAUCUGCACCAUGUGGUUCAUGCAACAAUCAUCAGUCUUGCUCCUCCAUUACUGUUUUCUUGAUUCGGAUCCUUUGCUGUACGAGCGGGGUCAUAUUGUUUAUCCAUGUGACCAUAGGUUCUGUCGGGUGCAAUAUUCUGAUAGGCAUACUUUUAUCCUCAUCUUCGACAUGGUAACCCAUUAAAUGGCAGGUUCAUCACCUCUCAAGUUCUGACCGUAGGAAACUAAUCAUCCGAACCCUUGCAAGAAAUCGGCAAAUAAAUCAGUAGCCACUAGAACAAUUUUUUUCAAAUCUGGGGCAUUACUGAAAUAACUCAACGACAGCUCAAGAUGGCCGAAAAGCAGCUCAGAGCAUGAGACUGGGUCAAUAAGAAGAAAGUGGCCGCUCCCUAAGAUAGACGAAAAGUAGCUAAAAGCAUAGGGCCACUGUCACAAAAAGAAACUCAACAGUUGUACGAGACGGCCAGAAAGCAGCUCAGAACUCGUGGCAAUUGUUGAGUAGAGAAAUAAAAGUCGGCAUCCACCCCGGAUAGCUAAAAACAGCUCAGAUCACAAGCAUGGUGCCGUCACUGGAGAAAAGGAGACAAGGGCUCAUCAGGAUCAUCUUCCAGGUCAUAGGUACUUGUACUGAGCUCACUAUUGUCGUCAAUCUUCAUAAUCCUUUGUCACACUGCGGUGUAUACUGGCUUUGUCAUCUUAACAAUCCUCACGUGACUGUCAGAUCCUCAUUUGAGUGACUUGUAAUACAUUAGUGGUAUGCUGAUCGCAUAUAUAUGAGAAUCUGAUUCCCGAGGCAGACUUGCUUUUGGACUGAUUCUUGCUUCUGACUAAACUAUUGCGGAUCUGAUUCUUGAGAUGCACUACCAUAUAUAGUCAAUUCACUGUUUAUUUCCUUGUACCAGUGUCGUACUCAAGAUGACCGGGCAACUUGCUUCAGAAUCCAUCGGGGUAUCAUGCUGCAGAAGAGUGGAUAGCUUGUGCUUGAAGCUUUCUGUGGAUAUCUUGCUAAGGAGGGCUGGGUACCGUACCUUAUAAGCUUACCCCCUUAAUGACUUACUAGGGGAGACUCGGUACCUUAUGCCAGAAGUUUUUGCAGUAUCCAAUUGCAAUGACUGAAUAUCUUGCACUGGAAUCCACUCAUACCUUUCUAAUGCAGACUGGUGAAUCGUGUCUUGUACGCUUUGUUGAUAACUUGUGGAGAAGGACUGGACUGAUCUUCUGGGGGUCUCAUGCUUCAAAUCUGACUCAUGGCAGAAUCAAUCAUCGGCUACAGACCAUACUUCUGACUUGAAAUGCAUGGUUGGACUUGGAUCCAAAUUUGUUCUCUAGCUGAUUUAUUCAUUGCUGCAAUAAAGGUGUAUCCCUGACGGGUACUGAAAAUCUGAGCAGACUAUACUUGUAUUCAGACCGUGUGUGUGCAAAUGUUGUUAGCUGAAAAUCUCAUUGCUUUUAAAUGAGUUCCUUUGUGUAUAUUUUUACUUCCCACGGCUUCUUCUGACUGGUGUCGGCUGAUGAGCAGUUUCCAUAAGGGGGUAACACCGAGGAUUCAAAACAAAGGAGCACGAGAAAACGAUCGAUUACAGUAAAGCAUACAACAAACAAGCUACAAAACUAAUCCACACAGGCACACACAAGCAUAAACAAACAAUGAUACCACAGCAGAGGCACAUACACUACACAACUGACUACACCCUACGCUUGAGCAAACGCUCGGGAGCUGACUCAGAAGCUAAGGGAGUAGCGAGUGGAGCGGCUGACUCCAAAACUCCGGAUGGACGAGGCGUAGGGGUUGGAGAAGCUGGCCGAGACUGAGGUAGGGAAGUACCAAGAAAUCUCCUGGAUCGAAUGGCGUCUCGGACUAACUCAGAAAUAAGAAGACAUUCAGCCUAAUGUAGCGGGACAUGGCGAGGAUAGCCGGGUCAUCUUUAGGAUUGAUAGUCGGAGACUGGAUCCGCCUAGGAUUCUUGAUGAUAGUGGGAUAGCAUUGAUAAGCACGGUUCUCCUGCACCAUGCUCUCUUGACGACGAAGACCGGUGAUUGCUGCCAUUACGGCAAGCUAAAUGGCACGCUCGGGAGUAGUGCCGUAACCACUGUGGAAACUGUAGGUGCGCUUACCAACAGGAAUCGGGGCUGACAGAUGGACAUGAGAAACAUACUCCAGGAUUCUUCCUUCGGCAAAGAACUGGAAUACUUGAUGUUGAGGUGGAUCUCCGCGGGGAUAAAUGCUAUGCCACAUAUCUCCAAGGAGGGUGGCAAAGCUGAGAGGUGCAGGAAUGGGGCUGAACACAAUAGGAACAACACCGGGAGCUCUAGGAAGGGCACUGAACUCAUGGAAAUUGACCACCAUCUACGCAUGAAACAUGGAUUAGGGGUAACUGAAUAAGACUAUAUGCAGCAAACAAAUGCAACAACCAAAUGCAGCAAGCAAGGGCAACAACCAGACCCUAUACUACCAUUUUCUAACGUUCCAGCAGAUUAGGACGCUCUACAGCCAGAGCUGCUCUGAUACCAAGCCUGUGGCACGUCGGCUCAGAGAAACCGGAAUGCACCUGUAUUCCAGCCCAGAGAUCGAGGUGAAGUCUUCUAGAAUACGGCAUUGCAUAGCAUAGAACAAACUAACUCUCUAUUACAGCACGAAUAUGAAUACAAGCUCUCUGAUAUUACAAUGAAUAACACCGGCACGGCGACACUACGCCAACCACAGUUGCUCUAUGCAAGCAGCAUAACAACUCGAGGCAGCGGAACCUCUACUGGCAGCGGAAGAACUAUUGGCAGCGGAACAAUGAACGACAAUGAUGGAUUCCAAUCCGCAUGGACUCUGGCUGGAAUGUUUAUCCUAGCUCGCGAACAUAGGAACCACACCAAACAAGCAAGCAAUCCAGGCAUGACCUGCAAACUGGCAUGACACGCCAGGUCUGUACAUUGAAUGUACUUGCAAGCUCACAAUAACCAAAAGUAGUCAAGCCAAACAACAACAUGGCAUUAGCAGGUUAAAGCAAUCAUGAGCAUAAUAUUAACAGAACAACAUGGCGUGCACAACUGAAAUGACACAACUUUAGCAUGGCAUAAGCAUAUGAACAUGAUGAUACUACAUGCAACAGUUUAACAUACACUACAAAAAACACACAUCCGUGACAUUUUGGGCCGAACGAAUUUUUUUCCUGUCAUACUUAUGACACUUCUGUGACGAUAAUUGUGACAAAACUCGGUAUCAUCAUAGCUAUGGUGGGCUCCUACUUCUAUGACAAAAAAUCAUGACAGAAAAUGGGCUUUUCAUCCUGGGCGGGCCAGAGACGCAACUGCAUGACAUUCUUUGGGUCGUCCAUGACGGAAAAACCCGUGGUAGAAGCGAGGGCGAGGAAAAUAUCGGGGUGUUCCCGGUUACGAUGGGUGGUCGGGGCCGAGCGAUGCACGGACGUUUGCGCGUUUCUCUUGUACAAGCACGCACGUGCGUGCAAGGCGUUGGGCUAUAACUGAACCCGAGCCAGGCGUUCGCCUACUGAACCCGAGCGAUUGCACUAUAGGCUACGCGUUGCUGAACCCGAGCGAUUGAUCGAUGGCUAUUAGCUGAAACCGAUCAAGCGAUUCCUUCAUUACUGCUGCUAACUGAAGCUGAUCGAAGUUGCCUCUGGAUGAACAGUGAGCGUUGCUCGGGCGGUUCGGAUGAACAGUUCUCGGUGGGGGUGGAUGAACAGGACCCCGUGGUGUUGCCUUUGGAUGAACAGGACCCCGAUUGAUCGAGACGGUUGGGGCUGGAUGAACAGGACCCCAUGGAGGGCUGGAUGAACUGGACGACCCCGUGGAGGGCUGGAUGAACAGUAGACGAUGGAGGGUUGGAUGAACAGUAGCCCGUGGAGGGGUGGUUGAACAGGAGCCCAUGGAGAGGGCUGGUUGAACAGUAGCUGGUGGAGUAGCGCGCAGUGGAGGCUGGAUGAACAGGAGCCAGUGGAUGAACAGUUGCGGGUGGAGGCUGGAGGAGGUCGACGGAGGAUGAACAGUAGCCCAUGGAGACUGGAGGCGGUCGAUGAUGGGGAUGAACAGUAUCCCGUGGAGUCCUGUUUUGCGGUACGCCACACCCCUCCCGAUGAACAGGACCCCCGUUUCGACCGUAGCGCUCCAACACAAGUCCGUUUCCUCUGUUUUGUGGGACACCACACCCCUCCCGAUGAAUAGGACCCUGUUUCAACCGUCGGAGGUCCAACACAAGUCCGUUUCCUCCAUUUUGCAGUACGCCAGACCCCUCCCGAUGAACAGGAUCCCGUUUCGAACGUGCCCGGUUGAACACAAGGCCGUUUCCUCCAUUCUGCGGUAUGCCAGGACUCGUUUCCAUCCGCUGUCCCAUCCAAUCCGGUUAGCUCCCACACGUUCUGUUGCCUCCCGAUGAACACGACGCGUUCCAUUGCCUCCCGAUGAACACGACGCAUUCCGUUGCCUCCCGAUGAACACGACGCAUUCUGUUGCCUCCCCAUGAACACGACGACGACGCAGUUUCUCCGUUUCGACCCAGCCAUGUACACGAGCCCUAGCCGUACAUAUGAAUGAGUAGGCGUUCGAGACCCUAUGUACGUACGUGGCUGUAUUUUGUUUCUUGCACACUGGCUGCUGUACGUACGUGUACAUGCUACAUGCACGCCUCUACUACGACACGUGCACGCCUCUACAUCGACCAGUAUGUAGUACACGUUCACGACCAGAAUGACAACGCCACGUACGCUUCGACCAGGUGGAUCCCGACUGUCAAACACUUCCUUGCGUGCGAAGAUGUAGCUGGUGGGUCCCAGUAGUCAGGGGGUGAAUCGUUUUUUCUUUUUGGCUCGGACACACUUCCUUGCGUGCGAAGAUGUAGCUGAUGGGUCCCAGCAGUCAGGGGGAAACAUUUUUUUUGCUAAAUACAGUGGCCCGUCCGGUGGGUCCCUGCUGUCAGGUGGAGGAAUCAUUAUUUUCCGUGUAAUAAGGAGGCACUUCCUUGAUGCGGCCCUGGACCCAGCUGUCAGCCUCUUCACGUAUAGUCCACGUCCGAUGAAAGUCGUUCCUUGACCACGUUGACCACUCCGCGAUAAGAACACCAUGGUGGUGGACGACGGCGAGGCCUAUGAAGGGGACGACCCGGAGCCGGGGAAGACGCGACAGUGGAUGCCCACACCUAGAGGAGUAGGAGGGUUCACUGGUUCGGCUGCGGGUGUGAGGCUGCCGUCACCGUAGAAUAAUAGGGGGUGCGGGUGAGUGUAGGGAUGGCCUGGCUAGCAGUGGGAGUAGUAUGUGGCGGUGAGGCCUCCGCGACAGCACAGCCGGCCACGGGAGGCAGGAGCAGGCGGCACGACCGGCGCUGCUUUGGGCGGCGGGAGCAAGAAGACCAGAGGUUGAAGAAGCACGACGGCCGUUGGAUGGACAUCGUACGGUCACUGUAGCUAGAAUCGUUUAUAUUGACUAAGUUGACAAAGCCCUUGGUACGCAUCAACUUAGUAGGCCCACAGGUCAGCUUCCGAAAUGGUGUGCCCCAGAUGUCAGGGGGAGGAAUCAUUUUUUGGGCGGGUGAAGCUGGAAUAUCCGAGAUUGGAGAAGAAGCACGGCAUCCGUUGGAUGGACAUCCAACGGCCAGUGCUGCUAGAACCGUGUGUUGACUAUAAGUUGACAAAGUCUUGCAUAAGCGUCAACUCUCUUUUUUUUGAGGGGGCGCGUCAACUUAGUAAGGCCACAAGUGUGUGGCAAAGAACUUAUAGCCCAUUUGAGAUUUGUAAGAAUGUGCAACCCAUUUUGGAAUUCUAAUGGAAUUUACCAUAGCCCAUUUACAGUUUGUUAAAAGUACAACCCAUUUCAACCAACCGUUCAAAACAGAAUUCAAUAAAAUUUCCCACAUUUUGAUGGGAUCCGAAAUAUUGCUAUCCCCAAAUUUGUAGUCAGAUUAAAUAUAAUUUCAAUAUAAAUUUAUAUUACAUAAAAAUCCAACAAAACAUUGCGCUCGCAACAACUAAUGAAAUUAAAAAUUUCAAUAUCCAAAAGUAAUAUUUCAUAAAGUAAUUACGUGUUUGGUGCGUUUUUUUAUAGUUACUGCCCAGUUUUUAUAAUUACAUCCCAUUUAUUAUUUCUUAAAUCCCAUUUUCUUGUUAAGCCUAAUGCAUUCCUCCUAGGAAAGAUUUGCAGCCCAACGGGGCGGAGAAUAACAACUUGACCUUGCCUGGAUAUUCCUAAAAAAAGUAUAGCUGGGCUAGCCAUUUUCAGCUUGAAAAAAAUUAAUAUUUGGGCUAGAUAUCUCGCCUGGGCUAGACAGGCCACAACCCGCCCAGUUAAUACAUGCAGCGAUGUUUUCGUUGUUGUUCUGAGGAGAAAAAUUAAUAUCUGAGCUAAACAUCGCUCAAGAAAAACUCUACAAUGCUCACACCUCGAAAACACAAAUACUGCUUGAGCUGCUUGGUCCCAGCUGUCAGCCGCUUCUUGUGCAAUUCUCUCGUUUAUUGACUACAUAGGUUGACAAUGGUGUGGGACCGUGAUGUCAGGAAACCAGGAGGAAGCAAAAAAAAUUAUAGUUCUAUAUAAUAUGGAGGCACUUGCGUACGUGAGGCUAUGGCCCUGGUGGGUCCCCAUUGUCAUCCUCUCCAUGGAAAGUCAUCUCCUCGCCCACGCGCGCUUUUCUCCCGAAACAGUCAGCGCCGCCCACUCCGCUUCUCGAUGCAGGCGAUUGCUCCGCCUUCAAAUGAAACAAGUGUCAUCCGUCCAUCCGUCUGCCGCCCACAUUAAUGAUACACGAUUGCCGAGGCGGCUACUCUGGCGCCACACGUCCGUCCCUCCGCCGCCCACCAUUGCUAUAUAAACUGUUGCGCCGGGCAUAGCCGCAGUCAUCCGCAUCUAUUCCCUUUCUCCUGUCCACACCACUACUGCCCACCAUGGCUUCCUCACGCUCCAGCGCUCUUCGGGACGGGCGGACGACGGACCACAAGGAGAUGACAGCCAUUGCUACCGACUGGCUGGCCGGCAGGCAGCCGGAGGAUGACGACGUCCCAAUGGAGAACAUGGUAGUCGAUGAUCCGGUGCCAGCCCCCUCCUCCGCGCCAUCCUCGCUGGUGCAUUGCACCAUGACCAUCAGCGAGGCCCGUGCCCAAUAUAUGGACACAGUGAGGCAGAAGCGUGAGGAGCAGUUCUGGGAGGCGCAGGCCGACACCGCCUACAACCACCAUCUCCUCCAGGAGCACCUGCAAGCGGAGGAGCAGAUUGCCGCGGAGCGGGCAAAGCAGGAGGCGCUGCUUGACUUGUACCGCUCCGCCCACGAGGGCUGCCACGAGUGCUGGCGGUACCGCAUGCGGGUGGCGGAGGAUGCGACCUCCUACAAAGAGGGCGAUGAAGCGGGCGAGGCGCUAUUUGGCGAGACCGAGGACGAGGCAGAGGACAAUGCCGGCUCCGACGAGUCCCCGCUCCGCUGGCGUUGACGAGGCCCUGCUCCGCCGAGGCCCCGCAGCACCAACAACGAGGCAGAGGACACCGCCGGCUCCGCCGAGGCCCCGCCCCGCCAACGACGAGGCAGAGAACAUCGUUGGCUUAGCCGAGGCCCCACCCUGCCGACAACGAGGGGGAGGAUUUCCACCGCUCCACUAAGGCGCCGCCCGCCGGCAACGAGACAGAGGACAUCGCCGGCUCCGCCGAGGCCCCACCCUGUUGCCAACAAGGUCGCACCACACAGAAAACAAGAAAGAGUAGAACACGGUAGGUCGCCACCGCUCGGGUCCAAGUAAGGCCACCGCUGCUACCUUCCGGUUGAAGGCAAGCUAGGUGGGUUGACCAUUGACGGCCGGUUAGCUUCUUGGCGGCGACAUGGAUUCGGAGAGCUAUGUUGGUGAAGGACGCUGCUUCUACUUAACUGCUGGUGCAGUUGGCUGCUGACACAUGGGCCCAACAGGCCACAUGUCAGUUACGCAACUAGACCUGUAGUUAAGUCACUGAAGCUUCUGUUCGGCUCAGCCAUACACAGGUGGGUAGCUUCGGUUAAUUAGUUAUACCUCCAGCGCACCCCUUUUCAGUUGAAGAAUGUAUGAAAUGUAAUGAAAUCUGGCAUGUUUAUAUGAAAUCCGACUAUGUAUCAAUGAAUUUAUUUCAAUUAGUUCGAAUUCUUAUAUCAUUGGCAUUGGAUGAACAUGCAAAACAAUACGUACUAGCAUUAUUCCCAGGGUGAUCACCUCAUUUGUAGCAGUUUCACAUGUACUUCCUCCGGUCCUUUCUAGUUUGCAUACAAGUUUUGUCUACAGUCAAAGUAUCUCUACUUUGACCAAUCUUAUAGAAAAAAGUAUGCACUUUCACAAUGUGCGAAGUAAAAAGGAACAGAAGGAGUACAAAGAGUUUGAGUAGCUUUUUAGCGUUCCUGUACAUUGCAAUCAAACACACAGGCCUGGCAAUUCAUAAAGAACAUUCAAAACAAUCAAUGAUUAUGCAUCUUAGCGAUUCACAUGUCAGAUCCAAUAUUUACUUCACAACUAAAGAAUAAAGAAAAAAUUGACCGAUGCUGCUGACAGCAAAGGGCGUCCCAUUCAAAAAUAUCAAACACAUGUCUUCUGGCUAAAAUCAAUGAGCAAAAUUUGACAAGGUUGUCCAUUCCAAAAUAUCAAAUGCCUACGAUUGUGGAAUAGGCAGGAUUUUCCAUCAGUUCGAACAUUGACAUGGCACCUCGUGCUAAAUAAACCAGCUAUUCUUUUUGUGUAGUUCCACCAAAAUCAACCAAAUUCACGCGUAGCUUGUAUGAUUUCACCCUUAUAUGUUGCAAUGCCUUGAACUUAUUGACACCUCCUUUCUUGUGGUGGAAAUGAAUGAUUCGAUGUAUUCAUGAACAUUUUGUGCAAUUCCCAUUGAAAUAAAGCUAAUCACCCCUGUUUGCACAAAUACAAAAAAAGUGAUUAGUAUAAAGCAAACUGUACUAUUAAUUGACAGUUUAAACAGGCACCUACAUGGUCCAUGUAGAGCACACUUUUAGAAAAAUGGAACUCACCGAAAAGAAUCCUAGAACAACAUUGUACUCGCGCAUCAUAGCAAGAAAAUGGAGAUUUGUCAGUCCUUCUGAGCUGAAGUUAGUUUGGUCUUGUGGGGAGUAAUGUAACCAUCCUUCAACUGCUCCUUCUGAUGAGAAGAUAGACAGGGCUUCUUCAUCCUGGCAUAAUCAGAACUAGUCACUUCACAUACUCCAUAUUCUUCUUCAGAGGAGGAUGAUCCUGUUGUGCAAAGACAAGAGGACAACUAAAUGCUAGCAUCCCUGUUUGCUCAAAAAAGGAAAGGACAUAUUUAAAAUAGCACAGAUGAAGCACUUCUCAAGGACAAUACCACUUUUUCAUGACAGUAUCUAAACAGUAGCACAACACCAAUGGAGAUGACAAAGCUCAAUCAUCUGGAUGAAAUCAGUGGGCGAGUACCAACCUUUGUCAGGAGGCUUAUUGUAUAGAGCAUACAGAUGAAGCACUUCUCCGGAACCAUCUGUUGCUUUCUACUGUGGUGGCCAUGCUUACUAUAUACUCCUCGAUUAGUUUAAUGUUUCGAACAUCUUCUUGUGCAGUUCCACUAAAAUAUAUGGUGUCUUCAAAGAAGAUCCCUGUUUGCACAAGUAGAGAUAAUUACGUAUUACAUGAAGAGUGGCAUCAAAUCAGUGGCAUAACAAUUGCUCGUUCCAGCCAUAGCAAUAAAUUAAGAUGCAAAACUAUAUCAUUACUUGUGUCAUCACAGUUCUAGUGCUUCAUUACAGCACCGGGAGUUGAUUUUCUGUUUUUCUUCCGCUUGUUCUUCCCCUUCAUCACUUGGUUCAAUAAUAGACAAGCUUCGCCUUCAAUGUAAGAUUUGGCAUGUCAAUUAGGGAGCACAAGUAUAACACUAAACAAUGACAUUAAUUUUCAGAUGAAAGUGGCAAAAUACAGGCCAAAAGUUGUGACAUAUCCUUAUCUUACCUCAAUGGGAUAUUAUGGUGCACAUAUAGUUUGGAAGUCUUGUCUCCAUUUGUGCAGUUCACUAAAAUCAAGCAACAUUACCGUACAAGUAGCACAACAUAUGAAAGCACACUGCAGAAUCAUGUGAAUGAAGGCUAGUACUAACCUCUCAUGAUGCAGAAUUCAAACAACUCACAAGAAGAAGAUCUGAACCAAAUUUGCCAACACGGAUAGCAAGUAAGAUCUCCUCUUGAGCAGUUCCGCUAAGAUCAAGCAAUCAAGCAACAUUGUCGGUGUGACAUUUUGGUUGAACUGCACAAAACACUCUUAAAACAAAAGUAUUGUGUGCAAUGCAACACAAGGUCACAAUGGCAACGAGGAGAAGUAGAUAACCCUGUUUACAUAGAGGUGCAAAGGAAACAAAUAGUGGUCAAUAAUGGUGGAUGACACAAAAGCCAACAAAAAGAAUCAUCUACCUUAUCUAAAUGGGAAAGAAAGCAAGACAGUAGCAUUUCUCAAACGGUGGCAUUGAUUAAUAUUAACGUAGAGAUUAUAUUAACAAUAAAAUUCGUUAAACAUGUAAUUUGCUUUUAACUGUGGCAUUGCAUCAAUUUUCUAGCGGCAUUAUUAGAGGGUGUUUGUUUACAGGGACAUUUUAGUGUAGGGACUAAAAAAACUCCAUGUCAGUCCCAUCUAAACCAAACUGGAGGGACUUUUAGGGACUAAAAGUGGGCAUUUGGGACUAAAUAAAGAAGACCCCGAGGGAGUCUUUUUAGGACUUUUCCCAGCAGUUGCCCCUGCCACGCAUCGCACCUUCUCUCUAUUAGUUCAUUACUAGGGGUAACAUGGUCUUUUAGCAUGUCAUUUAAUAACCUCUAGUCCAUGUUUAGUCCUUGGAACCAAGCUGGUAGGGACUAGAGAGUUUUUAACCAAAUAGGGCCUUAGAUUAACAACAGCUAAAGAGUUGCACGGGACAAUGGAUGUGCCAGCAUCAUGUGCAUCUACCGAUAUACUGGGGUGAUGCAUAGUAUGUUGCAACAAGGAACAAACAACCAAGGAGCAUAUUUGUGUUGGUCCCAGUUUUGUUAUCUUUAGACACCUUUCCCUAUGUGAGCGCAGCAAAUCUAGUCCUGCUCAAACUCUACAGCCUUGUCCCCCAAAACAAAAGAUCAGUUUGUUACAGAUGUGCGUACUGCAUUUGUCAUUGUUUUCCCUUUUCGACCAACGUAGGUGCUAGAUAGCCAGUCUGUACUAGUACUUUCGCCCCUUCCUUUCCUCUUUGAACCACGUCCUAGAUUUAUGCUAUACAACUUUCCCCACUACUUUUCCCCAUUCCUUUCCUCUUUGAACCACGUCUUAGAUUCAUGCGAUACAACUUUCCCCACUACUUUCCCCCUUCCUUUCCUUUAUGAACCAUGUCCUAGAUUCAUGCUAUACAACUUUUUCCACUACUUUCCCCCACUCUUUCCUCUUUGAACCACAUCCUAGAUUCAUGCUAUACAACUUUCCCCACUACUUUCAUGUUUGAUCCAACACCUAGAUUUGGGUGCAGAAGCGGAAAAAGCCCACAUGCAGCUAGAGCAGUGCAUGUGGAAUAAGUAACUUAUACCUUAAGGUUCUUGGGGCGUGGUUCAGUGGGCGACCGGACGGCGGUGAAGAAGAAGGGGUCGGAGGCCCUCCCGCGCCGCCGCUAGGUGAAAGUGAAUAGCUGCGCUGGUAGUGGAUUCCCUCCCUCACGGACGGCGACAGAGUUAAGCAUCCUUCCCUUCCCGGUGGACGGAUCCUACUGGCUCUUUGACCAGCAGUGAGGGGAGAGAGAGGCCAACGAAGUCAUGUUUAGAUCUGGAGAGGGUGAGAGAGUGUGAAGAGAGCAACUACAAGCACUAAGAGAGAGAGGCCAAUGAAGUCUUGUUUAGAUCUAGAGAGGGUGAGAGAGUCUGAAGAGAGCAACUACAAGGGCCGAGGCUCCAGCAUGUAAAGAGUGUAAAGAGUGCAAACCCUAGAAAACAAGCGUCGAGGCUGCAGCUUAUACGUGAUGAGGUGAUUAUACGGUCACUACGAGAUCGUAUAGCUCCGUAUCCAUCCAUUUUGACCAGUCAAAGAAUCCUCCUGGCACAAAUUAUGCUCAAGUGUAGUUAUUGAACCCGAGACCUCAAGUUUGAUGAGCGAACAGGCUAACCAGCUACACAACCCUCCCGUUAUAUUCAACGAGAGGAAAAUAACCUUUUAUACAUUCCUGCAUUCGUGUGACAAGCAUGCCGUGUUUUUUGUGUGUGGGAGUCAUUGGGAUUUAAAUCAUAAUCGUGUCAUGUGGCUUUGGUGGUAAGACUAUCCAUAGUGGUGCAGAAAUAAUGCAGCCUUAGUCACCUUACCUCUCUCCACGUAGUACGUUGGGUCCCACCAGUCAGAAGGUGAAACAAACAAAUUAAUAAGAAAAAUUAAAAGCGCCAACGGUGUAUCUUACCUCACACAUCUCGCUACUUCUCAGGAACACUGUCCAAUUGAUCCCUCUGUUCGCUCACGUACUAUUUUAAGUCAAUCCUUACUAUAACAUGCACAUAAUUUUGGGCACUUAUAUUCGACCUAAGUCAGUGUGCCACCAUAUCUCAUACUACUCCCUCCGUCUCGGUGUAAUAAGUCAUGUUAGAAGGUGCAGCGGGACCAAGGUGCAAGCAGAUUGGAGGAGAAGGAGAAACUUGACCGGUCAUUCCUCCAAUCAAAGCCCUGAUUUCUGUCUCUAAAUGCAACAAUUAAUCCAAACAACUAAGAGAUGCCGUUUUAGAUACCAUGCAGGGCCAUGUAUUAACUCGCAUGCAAGCCGACUUUGAUUUCUUGACUGAUCAACACGUAGUUGCGCUCCAUGCAUUGGGUUUUCGGGGGAGAUAACAAGGCAGAGUAAGGAGCGUUUGGUUACAUUGCUUAGGCUAGUCAUAGUGGUGAGUGGCUUGGACUAGUAACAUGCAUAUGUUACUAGUCUAUCUUACUACUACGCGAAGUUUGCCGUCGGAAGCGAGCCGAUCUGGCUCUCCUGAGCAAGCAAGGUUUUUCUAGCCCACCCAAGCUAGCUGGCCCACAAAUGCUAACAUAUUUCAACAGUUCCAAAUGCCUAACCUUGCCCCGCUAUGCUAUAAGCUGUUCUUGCUAAGGAUCCAAACGCUCCCUAAGUAACAGCGCUCGCUAGCAACGAGGCCAGGAGGGGAUUGAGAUGCAAAGUUAAUGGAUGACACCUAAACAUUUUGGGAAUAUCUGAUUUCCAUAAGAUGACUUAACACCUAGAUGGAGGGAGUACUACUCCUCAGUCCAGGUUUGAUGGAAUAUUUGUCACCUAUUCUAUGAGGCUUCGCACUCGCACUUCGCACUCGCACUUCGCACUCACCUACUCCAUUUGUAUCUCACUUCAUGUGGCUUCGCACUCACACGAUUUUCCUAUUCUAUGAACCUCUGUGUGUGUGUGUGUGUGUGUGUGUGUGUGUGUGUUUAACAGCAUGUGUGUGUUAGAGAGAGCAACAGAUCGACCUACUCCUACAGAGAGAUGGUGUGUAGUGUAUGAUUUUAGCUGUGAGAGUUGGUGCAUCCUCUCAUUUCCGAGCGUCCGGUAGGGACAGGCCGACAGUUGCCACGCCCGCUCCUGACCAGCCUGGCCCACCCAAAGCCCCUCCAUCGCCCGCGUGCGCUUCCCGCCCGAAACGGUCAGCGCCGCUCCAAAGAAUCGGUGUCGCAUACAUGCCCGGGCAGAGCGAAUGCGACCUCUCACUGGCGCCUGCGUUGAAGGAGAAGCGGAUUCAAGAGUGAUGGUUGCUUCGUCCGUCCAACUUACUGCUGGGUCUAUGUGAUUUGACGGCUCAUUGGUCAUUAUUACUGAGGUGGUAGGACUGCUGGAUGUCCCACGCUUUCGGCAGAAGGGGGUACUACUAGAUUACAAUUUUCUCCAUUCUUACAGCGGAGGAGUGCAAGAGCAGUGAAAACACACAGGCUCAGUGAUUACAUGGCCCACCUCACACUAUCGCCAUACUUUCUGGACACCGUGCGACACCUAACUCUUUACAUAGUACCCCCUCCGUUCCUAAAUACUAGAUGAGACCCCGCGCGUUGCCGCAGAACAGCCGUAUAUCUCUAUGCGUAAAAUUAUCGAUUUCAUAGAACUAAAAAAACUUUAUAACCGCAUGACAAAUGUGGUAGCCAAACUAAAAAACUCCCAUCAUCAUUUAGAUCAUCCCACAUAAGGAAAAAAGAUCAGCCAACUCCUACUGCAUAAUGGGAUUAUAUUUUUCUUUUUUACAUGUUAAUGGGACUUAAAAGCUCACUUACAUGCAUGCCACUGGUGCAUGCGUGCAUGCAGACAUGUUGAUGUGAUUUAAAACCCACUCACAUUCAUGCUACGGUAUUUCUGCAUGCUUGCAUGUGGCUUAGUGCGGAGCCUCUCAACGUCUAGAUCAGAUGGCUAUUAUGGACUGAUUUAGUUCAUCUAACGGCUACAUUAAUUUUGAUGAUGUGGCUCAAGGAGAGGAUAGAUAAUUCCUAGUAGUGGGGGCUAGCUAUUUAGAUAUAGUAGAUAAGUAUUUGUAGAGAUUCCACUAUGUGGACUACAUUCGAAACAAAAUGAAUGAAUCUACACUUAAAAUGCAUCUAUAUACAUCCGCAUGUGGUUCAUGGUGAAAUCUCUACAAAGACUUAUAUUUAGGAAUGGAGGAAGUACUAGUAUAGUAUGUACUGUAAUUUAUCAGCGAGAUAAAUUUGUACAAUGCUAUGAAGCUUCCAGCUUCUGUUACAUGUAUCUUGUAUCCAAGGUUGCCCGUUGCAACAUUUCAUCAAAUACAAAGGAGACUAAGAUGCAUGCUAUUGCAUCUCAAUGAUUGACAGAUCAUAGCAAAUAUGUACUCCAUCCGUUCCAAAAUAAGUGUCUCAACUUUAUGCAAACUUUAGUACAAAGUUGUACUACUACUAAAGUUCACACUUAUUUUGGAACAGAGGUAGCUAAAGUAAAAAAAUGAUCCAUGCAGUCCCUAGACCUUGAACCGUAAACCCUAACCAGGCUUCAAUUUGUUGGCAACGUUCAAGCUUCCUAAGAAAUUAAGUUUGCAACCUUUUGACCAUCGGAUCAUUUUGUGCAGUUUCACCAAAAUCAAGAUGAGUAUCCCUAUGGCAAAGAAAUUGAAGAAGCGUGAUUAGAAUAAGAUUACUGGGACUAGUUGAUGAGACAUAAACUCAUCACAAAUACAGUACGUAGAAGCCAAUAGAGGUAUGUGCGGGGCAAUGAAGUAGAGAAAUAUCCCCAUGGAGUGAUGUGGGCAGCUGGAGCAGUGGUGCAAGCCGGCUGUAAAGGGAGUUGUACCCGAGGGAUGUCGGGACAUAGCUCAACCUUGAGGAGGGCGGCGGGAGGCGGCAACUACCCACGUCGCGGUAGUGAGCAAGGUAUGAAAGCAACCUCACCGGCUUUGUGAGAGAGAAUGGCGGGGACCCCUGAUCGGGACGUGCUGAUAGUGGGUUUUCGCUGUCGGCGCCGGCGACCGCAUCUACACUAAGCAUCCAACCCUUCCCCCAGCGGACGUGAUCCACCAGGAUGUUAGAGAUGUGGCCACAGUCGUUUUGUGCGAGAGAGUGUGAAGAUAGCAACCCCAGUAAGCAACCGUGUAGGCUGGCCCAUCCUGACUAUGUAUAUAGUGGAGCGGUUUCCUUUUCUCUCCAUAUGAACCUAUCAUAUUCCGUACGUGCCACUGAAGAAAAAACACUUUAUUUAUAAAUGACGCGGCACCUACUACUCGUUCUCCUAUAACCUUGCACUUGGCAUCUCCAAAAUAUUAACCUUGCGAUUGGCUCUUCGCCUCUUUGGGAAGUCGAGCAAUAAUGGUACUGCAGUAUAUAUCGUUCUGGCUAUAUGAGACCGAAUUAAUUGUUGCACAUCCACCAGGUGGGCGAGGGUCGAGGGGAGAGGGAGAGUGCGUACUAUUACGUCCGUUUCAGGGGGUGUUUGUUUCCAGGGACUUUUUAGUGUAGGGACUAGAAAAAGUCCCUCUUAGAGACUUUUUAACCAAACAGGAGGGACUACUAGGGACUAAAACUUGCUUUUUGGGACUUAAUGAAGAAGACUCUCAAGGAGAGUCUUUUUGGGACUUUUCCAACAAUGCCCCUCCCUGCACCCAUUGCCCCACUAUAGGACCUUGAAGUAUGUCUAGAGGGGGGUGAUUAGACUACUUGACCAAUUAAAAACUUAACCUUUUCCCAAUUUUAGACUUUGGCAGAUUUUAGCUAUCUUUGGACAAGUCAAGCAAUCUUCACACAAUUCAAGCAAGCAUGCAAAGUGUAUAUGAGCAGCGGAAAGUAAAGCAUGCAACUUGCAAGAAUGUAAAGGGACGGGUUUGGAGGAUUCAAACGCAAUUGGAGACACGGAUGUUUUUGUCGUGGUUCCGAUAGGUGGUGCUAUCGUACAUCCACAUUGAUGGAGACUUCAACCCACGAAGGGUAAUGGUUGCGCGAGUCCACGGAGGGCUCCACCCACGAAGGGUCCACAAAGAAGCAACCUUGUCUAUCCCACCAUGGCCGUCGCCCACAAAGGACUUGCCUCACUAGCGGUAGAUCUUCACAAAGUAGGCGAUCUCCUUGCCCUUACAAACUCCUUGGUUCAACUCCUCAAUCUUGUCGGAGGCUGAAAGUGCAACUAUCCCUAGGUGGUUUUGGUAAUUCAUAAUAACAUAUAGCUCAUUGAGCUAAUGCUAUUCCAAGACUAUUAUUUCAGGAAAGCUUAAUGAAUGGCAUGGCAUGGAUGAUGAAAGUGGAUCCCUCAAAAUACUAAGGACACAGGAUUGGCUCAAGCUCAAAAGCUCAAGACUCUUCAUUUUAUAUUUUAGUGAUCCAAGAUCACAUUGAGUCUAUAGGAAAAGCCAAUACUAUCAAGGAGGGAUGAGGUGUUGCUUAAUGAGCCUCUUGCUUCAUGUGCUUUGUGAUAUGCUCCAAAACCCUCAGCUACUUUCCCACAUCCACAAAUGACCUAAACCCAAAGCCAAAAUCGGUCACACCGAUUAUUCCUAUCCGGCGCCACCGAUUCCAAAAGUCAUAGCCACUGCCACAAACCCUAAGAAAAUCGGUCUUACCGAUAGGGAUCUCGGUCUCACCGAGAUGGGGUUGUAAUCUCUCUGUUUCACUUUGUAACGUUUCGGUCUAACCGAAGUGAGCGAUUGGUCCCACCGAGAUUGCAAUGUAAACUCUCUGUUUCCCUUUUGUAACAUUUCGGUCUCACCAAAAAGAGCAAAUCGGUCCCACCGAGUUUACCUGACCAACUCUCUGGAAAGCUUAUUACCAAAUCAGUCUCACCGAGUUUGUGUAAUCGGUCUUACCGAGAUUACGUUAUGCCCUAACCCUAACCGAAUCGGUCUCACUGAGAUGCAUGUCAGUCCCACAGAUAAUCACUAACGGUCACUAGGUUUACUCAAUCGGUCCGACCAAGUCUGUUGAAUCGGUCCCACCGAGUUUGGUAAAUUGUGUGUAACGGUUAGAUUUUGUGUGGAGGCUAUAUAUACCCCUCCACCUCCUCUUCAUUCGUGGAGAGAGCUAUCAGAACGAACCUACACUUCCAACUUACCAUUUCUGAGAGAGAACCACCUACUCAUGUGUUGAGGCCAAGAUAUUCCAUUCCUACCAUAUGAAUCUUGAUCUCUAGCCUUCCCCAAGUUGCUUUCCACUCAAAUCUUCUUUCCACCAGAUCCAAAACCUAUGAGAGAGAGUUGAGUGUUGGGGAGACUAUCAUUUGAAGCACAAGAGCAAGGAGUUCAUCAUCAACGCACCAUUUGUUACUUCUUGGAGAGUGGUGUCUCCUAGAUUGGCUAGGUGUCACUUGGGAGCCUCCGACAAGAUUGUGGAGUUGAACCAAGGAGUUUGUAAGGGCAAGGAGAUCGCCUACUUCGUGAAGAUCUACCACUAGUGAGGCAAGUCCUUCGUGGGCGACGGCCAUGGUGGGAUAGACAAGGUUGCUUCUUCAUGGACCCUUCGUGGGUGGAGCCCUCCGUGGACUCGCGCAACCGUUACCCUUCGUGGGUUGAAGUCUCCAUCAACGUGGAUGUACGAUAGCACCACCUAUCGGAACCACACCAAAAACAUCUGUGUCUCCAAUUGCAUUUGAAUCCUCCAAACCCUUCCCUUUACUUUCUUGCAAGUUGCAUGCUUUAAUUUCCGCUGCCUAUAUACUCUUUGCAUGCUUGCUUGAAUAGUGUGAUGAUUUCUUGCCUUGUCCUAAAGUAGCUAAAAUCUGCCAAACUCUAAAAUUGCGAAAAGGUUAAGUUUUUAUUGGUCAAGUAGUCUAGUCACCCCCCCCUAGACAUACUUCAAGGUCCUACAAGUGGUAUCAGAGCUUUGGUCUCCAUUUGCUUUGAUUUCCAUAGCUUUUGGUGGUCAUAGCCUUGGUUUUACAACCUAGGAGAGUAUGGCGUCUAGCGAGGGAAAUUAUCACCGUAGAGGUCCUUACUUUGAUGGUACUAAUUUUGCUAGUUGGAAGCAUAAGAUGAAAAUGUAUAUUCUUGGACAUAACCCCGCUGUUUGGGCAAUUAUUUGUAUUGGCUUGCAAGGUGAAUUCUUUCAUGGAAGAGAACCGAACUGUGAAGCUAAUGCGGAAGAAUUGAAGAUGCUGCAAUACAACGCUCAAGCUUGUGAUAUCAUCUUCAACGGAUUGUGCCCCGAAGAAUUCAACAAAAUCAGCCCGUCUUGAGAAUGCAAAGGAAAUUUGGGAUACUUUGAUUGAUAUGCAUGAAGGUACCGAAUCCGUCAAGGAAUCCAAGUUGGAUGUGCUCCAAAGUAAGCUUGACAAGUUCAAAAUGAAGGAUGGUGAAGGUGUCACUGAAAUGUACUCUAGGCUUGCUCUUAUCACAAAUGAGAUUGCCGGCUUAGGGAGUGAAGAGAUGACCGACAAAUUCAUCAUCAAGAAGAUCCUAAGAGCAUUGGAUGGAAAGUACGAUACCGUGUGCAUGUUGAUCCAAAUGAUGCCAAACUACAAAGAUCUCAAGCCAACGGAAGUCAUUGGAAGAAUUGUUGCUCAUGAGAUGUCACUCAAGGAUAAGGAGGAACUUCACAACAAGUCAAGUGGUGCUUACAAAGCCUCAAGUGAAGCCCCCACAUCAUCAAGUGAGAAACAAACCUUCAAUGAAGAAUUGAGCUUAAUGGUGAAGAACUUCAACAAAUUCUACAAGAGUAGAAGCAAGGAAAGAAGCUCCAAGUCAAGGUCUUACAAUGACAAAAGAUCUUCUAGUCGAGAGCGCAAUUGCUACAAUUGUGGGAGACCCGGACACUAUUCCAAUGAGUGUACGACACCCUACAAAAGAAGAGAAGAUUCUCCAAAAAGAAGAAGCAAAAGAAAAGAAUCACCACCAAGAGAGAGGAGGAGUAGAGAUGAUCGUUAUGAACGAAGAUCCUCACAGAGAAGCAAGGAUUCGGAAAGGAAGGACAAGUCAUCAAGGAGCUACACAAAAUGAAGACAUCAAGCUCAUGUUGGUGAAUGGGUAUCCGGCUCCGACUCCGACAAUCACUCCGAGAGAAGCUAUCACUCCGACUCCGAAUAUACUCAAGAUGAAUGUGUUGCCGGUCUAGCACUUGUGUCAACCAACUCCUAUGACAUAUUUGAUUCACCAAAUGAAGGAAUUGGGAGAUGCUUCAUGGCCAAAGGUCCAAAGGUAACACAUCCUGAGUAUGUUGAUUUCAAUAGUGAUGAAGAUGACUUGCUUGUGGAUGAUGAUUUACUUGUUGACAACUCUAGUGAUGAAUACUAUGAUGAAACGUCAAUUAAUCAUGCUAAUCAAGAUAAAACGAAUGACAAUGAUAUGGAUAAGAUUGAGCUUCUAACUAAAGAACUAAACACUCUUAAGUUGGCUCAUGAAACUAUCUUUGAAGAUCAUCAAGAACUUUUAAGGGCUCAUGAGAAGUUACGCUUUGAAAAGCUCAAUCUUCAGCAAGAGCAUGAGUUCUUAAAAGGAAGCAAUGAUGAUCUCCGCAAGAAAAGUUCUUCUUACAUUGCCAAGCGUUUACUCUUAUCUACUUACAUGCCUCAAGUCAAGUCUAGUAACAAGUACAAGAAAGAUACUUCCUGUAGUAGUAACAAUAAUAAUGUCAAAUCCAAUAUUGUUGCUUCUAGUAGUUCUCUUGAUUCCACUAAUGAUUCUCUUAGCCAAGUUACACUUGAGCAAGAAAAUAGCUUAUUGAAGGGAAUUAUAGAGAAAGGUGUUUACAAGAGCCUUGCCGGGAGUAAGCAAUUCGAGGAAAUUGUACGCAAGCAAGGAAGGCACCGGAAGAAUCAAGGUGUUGGUUUUGAACGCAAGUUCAAUGCCAAUGGAGUUGAGUGGGAAGAAGAUCAAUACCCCAAGACGAAGUCUGUUCCUCAACAAGAGAAGUAUGAUCCUACUUCCUUCAAGGUAACACAAGCUCAAGAUGAUCUUCCACCACAAGACCACAAGAACAAAGGCAAGGACAAGCUUCAAGAAGAGAUUGAUGCAUUUUAAGAAGCACCUAAAGCCUCGUUCAAGUGGGUUCCCAAGACUACGUCAAGUUCUACUUCAUCAAGUACAACUACAACUCCAAGGAUUCCCAUCAAGAUGAUGUGGAUCCCGAAGAAGAAGAACUAGAGAGUUCUUGAGGGUGACUCCGCCAACAUUCUUCACUCAUAUCAUUAUGGCAAGAACAAGUGCAAUCAACUUCCACAUCUUGCACUAGUUCAAGGAGUCACAAACCCUCAUGUUGGUAAGGCAAGGGACAAGGUAACCUAAUGAUUUCAUGGACAUCAUCUUGUGUGUGCAUCACUCUAUGUCUAUGGAUAUUCUUGUCUGUUCUGUCAGGACCCCGACUCGAUGUCACAUCGAUCUAGCCGGUAACACCUCAUAUCACUUUGCGGCCUCACGCACGGUAUCCCCACGGGUGUUGCCUUACCUUUGCCCGGGACCGUUUGCGCCUUUUGGCUCACGUAUAUGAUAGUGUCGCUAGCAUCCAUAUGAUAAGGAGCCCGGGCUGACAUGACUAGUCGUAAACCCAAAGUGGCACAGACUUACAGGGACAGGCAUCCAUGACCCAGCUUCGAACGUGUUGGUCAUCAGCAAGUGGGUCCGGGCUGUAGCACUGGGCUAGCAGGACUCCGGUAAACCGGGCUGUAGCGGGCUAACAGGACUUCGGUACUCACAGCGUGACAUUUCCCCGAAGGGACAGACACAGGAACGAAGAAGGACACAUGCCGGCCAGCCUAAGUGUUCCAGAGCAGUAGCAAGCUACCAUGGCUCAGCGGUAACACUAGGAGACAUUUCCCGGUAAGAGAGGCUACUAAAGAUAAACAACUAGAUAGUCAGAUCCCACACAUACCAAGCAUUUCAAUCAUACACACAAUAUGCUCGAUAUGUGCAAAUACAACGAAGCAUCACAAUAUGACUCUAUGACACAAGUACUUUAUUUAAGGCUUAGGGAGCCAUACAUAACAUACACAAAGGUACGGGUCUCACGACCCAACAUUCAAGUCAUACAGUCAUACAAACCAGCACCGGAAGUAACUUGUCUGAGUACAGACAACUAGUAAAAUAAAAGAGGCUUGGAAAGCCUAGCUAUACUACGUGGUCCUUCACAAGCUCAGGAUCACCACCCGGGCCUUUAGCCUACUUGUUGAUGUCAACGUCUACAUAGAACCCAUCAGAAAGGGUUGCAGCGUCUUCUGUAAAAAUGUAAAUUAUAGCAACAUGAGUACAAAGGUACUCAGCAAGACUUACAUCAGAUCCUACAUACAUGCAUAUUAUCAAGAAGGGUUGGUGGAGUUAUUGCAGCAAGCCAGCUUUGACUCUUGGCUAGACUAUCCUACGAUACUUCAACUUGAAAUGGUUUUGCGCACACGAGUCCACUACUCACCACUUCAAUACACUACCGAGGAUCCGCCUCCGUCUUCCUACGGAGGAGCCAUCCUCGGCACUCACACUUAUCUUGAGGCUUUUAGUAGUUUCCAAUUACUUGUCUAUGAACUGUAUAGGCAACCAAGUAGUCCUUUACCGCGGACGCGGCUAUUCGAAUAGAUCAUGAUAACCCUGCAGGGGUGUACUUCUUCAUACAUGUUUCCACCACUUAGCGUCUGCACACGACAUGUGCUCGGCAGACUUCAAGCGAAAGCCGACGUGGGUGUAGACCACGACCUACCUAAACACUUAAGCCUCUAGUCCAGGUUUAUCGCCUAUCCAGGUUCCAUCCGCAGGGAGUCCGGCCGAGGUUUCCCAUACGGCCCCGAACAAUGUGAACAGGGUUCCCGAGAUACCUAACGGGUAUUCGGUACGCCGUGCCACGUACCUACCGCAUCACAGCCCACCCCUACGGUAAGCGCUGUCCACGGCCUCCAGUAGGCUACAAACACCAGAAACUACUUGCAACUCCUGGACAGAGAGCUAGGGUGAAUAAGAAGUCGAGCGGGGUCAUAUUUCAGGGCCCAAUGCAUGGUAGUAGCUGUAUCUUAAAUCACACAUACAGAUCUCAGUGCUUAAGGUCGGCUUCAAUGAAACAACCCACCAUGUACUCCUACAUGGCCUCUCAUCGAUACCUUUACCAAAUCGUGUUCACCACACCACUCUCAUUACCGACAUAAUCAUUUCACUCUAGCCCAUCACCCAGAUGAACCAGACCUGACACGACUCUAAGCAUAGCAGGCAUAGCAAGGUAGGAACAACACAUACAUAUGGCUCAAUCAACUCCUACACAUGCUAGUGGGUUUCAUCUAGUUACUGUGGCAAUGACAGGUCAUGCAGAGGAAAUGGGUUCAACUACCGUAGCACACAGCAGUUUGAAACGCGUUGUCUUAAUGCAGUAAAAGAGAGCAGGAGCGAGAACAUGGGAUUGUAUCAAUAUGAUCAAAUGGUUGGUUGCUUGCCUGAUGGUUCGAUGCACUGAUACGGUUCUUCGUUAGGGUAAUCACGGUACUCCUCGGAGGCAGAACCUGUCGCAAAGAACACCGAUACACAACCAUCACCAAACAAUGUGCAACAAUAUGAUGCAUGCAUGAAACAUGGCAAUAUGAGUGUGUUGGGCUAAUGCAACUAAAACCAGAAGGGUUUGAACCAAUUUGAAUCAAAGAUUCAAAUUUCAAACUCAAACAUGGCCUUUUAAAGUGCUUUUUCUUGUUCUGUUAAAAACAUCAAUUUAACUUGUUUGAUCAUUCAUGAAAAUAGUACACAUGGAUAGAUUGGAUUUUUCUGAUCAUUUUUCAUAUAUAAUUUGUCUGAUUUGGAGUUACAGAAUAAAAGUUAUGAAUUUUUGAAGUUUAAAUAAUAUUCUGGAAUUUCCUGAUUUAAAUUUAAUCCAGAAAUAUAUAUAUUGCGCCAGCAUGACGUCAGCGGUCAACUGCGGCUGGCUGGGGUCAAACCUGACGUGUGGGGUCCACACGUCAGUGACAGGGGGGUUUAACAGGGUUAAUUUAAUCCUAAUUAGGAAUUAGUGGCGCUGGGGCCCACUGGUCAGUGUCAGGGGGGUUGACUAACGGUGAUUAGCACUAAGCUGACCACCUGGCCGACGGGGCCCACGCGUCAGUGACCCUGGGGGGGGUCAAACCCCAGGUCAAACAGGUCAAACCCACCAGCGACAUGACGCCGGCGAGGCCCGAGACGGCGGCGCGAUACGGAAACGCGCUACAGGGCACGGGCGAGGCCGUGCUUGGGCUCGUUGGAGAGCCCUUGCUCCCGCGCGUCGAACGGUGGUGGUGGCCAUGCCUGAGGUGGCCGGUACCGAUGACGGCGAGCUCGUGAGCGGCGGCCGGAGUUCGGGUGCGGUCGGGAUCGGCGCUGCUGCUCGCAAGCGAGGGAGCUGAGGCGCUGGAGGGGCUCUACGGGUCGCGGCAAGCACAACGGGUGCAUGCCCGUGACCAAAUGGUCACCGGAGCUGCUUCGACGGCGAGCUCGGCGACGGCGGAGGUUCGGCCGUGGUGGGAACGGGGUUACGGCGCGGGAACGAGGGGGAAAAGAGGGGGAAACGGUGGCGGAGCUCACCGCGGUUGCAGUGGGCGUCGAAGCGGGCUCGGGGACGCGCUGGAGACGGCGAAUCAACGGCGAUGUGGUCGGAGCCCGAGGAGGAAGACGAUGGCGACGGCGGCUCCACAGGGCGUCCGGCGUCUUGUGGCUUGACGAGGAGGUAGAGGGGGUCGCGGCGGAGCUGGGGAGCGUGUCGGGGAGGCGAGGGGAGGCCGGUGGCGGCUGCUAUGGCGAACGGCGGCGAUGGGUGCUUCGGACACGGAAGAGAGAGAGCGAGGGGGAGGAGAGGAAGAACCGGGGGAGAGUGAGAGAGAGCAGGGGGGGCGUGGCGUCGUUCCAGGCCAUCCAGACGAGGAGGGGAGGGGCAGGCAGGCAGGCGAGCUGGUGGCGUGGCGCGGUGGUGCGCGCGCGCGCCGGCCACACUCCCCUCCCUCUGUCGAGGACUAAGACGACAGAGGAGGGAGACGGGCUGGGCCGCCUGCUGGCUGGGCCGGCCAGCUGGCUGGGCUGCACAGGGAGGAGCCCCAGGUAAGCUUCUCCCUUUUAUUUAUUUCUAUUUUCUAAUUUCUGACAUUUGUUUUGAUUUAAAUAAAAUAUUAAAUCAUUUUAUUAACUUAUGCCAAUUUUUGCAGGAGCUAGAUAUAUUAUUCCAGAGCUCCCCAACAGGUGGCAUAAUUUUUGGACAUAUAUUAGUAUAUAUAAUUAAUAUAUCUCCAAUGCAAAUAUUUAUGCAUUAAAUCCAAAUGCCCAAAAUAAAUACCUAUGAGCUCUUAAAAAUAUUGGUUUGAUUUUUAUCUCUGUCCAAUAUUUUCAGAGAGCAACAUGAGCAUUUUCUUGGACCCUUUUGGAGAAAUUUUUAUUUGGGUCUUUUUCAAAAUGAUUCUGAGGGUUUCACCAAUCCCCAUUUCAAGUUUCUGAUGAAAGAGUAAACAUGAUGCAACACUCUAAUGCAUGACUAGCUAGGGUGUGACAUGUUCCUUGUGGGACUAACACAUGUAGGUAAGUUGAAAGUGCAACUCACUCCAAAGGAUUGCUCCAAAUGAUCUACAUCAACAUUGAGCAUCCACAUCUUCAACACCUACAUGAAGUCAUCAUCGACAAAACCCAAGGUUAGUUCAUCCCUCUAAAGGGGGAUCUCACAUCUAGGGGGAGCUUAACUCUAAGAAUUGAGUCAAAGCAACUCUAAUGGUGUGAACAUAUCAAUGCAUUAUGUAAAAGUGGUAACCCCACUUGAGCUUAAACGAUGAGUAUGACCUAUGAUCAAAUGUUCUCAUUUGACUCCUAAGUCAAUAUACUCAUAUAUAGAUGACCUAGUCAUCGCCAAUUGUUUGAUAGAUGCUAGAAUUGGUUGUGCAUGCUUUGCCACAUAUUUCAUUUGCCAUUUUAUUGUGUGAGCAUGGUGGUGCAUAUUUUACUCAUUCAAGGACAUCCACUUGUUGUUUUGAUUGUUUGGGUUCUUUUCUUUUUGCCAAGUGGAUGGACAAGAAUGCCUAAGAACCUUCUUUAGCUAUCUAUGCUUUUAUCGUCUCAAACUCUAUUCAUGCUACAUCACAAAAUUUGAUCAAGUCAGAUUCGAACCACUCUAUGUGAGGAGCACUCGGAGUCCCUGAUUCAUCAUAGACUUAAACUUCCAAAACCUCUUUGUGACUCUCGGUCUGACCGAUUCCUCCAUUUCGGUCCUAUCGAGAUCAUUAACUUGAUCUGAGUUUUCAAUCUCGGUGCAACCGAUUUGAACUUUUCGGUCACACCGAUUUGCUGUAACUGUACACAGUUAUGCAUCUCAGUGCCACCGAGUUGUUCCACUCGGUCACACCGACAGGGUCGGGCUAUAUAUAGUCACGGGCAAAAUUUUGGAAAUUUCUCCGAAACCCUUCGCCCGCGCAAUAGCUUGCUCUGCCAUCGAAGGUCUCCGGAUCGUCUCCUCGUCGCCAGCAGCCUCCAGUAGCUGGUCUCCACCGCCGUCAACGGAUUUCGCCCCCACCGUUGCCGCCGUAGCGAGUCCACCGCCAAGCUAGGGUAUGGACUCAAUGUUUGUGCUAUCCUCAUCUGAUUCCUAGCACAUUGUAUUCUUAUUGAAUCUUGCCACGAUUGAAACAAUUCUAUCCAGCCAAAGUAAUCCAUAGAUUAGAUGAGAUUCAAAUUUUUAGGGUUAGGUUUCCGCCGAAACCAUCUCGGACCCACCGAGUUGAAAAACUCGGUCUCACCGAUUUGGCUUAUGCCAUUGCACUAGUGACUCUCAGUCUGACCGAGAAUUACUAAUCGGUGCGACCGAUUUUAGGAUUCUGUGAAACCCUAGUAGUCUCGGUGCCACCAAACUGUGACUCGGUCCAACCGAGAUCAUCAGUUUAGGUUCCAAAACUGCUUCGGUAUCACCGAGUUUGAAAAUCGGUUGAUCCGAAAUGCUUUCUGUGGAAAACUAAAACUGAAUUUUUGAAUCAUUCUUUUGAAAAAAUCUCUGCAUUUUGUGAUGCUCAUCCAUUCUAUCUCAUCUAUAACUCUUCACAGGGUCAGCAGUCAGUAUUUUGCAGCAUGUCAGACCAGAGUGACAGCCAGAACAGGUCAGAAGAGCAGAUUGACAUGAGCAAGGGCACUAGUCCCUCAAGCUGUACAGAUGAUGGGAGCAGAAGCACUCCAAGCAACCUGCCCAAGGCUGCUACCAGGCAAAGGAGGAAGAGAACAUCAGACUCAGAGGAUGAGGACUACAAAGCAGAAGAAGAUGAGGCUACUUCCAAGAAAGUAGUGCUCAAGAAGGAAUAUGGCUCUGCACAUAGCACAAAGCCUGGUCUAAAAAAGAAAGUUCCUGCCAAGAGGACACCAAUGCCCAAGGCCAAAAAGUCCACUCAAGUGCCAUCUCAGACAGAACCCAAAGAGGCACCUGCAAAGAAAGUCACAUCAUCCAAACCUCAGAAAGUUCCCACUGGAGAGACAAUGAAGUUUACCCUUGAAUCAGAGAAUGAAGGUGCUCAGGACAAGAAGAAGAAGAGAGCAAGAACCACAACUGCCUAGGUUCUUGGAAAGCCCUCAAUGAGAAGAGAUUCUGAAGAAGAGGAAGAGGUUGCUGCUCCAGCACCUAAGGCACCCAAGCUUAUGGGUGAUGCUAUAAGGUCAGGGGCUGCAACAUCCAAGCCCAAGGAAGCACCCAAAGCUGCCUCCCAGGCCAAGCAAGUACCAAAGAGGAAUACUAGGAGUAUUCCAGCUGGUGAGAAAACAAGGCCCCAGUGCCAAAUGUUGCUAAAGAAGAAGAUGAAGAAGGUCAAGUCCUAAGGAAGCUCAAGCCCAAGAUACCAGACCAUAAUGAUGCCCAUCCUGUGGUUGAGGACAUGAGAAUCAGGAAGGAUUCAGGGUUGAGGCUCUGGAGGAUGGAAGAUCCAUAUGCAUCAAGGAGAAGAACUGUUGUAGACUACAGGUUCCAUACAAAGGAACAGCAGGACUUCUAUGAGACAAUUCUGUUGGAUAAGAAGCGUAUAGUUUGUGACAUGAGGUGGGUCGACUGGACCUACAUCAAGGACAAUGAAGAGCACUAUCCUGGAGUGCAAGAUAGCUCUGUUGCUUGUGGAGUUGCUGAUUUUGUUGGUCAAAAGUUCACUCACUGGAAUGAUGAACUUAUCAUGCAAUUCUACUCCACAGCACACUUUUAUCCAGAUGGAAGAAUUGUUUGGAUGUCUGAAGGUACAAGGUACCAAUCCACUGUUGAAGAAUGGGCAAGACUGAUAAAUGCCCCAAAGGAAAAUGAGGAUGACCUGGAUAUCUAUGCAAAGAAGAAUAUGGAUCACAAUUCCAUGGCUCACAUGUACAAGGAAAUCCCAGACAAGGCAGUAGAGACACACAAGUUUGGAUCAGUCCAUUUUCUGCUGUCAGGGCUGCCUACAAUCAAUUGGAUUCUGAGGCAUACUUUGUUGCCUAAGUCUAGUGACCAUAACAUGAUCAGAGGGCAUGCCAUCAACAUGUUGCAUGUGUUUGAUGUGCCACAAAAGUUCAAAGUCAUGAGCCUUAUGAUUGAAACCAUUAAGAGGACUGCAACAGAUCAGAAGAGGAGCUACGGAUAUGCCCCUCAGAUUCAGGAAUUGAUCAACUCAAAGAUGGGCACAGGGAAAUGUCAAUUGGAUAAGGAACACUUUCCACUUUAUCCAAACUUUGAGGACAAUGAGGUUGUCAUGAAUGAAAAUGAUCCAACAUCAGUUCAAGCUCAAGAGAAGAAGGAGAAGGCAAAGAAGGAGAAGGCUGCCAGGAUGCCAACUCAAGAGGAGGCAUCUGAAUAUUUCUUGAAGAAUAAGCAGGAGCAGCUUGGUUACUUGAUAGCAUCUACACUAAGGAUUGAGAAGGGACUGGCCACCCUCACUCAGAAUCAGGAGAGCUUGGAGAGAAUCAUGGAACUCAAAUUCCAUGACCUUGAUGUCAAAGUAACUGAGAUACAGUCAGUUGUGGAGCAGCUGCAGGAUGAUAUGCAGGAGAGGUAGGGCAAGACUACCACUAAUGUGUUUGCCAGAGUGCCCAAAGCCCAGAGGUCAGUUGUAGUGCCAGUGACAGACACUAGAGCAACAACUUCAGCACCAGCUACAGCCCCUUCAGCUCCAGUGCAACCAGCUCCAGCAUCCACUCCAGCACCCUCUACUUCAACUGAAGCCUUCGUUCUUGGAGUUAUCCGGACACCACCACCUGAAGAUCAAGCCUGAGAGUCGAUCUAGCACUAUGCAUUUUCUAUGAACUUUUUGGUAACUUGUUGCCAAAGGGGGAGAAAAAUGUAUAGAUCAUAGGCUUCGAGAGAGAGUGUGUUUCUAUUGUUCUCUCUUGCUUUAUUUGGUGGUUAAACUUGUUUGUUUUUGAUUGCUUGUGAUACUAUGCUUGUGAGACAUUGAUGAUCAUGUGUUUGAUUAUAAGCUACACUUAUGCAUGUUUGAUGAUAUUAUCCUAUCUAUCCUAUGUGAUCAUUCACUUUGCUUGGUGAUGAGUGCAUGUAUUCAAUGUUUAUUAUUUUGAGCGCACCACCAAGAUGUAUGUGACAUGGAAGAGUAACCCAUGAGCCUAAUUCAUUGUGCAUUUGCAGUCCAAAGCAAAUCUUAAACUAUGCACAAAUUUAGGGGGAGCUCUUGCUUAUCACAUACUUCUCAAAGCGACGAUGUUAUUCAAUCUUAUUAUCAUUUGUCAAAGCUUUGAUCUAUAUGUUGUCAUAUAUUACCAAAAAGGGGGAGAUUGAAAGUGCAACUAUCCCUAGGUGGUUUUGGUAAUUCAUAAGAACAUAUAGCUCACUGAGCUAAUGCUAUUCCAAGACUAUUAUUUCAGGAAAGCUCAAUGAAUGGCAUGGCAUGGAUGAUGAAAGUGGAUCCCUCAAAAUACUAAGGACAAAGGAUUGGCUCAAGCUCAAAAGCUCAAGACUCUUCAUUUUAUAUUUUAGUGAUCCAAGAUCACAUUGAGUCUAUAGGAAAAGCCAAUACUAUCAAGGAGGGAUGAGGUGUUGCUUAAUGAGCCUCUUGCUUCAUGUGCUUUGUGAUAUGCUCCAAAACCCUCAGCUACUUUCCCACAUCCACAAAUGACCUAAACCCAAAGCCAAAAUCGGUCACACCGAUUCUUCCUAUCCGGCGCCACCAAUUCCAAAAGUCAUAGCCACUGCCACAAACCCUAAGCAAAUCGGUCUUACCGAUAGGGAUCUCGGUCUCACCGAGAUGGGGUUGUAAUCUCUCUGUUUCCCUUCGUAACGUUUCGGUCUAACCAAAGUGACCGAUCGGUCCCACCGAGACUGCAAUGUAAACUCUCUGUUUCCCUUUUGUAACAUUUUGGUCUCACCGAAAAGAGCAAAUCGGUCCCACCGAGUUUACCUGACCAACUCUCUGGAAAGCUUAUUACCAAAUCGGUCUCACCGAGUUUGUGUAAUCGGUCUUACUGAGAUUACGUUAUGCCCUAACCCUAACCGAAUCGGUCUCACCUAGAUGCAUGUCAGUCCCACCGAAAAUCACUAACGGUCACUAGGUUUACUAAAUCGGUCCGACCGAGUCGGUUGAAUCGGUCCCACCGAGUUUGGUAAAUUGUGUGUAACGGUUAGAUUUUGUGUGGAGGCUAUAUAUACCCCUCCACCUCCUCCUCAUUCGUGGAGAGCCAUCAGAACAAACCUACACUUCCAACUUACCAUUUCUGAGAGAGAACCACCUACUCAUGUGUUGAGGCCAAGAUAUUCCAUUCCUACCAUAUGAAUCUUGAUCUCUAGCCUUCCCCAAGUUGCUUUCCACUCAAAUCUUCUUUCCACCAGAUCCAAAACCUAUGAGAGAGAGUUGAGUGUUGGGGAGACUAUCAUUUGAAGCACAAGAGCAAGGAGUUCAUCAUCAACGCACCAUUUGUUACUUAUUGGAGAGUGGUGUCUCCUAGAUUGGCUAGGUGUCACUUGGGAGCCUCCGACAAGAUUGUGGAGUUGAACCAAGGAGUUUGUAAGGGCAAGGAGAUCAGCCUACUUCGUGAAGAUCUACCGCUAGUGAGGCAAGUCCUUCGUGGGCGAUGGCCAUGGUGGGAUAGACAAGGUUGCUUCUUCGUGGACCCUUCGUGGGUGGAGCCCUCCGUGGACUCGCGCAACCGUUACCCUUCGUGGGUUGAAGUCUCCAUCAACGUGGAUGUACGAUAGCACCACCUAUCGGAACCACGCCAAAAACAUCUGUGUCUCCAAUUGCGUUUGAAUCCUCCAAACCCUUCCCUUUACUUUCUUGCAAGUUGCAUGCUUUAAUUUCCGCUGCCUAUAUACUCUUUGCAAGCUUGCUUGAAUAGUGUGAUGAUUGCUUGACUUGUCCUAAAGUAGCUAAAAUCUGCCAAACUCUAAAAUUGGGAAAAGGUUAAGUUUUUAUUGGUCAAGUAGUCUAAUCACCCCCCCCCCUCUAGACAUACUUCAAGGUCCUACAGAGGCUCCCAAGUGACACCUAGCCAAUCUAGGAGACACCACUCUCCAAGAAGUAACAAAUGGUGCGAUGAUGAUGAACUCCUUGCUCUUGUGCUUCAAAUGAUAGUCUCCCCAACACUCAACUCUCUCUCAUAGGAUUUGGAUCUGGUGGAAACAAGAUUUGAGUGGAAAGCAACUUGGGGAAGGCUAGAGAUCAAGAUUCAUAUGGUAGGAAUGAAAUAUCUUGGCCUCAACACAUGAGUAGGUAGUUCUCUCUCAGAAAUGGUAAGUUGGAAGUGUAGGUUUGUUCUGAUGGCUCUCUCCACGAAUGAAGAGGAGGUGGAGGGGUAUAUAUAUAUAGCCUCCACACAAAAUCUAACCGUUACACACAAUUUACCAAACUCGGUGGGACCGAAUCAACAAACUCGGUCGGACCGAUUUAGUAAAUCUAGUGACCGUUAGGGUUUUCGGUGCGACAUGCAACUCGGUAGGACCGAUAUGGUUAGGGUUUAGGGCAUAACGUAAUCUCGAUGAGACCGAUUACACAAACUCGGUGAGACCGAUUUCGGUAAUUAGCUAACCAGAGAGUUGGUCAGGUAAACUCAGUGGGACCGAUUUGCUCUGUUCGGUGAGACCGAAAUGUUACAAAAAGGAAACAGAGAGUUUACAUUGCAAUCUCGGUGGGACCGAUCGCUCACUUCGGCUAGACCGAAACAUUAAGAAGGGAAACAGAGAGAUUACAAUCCCAUCUCGGUGAGACCGAGAUCCCUAUCGGUGAGACCGAUUUGCCUAGUGUUUGUGGCAGUGGCUAUGACAUUUGAACUCGGUGGCGCCGGAUAGAAAGAAUAGGUGGGACCGAUUUUGACUUUGAGUUUAGCUCAUAUGUGGAUGUGAGAAAGUAGUUGAGGGUUUUUGGAGCAUAUCACUAAGCACUUGAAGCAAGAGGCUCAUUAAGCAACACCUCGUCCCUCCUUGAUAGUAUUGGCUUUUCCUAUAGACUCAAUGUGAUCUUGGAUCACUAAAAUGUAAAAUGUAGAGUCUUGAACUUUUGAGCUUGAGCCAAUCCUUUGUUCUUAAUAUUUCGAGGGAUCCACUUUCAUCAGCCAUGUCAUGCCAUUCAUUGAGAUUUCCUGAAAUAUUUGUCUUGGAAUAGCAUUAGCUCAAUGAGCUAUAUGUUGUUAUGAAUUACCAAAACCACCUAGGGAUAGUUGCACUUUCACCCGCUGCCCCAUGGUGUUGUUUGGUUGUUAUUUUUCUGUAUACUAGGGGUAACAUGGUCAUUCAAUAACCUCUAGGGAGGGACUAGGAACUUUUUAGUCCCUGAAAACAAACAGGGAGGGACUUUUUAAGGAGUAGGACUUUUUAGUUGGGACUAGAAAAAGUCCUAGGACUUAUGAACCAAACACCUCAAUAUGGACUACAUAUGGAGCAAAAUGAGUGAAUCUACACUCUAAAAUACGUCUAUAUACAUCAGUGUUUGGAGUAUGUACUAGUAGUUCAUAUUGAAAUCUACUAAAGGACAUAUAUAUUCCAAACAAUAAGAUAAUCUCUCUAACCAAGGUAGUAGGGACGAGGAGUAAAUGAAGGGAGUAGUAAAAUUUUCUCCUCGUCCUGCGAGCCACCGUGCACGUGGGCGAGGGAGCGUGCGUAAGGCAUACAGUACUAAGCAAGCUUCACCUCAUCCUGCGAGCCACCGCUCUCAUGGGCGGGGGAGACGGCGUACUAAGCAAGCUUCUCCUCGUUUUGCGAGUUCACAAGACACAUCAAAAGUACUCCAGUGUAUAGAGCCUUGCCUCUAAGGUAGGCCCCACAUGGUUUGCCUCUUUUUUAACAUAACGCAUCAAGUCGCAAUUUGUUUGUUCACCCGUGGUAGACGAUCCUCCCUCCACCAAGUGGACAACCAUUACACGUGCCAAAUUACCAUAUGGGCUGCCUUUUCGUACAGAAAUGACCUCCAUCGUGUACCCACGUGGGUGUGGUUGGGAAAGAGACGGGAGUACGUGCAUCGUGCAUGCACCUCUUCUCUUCAUGCACAUCCCCCACCUACGUGGGUGUGUGUGAGAGAUACAAACCACAUUCAUGAGUGUUUUUUGUUUGGGGGGUGGGGUUGAUUUUGUGAAUGUAUUUGUGGGAAUAUGUGUCGAUGACAUUUCAAACAAAAUUUUGCAUGCAAUGUGUGUGAAAUGGAGGCCUAUCCAUAUCAUAUAUAGAGGGUCGGGCGAUCCACGAGAAGAGAGGGAGGGGUCAUAGAUAUCAAUAGAGUCAAAGAGAGGAUCAAGUGGGUGGGUGCGAGAUCGAUGAAGAGAGCCAUAGAAAUUGUGUGUGUGUGUGCAAGUCGAAGAUAUAGGGCGAAUGACCUACCGGAACAUCAGAGGGCACAGGUCAAGUUUGUGUGUGGCAGGGAGACAUGACUAGAGCGCUCGAUGUAUCGGUGUGUGUGGGGGGGAGGGGGUGGGGGAGGGGGAGGCAGAGGCCUAACUAUAGAGGUAGAACGACUCGUAUAUGUGUUGAGAAGGAGAGACCCAGCUAUGUCUUGAGAGAGAUCGGUCGACAUCCAUACAUAACUGAAGGACAGGAAAUAGGAUGGGACAGAGAGAGAAAGAGAGAGAGAGAUAGAGAGAGAGAGAGGGAGGGAGAGGGGUAGAGUGCUGGAUGGGUGAUGGAGUUCCUUCUUGAAGAUGGUGGGAGAGGCCUACUAGAAAAACUGAGGGUGGAACUGCAAUAUUAUCAAUAAGCAUGGGGAUGUGUUUCUAUGUGUGCCUAUGUGUGAUAGAUCUGUCGGGACACGUCCAUGGAUGAUGAAGGGGAACCAUGUGUUUGGUAAGCCAACCUAACUAGAUCGGUAGAUCAAUUGUUGUUUGUCGGAGGAAGGGAGAGACAUAAAUAAUGAGGUAGAUCGAUCGACGUGUGGGGAAAACGAGUUAUAAGGACCUAGCUAGCUAUAUGUAUAGCGGGAGAUCGGUUGGCGUACGUCCAUUUGUUAGAGGCAAAUAAGGCCCAGCAAGACGGAUAGACAGAGAGAAUGGAGCUAGGAGGUGGUGCGAGAGGCCCAACUACUAGCUAGAUAGGUGGAGGAGUGUGCGGUUGUGAGAUCGAUGAAAAGAGGGGCGAGAGUUUACACGUGUGUGGGACCGUAUGAGAGACACGAGGCAAGGACACAUAAAGGAGGAGAUUGAAGGUGCAUGUGUCUGUUGUAGGCAGACAUCACUGGAGAGGUUUAUCGAUCGGUGUGUAUCGGAAAGGAGUUGUGGAGACUCUGAGAGAACGACCUAAAGAAAAAAAUGAAUGUGCGCGAUGGAUAGAAUGCUGAGGGAGGGGGAGGGCGAGGAGGGCGUGUGCAUGCACGAGAGAAAGUUAGUGGUAGCUACAAAGGUUAGAGGAUUGUGUGGGUGUAAGAGACUAACAAAGAUCAUAAUUUGAUAUGAAAGUGGAUUCAUAUAUUUGAAUAGGAGAUCAUAGUGUUUUAAACAUAUGCAUGCAUGAAUAUAGCGGUGAUACGCGUGCUGUGGUUUUGCACAUGUUAUACCAUAAUGUGAUAAUGCAUGGCAUUUGCAACUCACAGCUAAAUGUCGAACAAUCUAAACCAUACUAUACAUCGAACAACCUCACAUUUUAUUUGAAUUUGUGAUAAUGUGUGGUGUUUGCAGCUUACAACUAAAUAUCGAACAAUCUAAACAAUACUAUAUAUCGAACAUUCUCACAUUUUAUUUGAAUUUGUGGUAAUGUGUGGUGUUUGUAACUCACAUCUAAAUACUUGUAGGCGUAGGGGGUGGGGCACCAUACAUAAUGUGAUAAGCACAUUAUACAUAUGAGACAUGGUUUAGAUUAUGAAGAUCUAGCUAGAGCUAGAAAUGUAAUGUGAUUUGAAAUCAACAUAAAGUGGAUUCAAAAAAUCAAGUUCGAGUUCAUAUCGUACACAUAGUUCAUAUGUAACUCGAGACUAAUCAUGUGGUGUGCUGUGAAGAUAAUACACAAACGAUUGUUUAACUUGAUAAUAAUGAUGACUGUAGAUCUUAUUAAAACAAAGAAUCGAAUUCAAAUGCUUUGACUUCACAAAAAUCAUUACUGUAGAUCUUAUUCAAAUUGAGAAACAAAUUCAAAUUUAGUUCAUAUUGAAGCGGUAGUAUAUAUGUUUGGAAUGACUAAAACGUUGAUUUGAGUAGUAGGUUGCAUGCAUUAUACACGUAGCGAAAUAUUUUAAUUGAACAUAACAUGAAUUCAAAGUUUUGAAUGACAUUUGUAGUGCGAAUUGAUUUGGUACAGUACACGUUAGGCUUGUCCGGAAAUUUCAACGCAUGCCUUGUUAGCCUGAAAUAUUUAAGAUAUAUCUUUGUCUCGUUGUGCUCCGACAACACCCUCAAUCUCAACCUGUGCCUUGCUAUUCCAAAACUACAACGCGCGCGAAAACUCCCACCUCCUGUGAAAUCCCGACACGUGAAAUGCCCGUGAUACCCCUGAACCGAAACAACCGCCUCAAAUCGAUGGGGGUACUUUCAUAACUUACCCCACAUUUCGGACAAGCGCGUCCCUAAGCCAUGGUUCCCCACUCCCAUCCCAUCCGCCCACCCAUUCGUACACCGAGACAGGGAAAAGCCGCGAAGCCCCACACCCUCCUCCGCCCGCCACCCAGCCGGAGCCUCUUCCCCGAUGACAUCGUCCACAGCAACACCUCGACGUCCCUCAUCCACCAUACUAGAUGAGGAUCCGUCGUCGAUCUAGUCGUCCCGCCGGUUCAGCCACCCCGUCCUCCACCUCCAAGGAGCUGUCCCGACGUUCCCCUCGUCUUUCGCGCCACCUCCAUUCCCACACCGCCGUCUUCACCUGCACUAUCGAAAGAGCAUCAUAAUCAUCAUUUCCUCGGAUGAAGUUGUGGCCUAAUCGGCGCCACCAAAGAGGUUGUACACUAAUCGCCGCAUUUUCUUCUUGAUUCGGUCUGACAGUGUUGUCGGCGCUCGGUCCCGAGCCGACAUGGUGCAGCUCCAUCCACGGCGGUGUCGCCGGCCACUUCCUCACGGCGGUGCUGCCUCGGCGGCGACGUCCACGUCAGUAGGAGGUGCUGUUGCUUUAGCUCUCGCUCACGCUACUGCUCUGCUCUUGUUCUCAGUCCCCUACCUGGUCUGCUCUUGCUACUGCUCUUGCUCGUGUUGCUGCUCUCGCUCUUGCUCUUGCUUGCGAUGCUGCUCUGAUUUAGCUACACUUUAGUUGACUGAAUCAACUUUUGGGUCAGUUGAUUUUCAGGGGUGGGGGGGGCUCACCGGAGUUAAGGAAGAACCAGCCGCAGCGGGGAGGGGGGCUCGCUGGAGAGGUACCCCACUAUCUAUCUUAGGGUUCAAGGUGGGGGCGAUGGUCGCUGGCGGUGGUGGGGCGGUGGCGUGGGGAUUGUCGGAGAAAAAGCUCGGCACGGGGAGCCCUAGAGGGAUGGCCGGGGCAGUGGCGGACCGGCGGUGGGGAGUAUUUUCGGGGCUGGUGGAGCGGCACACCGCCGGCCGCAGGCGGUGGGGUGCGGCUGUUUGGUCGAUGGGGGCUGGCGGCUCAGGGGGGUGGAGGUUGAAGAUGAACUGCAGGCCCUUGAUUUCGUAUCCAAUGGCUGCAAAAUCGACUGACCAGAGAUGAAAAAGUCAGUCGACUGACGGGUAUCCUCACCUUGCUAGUGCGUUCAGUUUCGACAGCAAAAUUCAGUUUCGACGGUUAAGUUUAGUUUUGACAGUUAAAUUCAGUUUCGACAGUUAAGUUCAGAGAUGAGCGGCAGAUGUAUUUUAUAUCUAGCACUUUGUGGUUAUGUAUUUUACGUCAUCUAUUGGAGAUGCAAUUAGAAUUCCACUCAGGUUAACGUUGUCUCUCUUGUCCUGGUUCAGCCUCGGCGUCGUACCACUCACCAGAGCUGCUCCAAUGACGAAACCCUCCGUCACAGCAGAGCAGUACCUCGGGCUCCAUCUCCAGACGCCUAAGAUUUUCCCCUCCUCUGACAGCCAAGUCAGCCGGAGCAUCGUCAUCGGCCAACCCAAUCAUGCUGAGAUCGACAUGGCUUCGCCAAAGAGGUUGUACACGUGUUGCAUCUCUUUUUUACUCUACAUGUUAUAUAAAUUGUCCACUGAGCACACAUAGUAAUGGGAAAUACGAUUAUUUUAUCCUACUAUAUGACAAGCAGUGAGGUACCAGGCAACUUGGCUAUCCGUGAUGGACACUCUUGAACACCAUCAUUAUUUAUCUCUACGCGUUCUGUGCAUUUGUCGAUGGCCCUGGGAGUUGAGCAAGUAGGGCAGUGGCCUGGGUCCAAAGUAAUAGAAGUAGCACAAAAACAUUUUUUUAGUGUAGGCUUUUCCUUGCUCAAGCCUGCCUACUAGAAUCUCCAGUGCUUGAAAGGAAAAGUGAAUGAAAAACAUAGGAAUUGGAAAGUUUCCUAUGGUACUACUAUUCAUGAAUUUGGUUCAAAGCAAUGGAGCAAAGGAAAACUGUGGGAUUUGUUCCUUUAGUGUCUCCUUGAAAUAAAAAAUGUAGGAAUUUUAAUUUUCACUUGUCCUCCUUUUCAAAUUCCUAUUCAUGAAGCACAAGACUAAGAGAUAGUAGCAUAAUAGCAUUAUAACCGUACAUUUUCUUGUGGUUUGACUUAAUCUACCAUGCUUCUUUGCAUCAUGUGAUCUUCCAAUUCUUGUGAAUCAAACACCCAGAUUGGAAGAAAUCCCAUGUUUUUAAAUUCUCUGUUUUGCACGUGCAUUCCUAUGCUAGUCCUGUCUAUUUCCUAUCCCUGCAUUGUUGGAAUCCUCCAUCCAAACGAGCCCUUACAGAAUUACUUCUCUUAUAGAUAGUUGUCAAAGAAAACCUUGCGUGGUUUGUCCCGCUCCUGAUGCGCCGUUGUCCACCCCAGCUCAGCUGCUCCAACGACAGAAGGGUCCAGCACAGCAGGGAUCCGGCCUCCAGACUGUCUUUCGCCGCCUCAGAUCUUCUUCCCCGCUGCCGACAGCCAUGAAAACUGCAUUACCAUCAUCAACCGAGUAGAUGACCUCAAGGACUACACGGGGUCCGCAAGAGAGGUCGCACUCUUUCGUGUCUGCUUAUGUUAUGCAUCACUUAAUAUUACAUGCUACUUUAUCGUCCUGUUCAUAAACUCUGAGUCAGCUCCAAACUAAUGGUCAAACUUGAGUUUUUAAAUGGUUGUGGGGUACAUAUCGGGGCCGCAAUCAAUAGUAUCUAUCUACUAUCUGGUUAAUCUCCGGUGUCUACUAUGAGUUUCAUGUUGGGUGGGAAACAAACAGUAAAGAAGCCAUUAUCUGUAUUUUUUAACUGAAGCCAUUAUCUGCCUGCUAUUAUUGGUUUUGGGUCUAUCCACAGGUUGCUACCAUCACUCUGGAUUUCUGCAUGCACUCCUUACAUAAUCUCACUAUGUUUUAUUCCUAUGCAUGAUAGUUAUUGUAAACAAUGGAACUGAACAUGUAGAGCAAAAGAGACGAGCCUUGUUUGGCAAUAAAAUGUCAUGCAGACGUCACUCCAUGGUAGGCGCAAAGGUAGCCCUCCCUCCACCCAUUUCGGAUUGUAAUCGAGAGGAAGAUAUUUGUUCUGAGGAGGAUUCAGAAGGAGAAGACCACUCCUAUUUACCCCCUGAGGUCUUUGCUCUAACUUGGCAUGUUGAUGUUGGUUAUAUCAUGCAUAUGGUGCCUUCCAUUGCUUACUUUAUACAUCAAAUAUGUCAUCUGCUUAGUUUAUACAUCCUUUGUGCGAAUGCCAUCUGUUUAGUUUAUUCCUCGUUUAUGUGAAUUAUGCAACGCCAUCUUGUUUAGCCAGGCAUCAUAUAUGUGAAUUUUGCAAUGACAUCCUGCUUAGCCAGUCAUCUUAUAUGUAAAUUAUAUCAGGCCAUCUUUUUUUCAUUACAUAUUACAUUUGUCAACAAUGUUAGUACAUUCAACUGUUCUUCGUGUGCAUCAGCCAUUUGACAAGGUGAAGGAAAAUUCUGGAGUGAAAACAAGGUCAUCAGAGCAGACUAUGCUAUCUGAUGAAGCGCAUAUCUCGUUGGUUACGGAUAGCUCCUCAGAGGAGGAUUUAGAGACAGAUGACCAGUCCUAUCCCCCCCCCCCCGAGGUGUAUGCUCUAACUUGGCAGGGUUAUGUUGCUCAUAUCGUGCGUAUGGUGUCUUGCAUUGCUAUCUCAUUUGAUUAGUUUAGACAUGCUUUUGUGUGAAUGCCACAUGUUCAGUGUCUAAUUACCAUAUAUGUGAAUUAUGCAUUGCCAUCUUGUUGCAAGUCAUUGUAUAUGUGAAUUAUGCAAUGCUAUCUUGUUACAAAGGCAUUAUAUAUGUGAAUUAUGCAAUGCCAUGUUGUUUAGCCAAUCAUCAUGUGUGUGAAUUAUAUCAUGCUAUCAUUUUUUUGUAUUACGUGUUCCAUUUGUCGACAACGUUUGUAUAUUCAACUACUCUUCCUGUGCAUCAGCCAUUUGAAGUGGUGAUGGAAGUAUCUGGAGUGAAAACAAGGUAUUCAGAGCAGACAAUGCUACCUGCUGAAGCAAACAUCUUGCUGGUUACAAAGAGCUCCUCAGAGGAGAAUUCAGAGACUAAUGACCAGUCCUAUUUCCCCCCUGAGGUCUAUGCUCAAACUUGGCAGGGUUAUAUUACCCAUGUCAUGCAUGUUGUCCUGCAUUGCUUAGUUUUUACAUCAUAUAUGGAUUGGCAUCUGUUACUUGCUUACUAUAUAAAUCAUAUAUGUGAAUUAUAUCAUGCCAUCAUGUUUACAUAGUACAUACACAUCAUCUAUCCGAAUUAUGGCAUGGCAACCCAUUUAAUAAAGACAUCAUAUAGUUAUAUCAUCUCAUCCUGUUUAGUGUUUACAAUCAUCAUAUUUUGAAUUAUGGCAUUCUAUCCGUGAAUGUAUGUGAAUUAUGGCAUGCCAACCUAUUUAAUAAACACAUUAUAUAGUUAUAUCAUGUCAUCCUAUUUACAUAGUCAUCAUAUUUUGAACUAUGUCUUUCCAUCUUUUUUAGUUAGCCAUCAUAAUGUGAAAUUGUGUCAUGCUAUCCUAUUUAGUUAGCCAUCAUAUAUGUGAAAUUGUGUCAUGCUAUCCUGUUUGGUUAGACAACAUAAAUGUGAAUUAUUUCAUGCCCUCUUUUAUUCCCCACUAUCCAUUGCACCUGUCUACCAUACAAUGUCUGUACUUUCAAUUACUUUUCUUGUUUAUCAGCCAUUUGAAUUGGAGAGGGUGAUGGCAGUAUCUAAGGGAGUAACAACACGGUCUUCAAAAAAGAUAGUGCUACCAGUUGAUGCAGAUAGAACCACAGUUGUACUUGCCCAAGGACCAGAUCCACCACACAUAACCCAGACUCUCGCAGAUUGUACCCCUACCCAGUUGGACAGAGAACCAACUACACCCCUUCUAACACCAACCCCGGCAGAUAGUAACCCAGUUCCAGUUGACACAACACCGUCUCCAGCACAGAGCACCCAAACACGAGCAGUUAGUAAGGGAACUGCAGUGCCCAAAGCACGCGGACCACCACUCCAAAUCCCAACUCAACGCUUAAAGGAUAAGAAGAUUUGUUCUCAGGUCAGGUUCUGUAGCUAUGAUUCAUACUCCUUUGCUCUUGCAUUACUGUAUUUACUCAUACCAACUAUUUCCAAAUUUGAAGGAUGGAAUUGAAACUCCAAUGGCGCAACAGGUAUGUUUUAAACCUGUUUCUUUAACUGGUUUGCUGUUGUAACCUGCUCUAUGUUGAUUUCAGUUUCAAUUGAAUAAACAGUUAUGUUCUCGUGUCAUGCACAUACAAGUGUUGUUAUUGCUCUAUAGUUUCCCACACUUAUAUUCUGCCUAUUCUGCUUUGUCUUGAACAAAUAUUAUUUGAACUAUGUCUCUAUCUUGAUUUGGCAACAAAAACUAGAAUGGUAUAGACCAUAGAGUGACCAUGGUACAUAGAUAUAUGUUUGUUUCAUGUUGUUAUCCUGUCCACUUUACUACUGAACUAAUUUACCAAAAUGCGUUUCAUAUACAACAUGGUAAACCUGUGAUGUGUCUGCUUGUUUCUCUUUCAGGAUGCGGACAAAAUAUUGGAGAACAGUACCCUGUUAUGCAAUGGUAAAGGAAGUAAUGCAGAUAAGGUUCAAGAUAGUGAGACAUCCUGUUGGUCUCCAAGAAAGCUGAUAAAAACUAUCUUGAUGACAGUGAGAGAACCCAAAAGUCAUGUCUUGAUGUAGUGUUCGAGUUACUGGCCACUACUAUUGGCACAAGCUCUUCGAACUUGCUGCCUGAUUCAGUUUGUCUUCUUGAGUCUCAACUUGAAGUUGAAAGACAUCGAUCAGAUGUGCUGCGACAGGAAGCUAAAGGACUGGGGAAGUCCCUGCAGAAUUCAGAUGCAUACUUCCUGGUGCAACGGCAAGCGCUGGAGGAUUUAAGCGCCAAACAAGAGAAAGUUAAUAAGCUUGCUAAGCAUCUUGCCAACAGUAUGGGUACCCAGGAUAUUGUUUCUUGAGAUCUUCUGAAGUGGCUUCAGUUUUGGAUUUGUUUUGCUGCAGCGUUUAUUUGCGCUGGUCGCCAACUUUGACAACCAGUAUAUAUGAUGUGCUGCUUUGUUCCCUAUAUUUGCACUUGUGGCGAACUUUGAUGCCCAGUGGAUGUAAUAUGUGUAAUAGCCAUGAUAGCCUAGCGUAAGUUGCUUGCUUAUUUAUUUCCUUGUUGUCUUGUUUAUUUGUUUGCUUGUAGUCGGUGCAAUUCUUUUCCUGCGGUUUGCUAGUGGCCGCAAUAACCUAUUUUUUAAAACUAGGCCACAAUAACCAUGGGCUAUAUAUUUACUGUAGUGACACUGGGCCUCCUACCGGCCGUAGAAACAAUGGGCCUUCUAUGGGCCGUAGACAAUGGGCCUUCUACGGGUCGUAUCAUCAAUGGGCCUUAUAUGGGUCGUAUGAUCGAUUGGCCAAACAUGUGACAAUAAUAGACCACAUUAUGGCCACAAAUAGGCUAGAGUUGGAAUCGUCCAUACAUGGGCCGACCAUAAUGGGCUGUCGUUAAUAGGCUGUAUUUGAUGACGCUAUGAAAACGGCCCAACGUAUUAACUGGCCACAAAUGGGCCAACUGUAACAACAGGCUGAAUUUGGCCCACAAGCAGAAAAUGACAGUAACGGGCCGUAAGUAACCGAAUGCUAGAAAUGAGCCCAAGAAUAAAUGGGCCCUGAGAAGGCCAAAAGAUAACAUGGGCUGGAAAUGGCCCAAUGGAAUAAUGGGAUGUUAAUGGGUAUAAAGUCAUACACUGUUCAUUACGGGCCAGUUUCACCACGGGCCGUUAAUGGGCCAAGAGUUAUAAAGGGCCUCAUAUGGGCCGAAAGACGUCAUGGGCCAUACAUGGGCCAGAAGUUAAAAUGGGCUGGAAUAAUAUUGGACGGCCCAUAUGAUGCUACUUGGCCUAAUUCGGAUAGGUCGUAACGGGCCCUGGGUUAGCGGGCUGUAAAAGGGCUAUAUGCGAACAGGCCGUUAACAUGCUUUCAGUGGGCCAGCCUGCCACCUUCUAACCAAGUCAAACGGGCCAGCCUUUUCACAGGAAUGGGCCUCUGUUGGGCCGUGCCACCUAUCGACGUAUCAUAGGCCCCUUCUGUCCAAUGAGUGGAUGACAUAUGUCCCGAUGGUGAGCCGACACGUGUUUCCUCCAGCCAAUGAUGAUUUUACACGUGGAAAAUCCCCAUUGGUCGGGGUUAACGGGUUAUCGGAUCCAAAACCCGACCCGAUAGCUUAAUGGCGUUCCGUUACGGUGGAUGCCACGUAUCGGUCACCCUUGAUGAAAGCACUUCUAUGACGCGUGAUUUAUCAUCAUGGAAGUGGACACUUCCGUGAUGAUAAUUUUGGUAAUGUCAUGGGACACUUCUACGACAGCACAGGUAUGACUAUCUUGAUUCUGUCAUAAAAUCGUCAUGGAUGUACAUGCAUGACAGAAAACGUGACCUACUGUGACAAACACGUAUCAUCACGGAAGUGUAUUUUUUUGUAGUGAUAUCAUGCACCAACUUACUCUGCUCGGGCUACCUCGUCACCACAUCAACUUACCAACAUCGGUAUCCACGAUACCAUGGUGAUCCUCUCACGAUCACAUAAAGAUCAACCAACUUCUUUCAUCAUCGAACCGGGGUUGUUAUUAAGCACAUCAUUAUUAUUAGUGUUGACCCAUAGUGUGACCGACUUUGAACUGGGCCCAUAUCUACGGGCGCGACUAUCGAUAGAUUCAACACACACUCUGCAGAGGUUAGCACACUGUACCCACACCACAGAACCCAUGGCCUCGCACUCCCAUUCGGGUGGACCAACGGUGUUCUGACAAAACCAAUCUACUGCCAUGACACUCUCCCGGCCACUCCGACCAACUCCCCUCUGGGAUAAGUCAUGGGUGGCCCCGUGCCUACCAAAGGCAUCAACAGCCACUGUCGUGGCAAAACAAAAACGGUCCCAAACGGGGACAACCCGGGUACACAACAACAACGGGCACACAAGGCUUAUGUCCGCCUACCUGAUCAGGGUAGCGCGCACCCAUAACCUUCCCUUGUUGGAUGCACCUGCGAGAGACAUGACAAUAAACCGUAUUAGGGCCCUUCCGAUAAAAGGCAAAUGUGGUUGCACUGGUCGGCUCGAUUCAAUGGCACCAUGACUCAGCCAACAGUUGUUCAAGUUCAUUAUUAUCCGGUUAAACUUAAAUGCAAUAAGCUGAGCCAAAAUAAAAUAACAAGAUGCAACUAUGAUGCAUGAGCAUGAUAUCAACUUAAGCAUAGAGGUGCAACAUAAUCAUCGAGCAUAAUCACAAUGAAUCAUAUAUCCGAAUGAGCAUGGCAUACUGACAAGCAUGAAUAACACAAGAAUAACUCUACCAUAAGCACAUCAUGACCACUAGCAUCAAGAAUAAAUACCAUGCAAGAACAUAUCAAAAACGCUACCAAGUGAACAUGUAACAAACUAGAUGCAACGGAACCAACAUAGCAAUAAGACUGAAUAGUAGACUAAGCAUGGAUCCGAAGAACAUUCCAACUACCAGCAUGUAUUACUACUACCAAGCAUGACUUACGAUCAUGUUGCUAGCAAGUAGCUCAAGAUAUCACGAUGCAUCAUAAAAUAGCAUGAAGGUGGACUCGAGUCCACGAGUAAAACCGAAACAACGACAGUAGUAGCAAACAAGCAUGCAGAUAACAGCAAACUUUUAUUAAAUAUUCAAGUUGGAAACCAAGGCUACUACAUGACUAUCAUGCAAGUGGUUGUUGUGGCUUGCCUGGGGGUGACGGAGACUCCGGGAAGAAGUGCGGUGAAGCCGCGGAACAAAACGUCGGAUGGUUCUCUCUCAGAGGGGGCUGAUAAGAGGCAAGGGCAAACUAGUCAUUUUCACUAUGGGACCACCUAGUGAAAAUGGAACCAACAGAAAUAGCUCGACAAUACAAAGAUGUGAGCGUUGGUUUCACCUAAUCGGUGCUAUGGUUGAAGAGUUGUGAAGUGAUGAAGAUCAGGGUCUAAUCUACGAAAAGAUCCUCACAAACAGGUCCCUGGCGGCAGAAAAUAGAAAGCGCCUUUGAGCAGAUUAUGUUUUCUGAAAAGGAAAACAUAUUUUCAGCCGAAAUGCAAAGUGAAUACGCUUUCAAAACUGAGAAAGCGCAUUUCAGAUAAAAGAGGAAAGAAAUACGCUUUCAUAUAUCAAAAACGCAUUUCAAGAAAACGUUUCUACUUACAGACGCGGGCCCGGGGCGGGGUCAACGCCGAGACACUGCUAGGUAGGGUCGGGGAAGGCGCGGGGCCCACCUAACCUCGUCUUCUUCCUCCUCUCCCUGCCCCCAAUGUACACAUAGGAGGGAGCAGGGGAGGGUGCUGCCGGCGAUGGAGCGGGCCACUCCGGCGAUCUCCGGCCAAGUGGAGACCACCGGCGAGCUCGUGGGGGUCCGUCGCUUCCGUCCAGGCUUAGCACAGGCGCCGGAAGGCAGCGGGGCGACGAUGGAUCACGGGGACAGAGGAUGCGGCCGAGGCUGGUUGAGCUCGGGGACAACGGCCACCAGGGCUCCGGCGGCAGGAGAAGGGAGUGGGGAGGGUCUACGGGCUCCGGGGAGGCUACUGGUGGAGGAAUGGAGAGGAGAGGAGCUUGGGAUCCGGCUAAUUUAGCAGGCCAUGGCGGCAAUGGCGACCACAGAGAGCUCCUCGAGCUCGAGGGGUGGCUAGGCGGGGCUCUAGGAGUGAGGGAGGACCGAUGGUGUGCUUGGAGUGCUCGGGGGCGGGUUGUAUAUAACCGAACGAGGAGAUCCAAGAUGCACGACCACGGUGACGCGUGUUUCGGUGUGCUGGCACGAACAGAGCCACGAGGAGGGAGGGGACUUGUGUAGGAGCUUCACGGAGACGCGAGAGACCUCGGGUGAGCUCGAGAAGGCUCGGGACGACGCAGGCAACCGGACACGGUGGCGGCAGAGACGGGCAUGUCAUGGGCGAGCUCGAUGUGACGCAACCACAGCGAGUCCGGAUGGGGCAGUGAUGCAGGGUGAAGAAGGGGAUCACGGGGGAGCUAGAGGACAUGACGCGGACGCGAGAGGCAGAGAGGAGUGGACGAGCACAACGCCGCGAUUGGCAGAGCGCGAAAUUUGGCCUGUCUACCCCAUGGUCACCGCGUGCACUAGUGCAAAAGGCGUAUUCUGGUCGAACCUACCUUGUCUAGUAAGAUGACCACGGUACCCUGAGUCCAAACGAAGCAACAAGUCAAUCCAGGGGCAAAGAAGUGAUUUGGAGGAGGAGCCAAAAGAUUGUGGCAGCAAGGUGUUUGUGCUGCAGGGAGACAAACACAGAAGGAGGAACAAGCUGGGCUUUGGCAUGGUGUGAUCACACACUAAGAUGAUCACCUCCGCCAAUUUUGCAGCUCAUUAGGAUGAAGAUAAAUUGUACUUGAUGUAGAAAGUGCCACUAUGGACAGAACUGGAGAUUUGGAUGAUGCACUCACAUAGUUGCAUUAAAUGAGCUGAAAAUGGUUAUGGUCCAAUGAUUUGAAGAUAUUAAGAUGCCCUAGGAGUUUCAUGACAUUUGGAUGAAUCAAAAUAGCACUUGCUUCACAAAGCUUUUCUCUGGACAGGAACUUGGAAAAAUUCCAUAGGGCAAAUGGCUAAAUGGAUUGAGCCACAAAUUGGUGGAGGAAGUUUAUACGGGUAAGAGAAUGUCCUGGUAAAUUGGCAGCUUAAAUGAAGCAAUAGAAGCUUCACAAACUGAAAAUCUGACCAGAAACUAAGAUUUGGAGUUGUUCUCAAAUAGAAAGGUUACAUGAGCUCAGUUUGGGUGGAGGGUGAUGAUUUGACCAAAUGAAGGAUGUGGCAAAAGUUCAUCUCAUUUGGACAUGCCUACAAUAUACUUCCUUCACAAAGUUUCUUCCUGGGCAGAAACUUUGUAAAAUCAUAGAAAAUUAAUUACUACGCAAAUGAGGUUGAACUUUGGCAUAGGGCAAUGAUAUGGAUAGGACAAGGUGUCCACGAAGUUGGGAGUCAAUUGGGCAAUGAUAAAUAGCACUUGCUUCACAAAGUGCCAUUUAGGGCAGAAUAGGAAAAGAAUUACUGGAGGAUUAUUUUUUAAUAUGGCAAUGAAAAGUUUUGCCAUAUUUGAUCAAGAUAUGACCCAAACAAUUUAUGAGAAUUACUUGGGAAUUUUAGGAGUGACAGAAAUAUGGGUUGCUUCACAACAUAGGGCAAAUAUGAUAAUUCCUUUAUCAAAAAAGGAAUAUUCCCAAUAAAAAGAAUAUUGGGAUUUGGGCUAGGAUGGAAAUGACAUGAUCUAGGGAUGGUUUAAACCUAGGAAGACAUGAUCUUCCCAAGUUUCAAAACCACACAGCCACAGAAAAGCAAAUUAAACUCAGAAAUCAAAGAAAAUCCUCAGAAAAAGAAAAGGGCAAAAUCCAGGUUGUUACAUCUAUUAUGAUCAUUGCAAAUUCUAUACCAAGCAUAUUUUAGAUUCUCCCCUCCCCUUUGUUUAAAAUUAAUAACCUCAUUCUCGGGGGUACACGCAGCAGACGAAGAACUAGCCAUAACAACAAGGCAAGCAAGAUUGCAAAUAAAAAAAGAUGUGACGAGAAAACGACGAACGAAAAAGAGGGUGAAUAAAACAGCAAUUUUUUGUGAAGUGGGGGAGAUGAAAAUGAGAGGCAAAUGGAAAUUAAUGUAAAUUGCAAGGAGAUGAGAUUGCUUAUUAGGAACCUGAUAGAUGUUGAUGAUGUCUCCCCGACAGCGGCACAAGAAAUUCCUUUUGAUGUCGCUUGAACUACGUCGAUAUUUCCCAAAAGAGGAAGGGGUGAUGCAACACAUCUAUGAUAGUAUGUCGCUCAGGUAUGAAACCAAGGUAUCAAUCUAGUGGGACAACCAAUAAACACUAUGUAAAUGGUACCUGCACACAAAGAACAAAUACUUGCAACCCGACACUUAUGAGGGGUUGUCAAUCCCUCUAUGUGUAACGGCGCCAGAAAUUGUCAAGUUAACGGGAUAAGAUUUGUGAUAGAUUGGAAAAUAGAUCUCAAUAAAACACGAAAUAAUAUAAGCAAUAAAAAAUGUAGUAGGGUACUUUUUGGUUUUUGGAAUAACAAAUCUGAAAACAAAAGCAAAUAAAAAUAGAUCUCAAAGCAAAUAUGAUAAAGAAUAGUCCCGGGGGCCGUAGAUUUCACUAGUGGCUUCUCUCAAGAAAUAGCACACGGUGGGUAAACAAAUUACUGUUGGGAAAUUGAUAGAAGAUCGAAUAAUUAUGACGAUAUCCAAGGCAAUACUCAAUAUAUAGGCAUCACGUCCAAGAUUAGUAGACCGACUCCUGCCUACAUCUACUACUAUUACUCCGCACAUCGACCGCUAUCCAACAUGCACCUAGUGUAUUAAGUUCAUGGAGAAAUGGAGUAAUGCAAUAAGAACGAUGACAUGAUGUAGACGAGAUCUAUUUAUGUAGGAAAUGCAUUACUCCCUUUCCACCUAAACCAACUAAGAAAAAAGAUGAUGAAGCAUUUGAACACUUUGUUGAAAUGCUUAAGCCAGUCUUUUUGCGUACCCGCUUGACGGAUAUUUUAGAGAUGGCUCCUUAUGCAAAAUAUAUGGAAGACAUAAUCACUAAUAUAAGAAAGAUACCUGAAGCUGAAAUCUCCACCAUUCUUGCUAAUUACUCUUUUAAGGAUGGAGUACCGAAAAAACUUGGAGAUCCAGGAAUACCAACUAUACCGUGCUCCAUCAAAAGAAAUUAUUUCAAAACUGCUUUGUGUGAUUUAGGAGCUGGUGUUAGUGUUAUGCCUUUCUCUUUAUAUAAGAAACUUGAUUUGAAUAAACUUACACCUACUAAAAUAUCUUUGCAAAUGGCUAAUAAAUCAACUGCCAUACCUAUCGGCAUUUGUGAGGAUGUGCCCGUUGUUGUUGCAAAUGUUACUAUCUUAACAGACUUUGUUAUACUUGAGAUGCCCGAGGACGACAACAUGUCGAUUAUCCUUGGUAGACCCUUUUUGAAUAAUGCAGGGGAUGUUAUUGAUUGCAAUAAAAGCAAGGUCAAUUUUCAUAUCAAUGGUAAUGAACAUAUGGUGCACUUCCCGAAGAAACAAUUCCAAGUGAACGGUAUUAAUGUUAUUGAAAAAUAUCCAACACUCACUAUUGGAAGUAUUCAACUACAUCUACCUACUGCCAAAAAGAAAUAUGAAAUACUUAUUGUUGGGGACAUGCCAAUAUUAUUCAACUUUCAUAUACUUUUGGCAACUUUUUAUACUAUAAUUUUUGGGACUAACAUAUUGAUCCAGUGCCCAAUGCCAGUUUCUGUUUGUUGCAUGUUUUAUGUUUUGCAGAAACCCAAUAUCAAACGAAGUCCAAGCGGGAUAAAAACGGACGAAGCUUAUUUUUAGAAUAUUUAUGAUUUUUUUGGAAGUAAAAUCAAUGCGAGACGGUGCCCGAGGUGGCCACGAUGGUGGCACGCACGCCCACUUUCACUGGGCGUGCCCCUGACCCUCGUGGGCCCCUCGUAAGGAGGUUGAUGACCUUCUUUGGCCGCAAGAAACCUAAUUUUUGGAAAAAUAUCUGGGCGAAGGUUUCAAUCCAAUCAGAGUUACGGAUCUCUGGAUAUAAAAGAAACGGUGCCAGGGCAGAAUCCGAGAACGCAAAAACAGAGAGAGAGAGAGAGAGAGAUCCAAUCUCGGAGGGGCUCUCACCCCUCCCACACCAUGGGAGCCAAGGACCAGAGAGGAAACCCUUCUUCCAUCUAGGGAGGAGGUCAAGGAAGAAGAAGAAGAAGGGGGGCUCUCACCCCCUUGCUUCCGGUGGUGCCAGAACGCUGCCGGGGCCAUCAUCAUCACCGCGAUCUUUUACCAACACCUCUGCCAUCUUCACCAACAUAUCCAUCACCUUCCCCCCAUCUAUAUCCAGCGGUCCACUCUCCCGCAACCCGUUGUACCCUCUACUUGAACAUGGUGCUUUAUGCUUCAUAUUAUUAUCCAAUGAUGUGUUUCCAUCCUAUGAUGUCUGAGUAGAUUUUCGUUGUCCUAUUGGUGAUUGAUGAAAUGCUAUGAUUGGUUUAAUUUGCUUGUGGUUAUGUUGUUGUCCUAUUGUCCCCUCUGUGUCGCGCAAGCGUGAGGGAUUCCUGUUGUAGGGUGUUGCAAUAGUUCAUGAUUCGCUUAUAGUGGGUUGCUUGAGUGACAGAAGCAUAAACCCGAGUAAGAGGGUUGUGGCGUAUGGGAUAAAGGGGACUUGAUGCUUUAAUGCUAUGGUUGGGUUUUACCUUAAUGAUAUUUAGUAGUUGCGUAUGCUUGCUAGAGUUCCAAUCAUAAGUGCAUAUGAUCCACGAAGAGAAAGUAUGUUAGCUUAUGCCUCUCCCACAUAAAACUUGCUAUCGGUCUACUAAGUAGUCAAUUGCUUAGGGACAAUUUCACAACUCCUACCACCACUUUUCCACACUCGCUAUAUUUACUUUAUUGCUUCUUUAUCUAAUCAUCCCCUAGUUUCUAUUUACGCGCUCUUUAUUAUCUUGCAAACCUAUCCAACAACACCUACAAAGUACUUCUAGUUUCAUACUUGCUCUAGGUAAAGCGAACACUAAGCGUGCGUAGAGUCGUAUCAGUGGCAGAUAGGACUUGAGAGAAUAUUUGUUCUACCUUUAGCUCCUCGUUGGGUUCGACACUCUUACUUAUUGAAAGAGGCUACAAUUAUCCCCUACACUUGUGGGUUAUCAAGACCUUUUUCUGGCGCCGUUGCCGGGGAGUCAUAGCGUGGGGUGAAUAUUCUCGUGUGUGCUUAUUUGCAUUAUCAUUAAGUAACUUUUAUUUGCUAUUCUAAGCUGUUCUCUAUCUUUAGCUAUGGAUAUGGAACACGAAAUGCCAAAAAAAUUAGGUGUACUUGCUACUCAUGGAGAUGGGGAACCUCCUAAAACCCUCGAUGCUCAUUAUGUGAAAGAAAUUAUGUACUACUUUGAUAAUCCCGAGAAAACCCCAUUCAAUUAUGUUAUGGGAGACACGUUGGAUCAACGUGAAUACUUUAGGGAUUAUCGCUUGACACAAAAAGGGAAACUACUAUGGGAUCAAAUUUAUAUGUUGAGUUGGUAUGCUAGGCAACUAUGCUUGAGAUAUGAUUAUACUUGUUGCUCUAGAAUGAAGGCUCCACACCUUCCCUUUUCAUGCAAAUUUAAUGAUGAUAAAACCUUGGCUUCUUAUGCUAAUGGUAUAUAUGAUUACUAUGAUGUGGAACAAAUAGAAGAAUUUGUUGCUUUUAUCGGUGCUUAUGAGAUUGAAUCUAUGUUUAAAGAGUUUGACGAUUUUGAUGAUUCAGUUUAUAGACCUGAAAAUUUUGCUAUACUUAAAUAUUGUUAUGAGAAUUAUGAAUACAAUUCCAAUAUUGAUGCAUUUAUUGAGAAAGUCUCCGCUGUCCAAGAAGACACUAAUAUUUUGCAGGAAGCUAUGGAAGAAGAAAUUGAUGAAACUAUGAGCUCAUUGGAUGAAAAAGAUGAUGAGGAGAGCGAAGAACAAAAGGGGGAAGAGCGGAUUAGCUACCCGUGCCCACCUUCUAAUGAGAGUAACUCUUCAACUCAUACAUUGUUUAAUUCCCCUUCAUGCUUAUCGAAGGAUAAUUGCUAUGAUGAUUGUUAUGAUCCCAUUGAUUCUCUUGAAAUAUCCCUUUUUGAUGAUGCUUGCUAUGCUUGUGGCCAAGAUGCCAAUAUGAAUUAUGCUUAUGGAGAUGAACUUGCUAUAGUUCCUUAUGUUAAACAUGAAAUUGUUGCUAUUGCACCCACGCAUGAUAGUCCUACUAUCUUUUUGAAUUCUCCAAACUACACUAUAUCGGAGAAGUUUGUGCUUAUUAAGGAUUAUAUUGAUGGGUUGCCUUUUGACAUUACACAUGAUGAUUUUGAUAGAUAUAAUAUGCAUGUGCUUGCUGCUCCUACUUGCAAUUAUUAUGAGAGAGGAACUAUAUCUCCACCUCUUUAUGUUUCCAAUAUGAUAAAAUUGCAAGAAAUUGUUUAUACUAUGCAUUGGCCUUUACUAUGUGUGCAUGAAUUGUUCUUUUAUGACAUGCCGAUGCAUAGGAAGAGAGUUAGACUUUGUUGUUUCUUGAUAUAUGUUACUUUGUGCUCACUACUAAAUUACAAAUCAUUGCUAAUUAAAAUUGGCUUUGAUAUACCUUGGGAUCCGGGUGGAUCCAUUACUUGAGCACUAUAUGCCUAGCUUAAUGGCUUUAAAGAAAGCGCUGCCAGGGAGACAACCCGGAAGUUUUAGAGAGUCAUUUAUUUCUGUUGAGUGCUUUUAUAUAGUCUAAAAACACAAAAAUAAAGAGGGGAACCCAAAACUUUUCAAAAAGGAAAGUGAAAGUGAGAAAGACAAGCAUUGUUGAAGUGGGAGAGCUCCUUGAACUUUUCAUGCUCACGGAAAUUUUUGAAUCUUAAUUACAUAAACUUUUCAUCAAUAAUAAUUAUUCCCUUGUACAAUUCCAUUGUAUUAUAAAAAUAAUGUGCCAAGGUUUGCCUUUAGGAUGUUUACAAUGCUUGUUGGUUUGUACGGUGCAGGACAGAAACUUUGGCUGUAGUGCGCGAUUUUACAAUUUUUGCCAGAAAGUCAAACGGUUCUGAUUCUUUUUGCAAUGUCUUGAUGUAGAAAUUGUUUAUUUUUACUAAUUUUGGUAGAAUUGCUGGGGUUCCAAAAGUAUGGUUAAUGUUCAGAUUGCUACAGACUGUUCUGUUUUUGACAGAUUCUGUUUUCGAUGCAUAGUUUACUUGUUUUGAUGAAACUAUCAAUUUCUAUAAGUGGAUUAAGACAUGGAAAAGGUAUAUUACAGUAGAAACAAUGCAAAAACAAAAUAUGAAUUGGUUUGCAACAGUACUUAGAGUAGUGAUUUGCUUUAUUAUACUAACGGAUCUUACCGAGUUUUCUGUUAAAGUUUUGUGUGGAUGAAGUGUUUGAUCGAGGAGGUCUCCAUAUGAGGAAAAGGAAGAGAGGAAAGAGCUCAAGCUUGGGGAUGCCCAAGGCACCCCAAGUAAAUAUUCAAGGAGACUCAAGUGUCUAAGCUUUGGGAUGCCCCGGAAGGCAUCCCCUCUUUCUUCAACAAGUAUCUCUAUGUUUUCGGAUUCGUUUCAUUCAUGCGAUAUGUGCAAGUCUUGGAGCGUCUUUUGCAUUUAGUUUUAACUUUUUCUUUUAUGCAUCAUGCUGGUAUGAGAUAGUCCUUGGUUGAUUUAUAGAAUGCUCAUUGCACCUCGCUUAAAUCUUUUGAGUAUGGCUUUAUAGAAUGCUUCAUGUGCUUCACUUAUAUCAUUUGAAGUUUGGAUUGCCUGUUUCUCUUCACAUAGAAAACCGCCAUUUGUAGAAUUCUCUUUUGCUUCACUUAUAUUUGUUAACGCAUGGGCAUAUCUAUUGUAGAAAGAAUUAAACUCUCUUGCUUCACUCAUAUCUAUUUACAAAGAUGACAAGAAUUGGUCAUUCACAUGGUUAGUCAUAAAAUCCUACAUAAAACUUGUAGGUCACUGAAUAUGAUAUGUUUGAUUCCUUGCAAUAGUUUUGCAAUAUAGAGAUGAUAAUAUGUGGGAGGUUCUAGUAGAUGGUUGUGUUUAGUAAGGAUAUUGGUGUUAAGGUUUGUGAUUCCCGUAGCAUGCACGUAUGGUGAAAGUUGUAUGACAAAUUUGUUGCAUGGGGUGCUCUUUUAAUUGUCUUCCUUAUGUGUGGAGGUCAGGAUCGCGUGAUGGUUAACUCCUACCAACCCUUCCCCUAGGAGCAUGUGUAGUAGUACUUUGCUUCAAGGGCUAGUAGACUUUUGCAAUAAGUAUAUGAGUUCUUUAUGACUAAUGUGAGUCCAUGGAUUAUACGCACUGUCACCCUUCCACAUUGCUAUCCUUUAUUAUGCCGUGCAACUUUCGCCGGUAUCUUGCACCCAUUAUGUACCUUCCUCAAAACAGCCACCAUACCUACCUAUUAUGGCAUUUCCAUAGCCAUUCCGAGAUAUAUUACCAUGCAACUUUCCACCGCUCCGUUUAUUAUGACAUGCCCCGUCAUUGUCAUAUUUCUCUUUGCAUGAUCAUGUAGUUGACAUCGUAUUUGUGGCAAGGCCACCUCCAUAAUUUUGUAUACAUGCCACUCUUGUUUCAUUGCAUAUCCCGGUACACCGCCGGAGGCAUUCAUAUAGAGUCAUAUCUUUGUUCUAGAUAUCAAGUUGUAAUAUUGAGUUAUAAGUAAAUAAAAGUGUGAUGAUCAUCAUUAUUAGAGCAUUGACCCAGUGAAGAAAGGAUGAUGGAGACUAUGAUUCCCCCACAAGUCGGGAUGAGACUCCGGAUUUAUGAAAAAUAAAAGAGGCCAAAGAAGCCCAAAUAAAAAAAGGCCAAAGAAGCCCACCAAAAAAAUAAAAAAAUAAAAAAUAAAAAAAUAAAAAAUAAAAAAUAAAAAAUAAAAAAUGAGAGAAAAAAGAGAGAAGGGGCAAUGUUACUAUCCUUUUACCACACUUGUGCUUCAAAGUAGCACCAUGUUCUGCAUAGAGAGAGUCUCCUAUGCUUUCACUUUCAUAUACUAGUGGGAAUUAUUCAUUAUAGAACUUGGCUUGUAUAUUCUAAUGAUGGGCUUCCUCAAAAUGCCCUAGGUCUUCAUGAGAAAGCAAGUUGGAUGCACACCCACUUAGUUUGUUUUGUUGAGCUUUCAUAUAUUUAUAGCUCUAGUGCAUCCGUUGCAUGGCAAUCCCUACUCACUCACAUUGAUAUCUAUUAAUGGGCAUCUCCAUAGCCCAUUGAUAUGCCUAGUUGAUGAGGGACUAUCUUCUCCCUUUUUGUCUUCACAACCACCCUAUUCCACAUAUAGUGCUAUGUCCAUGGCUUGCGCUCAUGUAUUGCAUAAGAGUUGAAAAA
rnacentral:lncRNA from 1 species